rnacentral:lncRNA from 1 species
GUCGAUGCGCUCCGUGCCCAGCCCCGGCGUCGGGCAUUAACCAGGCUCCGUUCUUUCUUCCCCCGUCUCCUUCCAGAGAAGAGAAGUUUGGCAUGUUUACAGGGACCGGAGCUCUGCUUCUGCGUCGUCGUCGUCGUCGCUUUGUUUGUUCCUCGGCUUCAACUUUUUGGCUUUCGGAUACUGUACUAGUAUAGAGCGAGAUCGAAUGAAUGGUCCUUCGAACGGGGAAGGGUCUCGCGUGUGUUUGUUCAUGUAUUGUAAGCAGCUGCGUGAUGCGCCCUGAAUUUUAACGAGGUCGACUGAUUCAAGGAAAUUUCAGUGUCAACGUCACUCAUGUGUCAGCUGCAUGAGCCAAGUGCUCCGUGGCAUUCCGUUGCAUACUCUACUGCUUUGUCGUCCUCUCAAUGAUGUCUUCCGCACAUGUGUCCAACCUUUCCGUAAUCUUUGCAAAAUAACUUGUACGUACUAUAUUAACAUUUCAAACAAACUUCAACUAAUUAGUAAACGGAGUUUCACAUAGUUUCACAAAUAGCAAAUACAUAGAUCCACAAAUAGCAAACACAUAGUUCCAAGUAGUUUCACAACCACUAGACAAGUUCAACCAAAAGAAGUUCAACCAAAUAGCAAACACAUAGACAACCCAACUACAGGAGCUAAGUAUCCAAGAGCAGAAUCAGUUGCUCCUUCCCCUAUUGGAGGUACGGUCCUCGUUACUCUUUAAACGAGUCUCUGCAAUCUUCUUCUUGGGCCGUCGAGUAACCGGUCUCUGGAAAGGGUCCUGUGACGCCCGGAUAGUUAAGCUACAAUGAACCUAUGAUAAUGAUGCCACGUCACCUCCAUAACCGUUGCUAAUCUCUCGUUAGGUCAAAACCGGUUCACAAAUCAAAUUCAAAAUAUGGCAAACAACAAAAGUUUUCAAACAUUAAAACAAAAAUGUUCGGUUAGUGACAAAUAUUACAUAGGUAAUUAUUGUGAAGAAAAUACUUUUUUAGUAAAUGUCUAAAUAUUUUAAGGUGAAUUAAAACGGAAAGGAAAAUAAAUAAAAGAAAAAGAACAAAGGACCAGCCCCCCCCCCUUACUGGGCCGUGAGGCCCAGCUGGCCAGCAAGCCGGCCCACCCCGCCCCUGGCCUAUAUGGCCUACCUCUCCAUCCCCCGAACCCUAGAUCCCCAACCCCGUUCCUCUCCCCCCUCGCUCCACACGCGCCGCCACCCACGCGCGCUAGCGCAGGGCAGCGUCCCGCCUCGCCUUGUGCGCCUCCUACCUCCCGCCGGCGUCGCCUCACCUCCCAACCGACGCGGUCGCCGGAUCGUCGUCGCCCCAUCCUCAUCCCCCUCCCCGAUCCAGAACUGGUUCGGGGCACGACCUCGACGCUGCACCGAACCGCGACGCCCGCCGCUCGACCCCGUCGCCCCCGAACCGCUCCCUCGCCGGACCUCCUCCUCUACGUCGCCGUCGUCCCCGUCCUCCUCCCCAAAGGCUCCAUCGAGCCUCGCCGACCCUCGUCUCUGCAACGCCGGUGAGGCCACGGCCUCCCUCUCCUCUUCUCCCCCUCUUUGUUGCACGUCGUCGUGCCGCUCCCGAGCUCACAUUCCGCCGCGGCCUCUACCUUCGACCGUAGCCGCCCGCGUACACGCCGCUGCCCGCCUUUCCUUCUGCCUCCACCACUGACCGCGCACGCGACCAUCCUCGCGCUCACUGAGCCGCCCCUGGCCUCGCCCGCGCGCGUCGGCCGCGCCCCAGACUCCAAGCCUUGCUCGCUGGCCGUGCGCCCCGCACCACUGGCUCCUGCCCGCCGCACCCGCUCUGCACCGCGCCUCGAGCACCCCCUGCUGCAGCCCUGCCNNNNNNNNNNNNNNNNNNNNNNNNNNNNNNNNNNNNNNNNNNNNNNNNNNNNNNNNNNNNNNNNNNNNNNNNNNNNNNNNNNNNNNNNNNNNNNNNNNNNNNNNNNNNNNNNNNNNNNNNNNNNNNNNNNNNNNNNNNNNNNNNNNNNNNNNNNNNNNNNNNNNNNNNNNNNNNNNNNNNNNNNNNNNNNNNNNNNNNNNNNNNNNNNNNNNNNNNNNNNNNNNNNNNNNNNNNNNNNNNNNNNNNNNNNNNNNNNNNNNNNNNNNNNNNNNNNNNNNNNNNNNNNNNNNNNNNNNNNNNNNNNNNNNNNNNNNNNNNNNNNNNNNNNNNNNNNNNNNNNNNNNNNNNNNNNNNNNNNNNNNNNNNNNNNNNNNNNNNNNNNNNNNNNNNNNNNNNNCCGUGCUGGCCUCGCCCACGCCGGCCUGGCGACCUGGCAGGUCCGCCGCCCUCCCCCGCGCCCCUGGGCAUGCGCCUGCUCGGGCUGCGCCCAGCGCCCGCACCCGAGUCACCUGUUCGGGCAGCCCCCGCGGCACCUGAACCCACUAUGGCCCUUAUGGCCUAUGACAUAUGGGCCCCGCCCACAGAACAAAAGAAAAGGAUUUAAAAAUAAUAAUAAUAAUAAUAAAUUUAAUUAAUUAAUUAACUUAAUUAAUCAUGUUUAGUUAACCUAAUGAACUAUUGUUAAUUAAUUAAACGGUAAUUAGAUUAGUUAAAUCCUAAUUAGAAUAAACAGAGUAUGACAUGCGGGACCCACACGUCAGAUUGGCCCAGUCAACGCCCUGUUGACUGCUGACGUCACUAUUCUGGAUAAUGUUGAAUUAAAAUAAUUAAAUAAAUUCUGAAAAUGAUUAAAACUUUAGAAAAACAUAGAAAAUAAACCGUAGCUCAGAUGAAAAUGUUUUCUACAUGAAAGUUGCUCAGAACGACGAGGCGAAUCCGGAUACGCAGCCCGUUCGUCUGCCACACAUCCCUAGCAUAGCGAACACGCAACUUUCCCCCUCCGGUUCAUUGGUCCGAAAACGCAAAACACCGGGGAUACUUUCCCGGAUGUUCCCCCCUUCGCCGGUAUCACUUCCUACCGCGUUAGGUCAUACCUAGCACCGCUCAUUGUCAUGUCAUGCAUGUGUUUGCAUUAUAUUUAUUGUUUCUUCCCCCACUUCUCUCGCUAGAAACCGAGACUGACGCCGCUACUGGUACCCCGAUCGACUACGUUGUUGACGACCCCUCCUUGCUAGAGCAACCAGGUAAGCCCCCCCCCCUUGAUCACCAGAUAUCGCCUAUUCCUUCUCUCUACUUCUUGCAUUAGAGUAGUGUAGCAUGUUACUGCUUUCGGUUAAUCCUAUUCUGCUGCAUAGCCUGUCAUUGUUGCUACCCUUACCUGCAAUCCUAAAUGCUUAGUAUAGGAUGCUAGUAUCCAUCAGUGGCCCUACAUUCUUGUCCGUCUGCCAUGCUAUACUAUCGGGCCGUGAUCACUCGGGAGGUGAUCACGGGUAUAUACAUACAUACUAUACAGGUGGUGACUAAAGUCGGGUUGGCUCGUUGAGUACCCGCACGUGAUUCCGAUGUGGGGGCUGAAAGGACAGGUGGUUCCAUCCAGGUAGUGGUGGGCCUAAGUUCCCGACGGCCCCCGACUGUUACUUUGUGGCGGAGCGACAGGGCAGGUUGAGACCACCUAUGUGAGAGGUGGGCCUGGCCCUGGUCGGCGUCCGCGGUUACUUCAUAAUAACACGCUUAACGAGAUCUUAGUAUUUGAUCUGAGUUGGGUCGUUGACCUUAUACGCACUAACCGCCACGUGGGACAAGAUAUGGGCAACCGGCGUCGUGGUAUCAGCCGAAGCUCUUUUUGACGUCAGCGACUGAGCGGCGCGCGCCGCAUUGGACCAUAAGCCCGCGCUUGUAUUAAGGGUGCUAGGUCUGCUUCCGGCCGCCUUCGCAACAUGCAGGUGUGCAAUGGGCGAUGGGCCCAGACCCCUGCGCGCAUAGGAUUUAGACCGGCGUGCUGACCUUUCUAUUGAGCCUAGGUAGGGCUGCGACGUGUUGAUCUCCCGAGGCCGGACAUGACCCAGGAAAGUGUGCCCGGCCAAAGGGAUCGAGCGUGUCGGGUAAUGUGGUGCACCCCUGCAGAGAAGUUGAUCUAUUCGAAUAGCCGUGUCCACGGUCACAGGCGACCCGGAGUUGUACCUUGACCUUAUGACAACUAGAACCGGAUACUAAAUAAAAACACACCCUUCCGAGUGCCAGAUAUAACCCGGUGAUCGCUCUCUAGCAAGGCGACGAGGAGAGGAUCGCCGGGUAGGAUUAUGCUAUGCGAUGCUACUUGGUGAACUUACCAUCUACUCUCUUCUACAUGCUGCAAGAUGGAGGCUGCCAGAAGCGUAGUCUUUGACAGGACUAGCUAUCCCCCUCUUAUUCUGGCUUUCUGCAGUUCAGUCCACCGAUAUUGCCCCUUUACACAGAUACCCAUGCAUAAGUAGUGUAGAUCCUUGCUUGCGAGUACUUUGGAUGAGUACUCACGGUUGCUUUUCUCCCUCUUUCCCCUUUCCUUUUUACCUGGUUGUCGCAACCAGAGGUUGGUGCCCAGGAACCAGACGCCACCGUCGACGACGACCCCUACUACACCAAGGGUGCCUACUACUACGUUCAGGCCGCCGAUGACUAGGAGUAGUUAGGAGGAUCCCACGCAGGAGGCCUGCGCCUCUUUCGAUCUGUAUCCCAGUUUGUGCUAGCCAUCUUAUGGCAACUUGUUUAACUUAUGUCUGUACUCAGAUAUUGCUGCUUCCGCUGACUCUUCUAUGAUCGAGCACUUGUAUUCGAGCCCUCGAGGCCCCUGGCUUGUAUUAUGAUGCUUGUAUGACUUAUUUAUGUUUUUAGAGUUGUGUUGUGAUAUCUUCCCGUGAGUCCCUGAUCUUGAUCGUACACGUUUGCGUGCAUGAUUAGUGUACGAUUGAAUCGGGGGCGUCACAAGUUGGUAUCAGAGCCGACUGCCUGUAGGAAUCCCCCUUCCACACUCCUUGGCCGAAGUUGAGUCUAGUCGGUGAAAAUUGUUUUACUAACUUGGCUGUGCGGCCCAUGGGCCCAUGUCGCCAUUGGGUGGUAUUAGGAUCUUUUAUUCCCCGUUUAUACUCUGGGACUCUGAUCUCUUUUCUAUUCGGGUUAAAUGAAUUUUACAAAAUAACAUUAGGAUCUCGUGAUCACUUUCACCCGGAGAGCACCUUAUUACUGAUGAUCGUCUGCUGCACCAGAAGAUUUCGAAGAUACUCUAUGAUGUUCUCUCGAGACUUUGUGCCAUCGCUUUUGCAAUUCUCAUCCAUCGAUAAACCUCUAUGGAUAACCACGUACACUUGUCAUUCGUACAAUCAUUCCACGUUGAUCUUGUAAUUAUAAGAUACCUCGAAAUCCUCUCUAUUGUUUCGAGAAUCCUUUGUGCCUACUGCCUUGUGGUUCUUUACCGCAUGAACACCCCUAAGGAUAAUCCCUCGCAUUUAUCAAGUAUCUGUUCAACUCCAGUUGUUCAUGUGUUUCACUAAGGCCUUCGAAAUAAUAUUCGAUCUUCCGAAUUCCUUAGCAGCUUAUUGCUCUUGAAAUUCUUGCUUGCUUGCAUUAUGGUUAAUCCCAUAAGUAUAGUAAUCUUAUUGGCAACCUUUGUCACUAUCAUUUGGGGUCCACUGAUUCAAUAUGUUACGAAUGCUCGCAAUCCUCAAUCAUAUCCUAGAAUUCAUCCUUUUGGCUCAGACGUCAUUUUUAAACAUGAGUUGAAUCUCGACCAAUCAAAUUGUUGUCGAUUUUACCCCUAAGCUUACUCAACUUAUCCAUCCUUAAUCAGAGCGUUUGCUUCUGAUCCUUUGAUUUGGAAAUCAUAAUUCCUUUACAUGUGAGCUUUGAAUUAGCCAGUUGCUUCUAUAAUCCAAUACCUUUGCAUUGUUUCUUCCUCUGGUUGUGUGCCGAUACUCACAUCAGCUUCGCUAUGGACCGUCCGGUCCUUUGUUGAAAUAUCAUCCGACAGUGUCCUUCGUCUACAAAAACCUCGAGAAAUUCUUUCCCUGAUACAUAAUGCCUUCGGUAAAUUGUAUCCUCUCGUUUUGUCACCCAUCCUCUACUAUCGAGCUGGUGAUAUUUAUUCUUGAAGCUUGUGGCAUAUGUUCCUAAGAUGCCCCGAUGGGUUGAACCAACACCUUUACUAUUCUGUGUGAACCCGAAAGAUUUCACGGUUCAUACUUAUCUGGUAUUGCACCAGGUAAAACUUUCAACAACUAAUGUCAAUUUUCGAAAAAGACGAGAAGUGAAUGAAAGGUUAUGCAUUGAAGAAGUGGGAGUCGACCUUGAACUUUGUGUUCAUGCCCAUGGACACGAUGUAGAUCUUAUCAUUAAAGCCUCUCUUAAAUCUUUUUUUCCUUGGUAUAAGUUUAUCUUAUAUCUGGGAUCUGGCCUUUUGCAAUCGUGGUUCCGACCAUGUUCUCCUUUAAAUACCAUUUCUCAUGCAAGUAUAAUCACUUGUCUUCUGCAGAGCAAUACCCCAGUCCAACCUCUACUUUGGUCUGUCAUCGAGUAUUACUCCAUGGUAUCUCGAGAUUAUCACGGAAUUGCAUAACUUCUUAUGAGUUCUCCAUCAAGUACUACAUUCUCACUAAUUCCAAAAUUUUCACGGGCUCUGUGUUAUUAACACUCAAGGACACCGAUAACUAAAUCAAGUCCACACCGCGAUUAAACAACUCUUAGUAAACCUCUUUACUUAUGAGUUUGUACUCAAUCACGUUAUUCCUAGCCUGAUCGGUUGUAUCAUUCGCAUGCUGAUUUUAACUGUGCUACCUGGUCCUUAAUUCCCGGAGCACCACUUUCGGCAAUGAGCUAAGCUUACAUCGAUCUUCCUCGGCAUAUCAUUUCGCCUUGGACAGCAAGCUUGAUUUCAAGUUUGUACUGUACUAGUGGUUUCAAUAACCUUUCGCUCCAUCAUUCAUUUGACUUGAUGUCAUCGCCGAUCGAUUACAUCUUCAUGAAAUCUCGCGACAAAUGUGUCGUGAACAUCAUCAACAUUCUGAGCUCUUCCAAGAUAUCUAUCGAAUUCUUGAUGAGAAAUACCACCCUUUGCUCUCGAUGAUUUGUGUUAUCAUCGACCACUUUAUUGCCUUUCAUUCAACACAAACUUGUUCGUGUUUUGUGUUAUACCUUGAGAUCCUUGCUAUCCAUCAAUUAUUCUUCUUUACCUUGGAGCAUUACCACCUUUUAUGCCAGGAAUGUCGUGAGAAAUUCAGCAUCCUUAAGAAUUCUUGAUACAAGUGAUACUUAUUACCAUCACCAUUCUUUUCUUGGUCCCCGUGUUGUUUCUAACCGAAAUACCAACAAAUGGUCUGUGAUGUGUAAACUCUAAAAUUCUAGCAACCCUAUUGCUUUGAAGUUAUUGGUCUAUAGUUUCAUUCUUAGUCUAUUGUUUAUUGAAUCAUCAUUCGAACAUCGAUCGUGCUACCUAGUCCAGAUUCCUGGGUGCACCUUUCUAUCAUUGUUCAGUUGUGUAUGUUUCCCUCGAGCCUACAUCAUUAUAUCAUUUGAUCUGACUAAUGUUAUCUCCUUGUUCACAUAAUUGUGGAGAUCCAUCUUUUGGAAAUCUCGAUGAAUGGUCGCUGAGUCCAUCAGCCACCUCCUCAUCCUCUCCUUGGUUUAAUGAUGAACUCUUGUUUUGGAACUCGCUUCCAUAGCUCUUUUCCCGAGAAUCUUACAUUGUCAUCUCAUCAAUUUGUGUCGCACCUUCUCUUCUCAGACAUCCUAAGUCUGAGGUACCCUGACACCAAUCAGAUCUGAAUCUCGGUCAGAUAUGAUGGUUGGAACAUAUUUUCAAGAGUUAUAACAUUGAUCCUCAUAUGACCUGGUAAGGUGAUGUCAUGCCCAGCACACCUGGCCGGAGGACCUACUGUUAUAGUUUCCUUAUUAGCAAGGUUAUCCUUUCUUCCAUGAGGAAAUUGUAAGACUUAUUCUACAAGUUGUUCCUGAUGGAUCCUUCCUGUAUCCAAAGUCUGACCUUUGCUUGAAGACCAUGUCAAUGCUAUCUCGAAGCAUGUCUGUGGUAAUUCGAUUUUCAAUAAGAGCAAUUGUAGCACAAUGCUAGAUUUUAUUUAUCAAUUAUCCUAACACCGUUGUAUGGGUAAUGUCAUGAAAUUCCUCUCCCCUUACCUAAAUGGUUUUCUACCUUCUAUCCUGCCGUGGAUGUCAUGCUCUGCUUAUCCUUGGGAAGGAUAUACCCCUGAAUUAUGUGUUUAAACACAUUUUUCCUUUCUGUUGUUCCGUUUUUCUGAUAAGUACAUUUUCCUUUCCAUUGUUUUGUUUAACCUUCUCGAGGUUUAUAUGAUCUAAGCAGUAAUAAGUCACUCCUUUUGUAAGCACCUUGGCGUACAACUCUGUCAGUAAGAACCUGUUACUAUUGGUGAUGACAUUCCGGUAACCACCGAUGGACGAGAACUUUACCUAUUGGUCCGCCUCGUUCAACGAGCGGGAAGAUGGUUCUCUUCGUCCCUCGCCCUUGGUACCGACGUUGUUGCCGACAUAACUGACAGGCUAUCCUCUGACAUGCCUUCUAUCAUGAUCGUGCAAAAUGACAGCGCCCUCCCUUCUUUUAACCCACAUGGUUGGCCCAUAACCCACAGUUCCACAGGAUCAAAACCUGACUCUCCUGUACAUCCCUGUUUCGAAGUUAUCCCUUGUGCUUCGUUUCGUAUGUAAUUCUCGAGCCACCAUCCUAGUGAUCAAUUCUGGUAUCGAACACAAUACUUAUUCCAGUUGCUCCGAACCCCUUUCACAAUCUGUUUCAGGCAACGAAUGAUUGCCUAUCCGAUUGAAACUCUUAUUCCACCUUCUUACCUUGCUCUCGAUAUUUUCUUAAGUUUCAAUUCGAGACUUACUUUCCGCCACCUUCCCCGAUGUUAUCGACUAGAUAGUCAACCUGGCAGAGAUCCGUUCUUCCGGAAUACCCCCCUUAUUCUGUCGUAAGUGCGAUGGAGUUCCCGAAGAAAGGACGACAACUUCAUCAUGAUGCAUUGAUGCAUAGGAAUGAAGAAAUCAACGCUAUGGAUCGACCUCUUCGAGAAAAGCAACAAAGACCGAGAAGACUCGAUAGAAUUUCGUAACCACACCUUUCCCCUUACUCUACCUCUUAAAUCUCGGGACGAGAUUUCUUGUAGUGGAGCAGAAUUGUGACGCCCGGCUAAUUAAGCUACAGUGAACCUAUGAUAAUGAUGCCACGUCACCUCCGUAACCGUUGCUAAUCUCUCGUUAGUUCAAAACUGGUUCACAAAUCAAAUUCAAAAUAUGGCAAACCACAAAACUUUUCAAACAUGAAAACAAAAAUGUUCGGUUAGUGACAAAUAUUACAUAGGUAAUUAUUGCGAAGAAAAUACUUUUUAGUAAAUGUCUAAAUAUUUUAAGGUGAAUUAAAACGGAAAGGAAAAUAAAUAAAAGAAAACGAACAAAGGACCAGCCCCCCUGCUGGGCCGUAAGGCCCAGCUGGCCAGCAAGCCGGCCGACCCCGCCCCUGGCCUAUAUGGCCUACCUCUCCAUCCCCCGAACCCUAGANNNNNNNNNNNNNNNNNNNNNNNNNNNNNNNNNNNNNNNNNNNNNNNNNNNNNNNNNNNNNNNNNNNNNNNNNNNNNNNNNNNNNNNNNNNNNNNNNNNNNNNNNNNNNNNNNNNNNNNNNNNNNNNNNNNNNNNNNNNNNNNNNNNNNNNNNNNNNNNNNNNNNNNNNCCCCCUCGCUCCACACGCGCUGCCACACACGUGCGCUAGCGCAGGGCAGCGUCCCGCCUCACCCUGUGCGCCUCCUACCUCCCGCCGGCGUCGCCUCACCUCCCAGCCAACGCGGUCGCCGGAUCAUCGUCGCCCCGUCCUCAUCCCCCUCCCCGAUCCAGAACAGGUUCGGGGCACGACCUCAACGCUGCAUCGAACCGCGACGCCCGCCGCUCGACCCUGUCGCCCCCGGACCGCUCCCUCGCCGGACCUCCUCCUCUAUGUCGCCGUCGUCCCCGUCCUCCUCCCCAAAGGCUCCAUCGAGCCUCGCCGACCCUCGUCCCUGCAACGCCGGUGAGGCAACGGCCUCCCUCUCCUCUUCUCCCCCUCUCUGUUGCACGUCGCCGUGCCGCUUCCGAGCUCACACUCCGCCGCGGCCUCUACCUUCGACCGUAGCCGGCCGCGUACGCGCCGCUGCCCGCCUUUCCUUCUGCCUCCACCACUGAUCGCGCCAGCGGCCCUCCUCCUCGCGCUCACUGAGCCGCCCCUAGCCUCGCCCGCGCGCGUCGGCCGCCCCCUAGACUCCAAGCCUUGCGUGCUGGCCGUGCGCCCCGUACCACUGGCUGCUGCCCGCCGCACCCGCUCUGCACCGCGCCUCGAGCACCCCCUGCUGCAGCCCUGCCGCGCGCCCAUGCGCGCCCGCCCCCAUGGGGCCGUGCGCACCGCCGCUCGCUCACCGGCCGGCCCGUGCUGGCCUCGCCCACACUGGCCUGGCGACCUGCCAGGUCCGCCGCCCUCCCCCGCGCCCCUGGGCAUGCGCCCGCUCAGGCUGCGCCCAGCGCCCUGCUACCUCUUGAGCACUGCGUUGGUUUUCCCUUGAAGAGGAAAGGGUGAUGCAGCAAAGUAGCGUAAGUAUUUCCCUCUGUUUUUGAGAACCAAGGUAUCAAUCCAGUAGGAGGCCACGCACGAGUCCCUCACACCUACACAAACAAAUAAAUCCUCGCAACCAACGCGAUAAGGGGUUGUCAAUCCCUACACGGUCACUUACGAGAGUGAGAUCUGAUAGAUAUGAUAAGAUAAUAUUUUUGGUAUUUUUAUGAUAAAGAUGCAAAGUAAAGAAAGUAAAAUAAAAACGGCAAAAGCAAUAGCUAAGUGUUGGAAGAUUAAUAUGAUGGAAAAUAGACCCGGGGGCCAUAGGUUUCACUAGUGGCUUCUCUCGAGAGCAUAAGUAUUUACGGUGGGUGAACAAAUUACUGUUGAACAAUUGACAGAAUUGAGCAUAGCUAUGAGAAUAUCUAGGUAUGAUCAUGUAUAUAGGCAUCACGUCCGAGACAAGUAGACCGACUCCUGCCUGCAUCUACUACUAUUACUCCACACAUCGACCGCUAUCCAGCAUGCAUCUAGAGUACUAAGUUCAUAAGAACAGAGUAACGCCUUAAGCAGGAUGACAUGAUGUAGAGCGAUAAAAUCAUGCAAUAUGAUAAAAACAGCAUCGUGUUAGCCUCGAUGGCAACAAUACUAUACGUGCCUUGCUGCCCCUACUGUCACUGGGAAAGGACACCGCAAGAUUGAACCCAAAGCUAAGCACUUCUCCCAUUGCAAGAAAGAUCAAUCUAGUAGGCCAAACCAAACUGAUAAUUCGAAGAGACUUGCAAAGAUAACCAAUCAUACAUAAAAGAAUUCAGAAGAUUCAAAUAUUGUUCAUAGAUAAAGUUGAUCAUAAACCCACAAUUCAUCGGUCUCAACAAACACACCGCAAAAGAAGAUUACAUCAAAUAGAUCUCCACAAGAGAGGGGGAGAACAUUGUAUUGAGAUCCAAAAAGAGAGAGGAAGCCAUCUAGCUAAUAACUAUGGACCCGAAGAUCUGAGGUAAACUACUCACACAUCAUCGGAGAGGCUAUGGUGUUGAUGUAGAAGCCCUCCGUGAUUGAUGCCCCCUCCGGCGGAGCUCCGGAACAGGCCCCAAGAUGGGAUCUCACGGGUACAGAAGGUUGAGGCGGUGGAAUUAGGUUUUUGGCUCCGUAUCUGGUAGUUUGGGGGUACGUAGGUAUAUAUAGGAGGAAGGAGUACGUCGGUGGAGCAACGUGGGGCCCACAAGGGUGGAGGGCGCGCCCAGGGGGGAUAGGCGUGCCCCCUACCUCGUGGCUUCCUGGUAGCUUUCUUGACGUAGGGUCCAAGUCCUCUGGAUCACGUUCGUUCCGAAAAUCACGUUCCCGAAGGUUUCAUUCUGUUUGGACUCCGUUUGAUAUUCUUUUUCUGCGAAACUCUGAAAUAGGCAAAGAAAACAACAAUUCUGGGCUGGGCCUCCGGUUAAUAGGUUAGUCCCAAAAAUAAUAUAAAAGUGUAUAAAGCCCAAUAAUGUCCAAAACAGAAGAUAAUAUAGCAUGGAGCAAUCAAAAAUUAUAGAUACGUUGGAGACGUAUCAAGCAUCCCCAAGCUUAAUUCCUGCUCGUCCUCGAGUAGGUAAAUGAUAAAAACAGAAUUUUUGAUGUGCAAUGCUACUGGCAUAAUUUCAAUGUAAUUCUUCUUAAUUGUGGUAUGAAUAUUCAGAUCCGAAAGAUUCAAGAUAAAAGUUCAAUAUUGACAUAAAAAUAAUAAUACUUCAAGCAUACUAACUAAGCAAUUAUGUCCUCUCAAAAUAACAUGGCCAAAGAAAGUUCAUCCCUACAAAAUCAUAUAGUUUAGUCAUGCUCCAUUUUCGUCACACAAGAAUGCUCUCAUCAUGCACAACCCCGAUGACAAGCCAAGCAAUUGUUUCAUACUUUAGUAAUCUCAAACUUUUUCAACCUUGACGCAAUACAUGAGCGUGAGCCAUGGAUAUAGCACUAUGGGUGGAAUAGAAUAUGAUGUUAUGUGGAGAAGACAAAAAAGGAGAAAGUCUCACAUCAACGAGGCUAAUCAAUGAGCUAUGGAGAUGCCCACCGAUUGAUGUUAAUGCAAGGAGUAGGGAUUGCCAUGCAACGGAUGCACUAGAGCUAUAAAUAUAUGAAAGCUAAACAAAAGAAACUAAGUGGGUGUGCAUCCAACUUGCUUGCUCACGAAGACCUAGGGCACUUGAGGAGGCCCAUUGUUGGAAUAUACAAUCCAAGUUCUAUAAUGAAAAAUUCCCACUAGUAUAUGAAAGUGACAAAACAAGAGACUCUCUAUCAUGAAGAUUAUGGUGCUACUUGGAAGCACAAGUGUGGUAAAAGGAUAGUAACAUUGUCCCUUCGCUCUUUUUCUCUCAUUUUUUUGGGCCUUCUUUUUUUUUAUGGCCUUUCUCUUUUUUUUAUUCCUCACUUGGGACAAUGCUCUAGAAAAUGAUGAUCAUCACACUUCUAUUUAUUUACAACUCGAUACUAGAACAAAGUAUGACUCUAUAUGAAUGCCUCCGGCGGUGUACCGGGAUAUGCAAUGAACCAAGAGUGACAUGUAUGAAAGAAUUAUGAACAGUGGCUUUGCCACAAAUACUAUGUCAACUACAUGAUCAUGCAAAGCAAUAUGACAAUGAUGAACGUGUCAUGAUAAACGGAAUGGUGGAAAGUUGCAUGGCAAUAUAUCUCGGAAUGGCUAUGGAAAUGCCAUAAUAGGUAGGUAUGGUGGCUGUUUUGAGGAAGAUAUAAGGAUGUUUAUGUGUGAAAGAGCGUAUCAUAUCAUGGGGUUUGGAUGCACCGGCGAAGUUUGCACCAACUCUCAAUGUGGGAAAGGGCAAUGCACGGUACCGAAGAGGAUAGCAAUGGUGGAAAGGUGAGAGUGCGUAUAAUCCAUGGACUCAACAUUAGUGAUACAGAACUCACAUACUUAUUGCAAAAAUCUAUAAGUCAUCAAAAACCAAGCACUACGCGCAUGCUCCUAGGGGGAUAGAUUGGUAGGAAAAGACCAUCGCUCGUCCCCGACCGCCACUCAUAAGGAGGACAAUCAAAGAACACCUCAUGUUUCAAAUUUGUUACAUAACGUUUACCAUACGUGCAUGCUACGGGACUUGCAAACUUCAACUCAAGUAUUUCUCAAAUUCACAACUACUCAACUAGCACAACUUUAAUAUCGCUACCUCCAUGUCUCAAAACAAUCAUCAAGCACCAAACUUCUCUUAGUAUUCAACACACUCAUAAGAAAGUUUUUACUAAUCUUGAAUACCUAGCAUAUUAGGAUUAUUUAAGCAAAUUACCAUGCUAUUUAAGACUCUCAAAAUAAUCUAAGUGAAGCAUGAGAGAUCAAUAGUUUCUAUAAAACAAAUCCACCACCGUGCUCUAAAAGAUAUAAGUGAAGUACUAGAGCAAAAACUAUAUAACUCAAAACAUAUAAGUGAAGCACAUAGAGUAUUCUAAUAAUUUCCGAAUCAUGUGUGUCUCUCUCAAAAGGUGUGUACAUCAAAGAUGAAUGUGGUAAACUAAAAAAAUAAAGACUCAAAUAAUACAAGAGGCUCCAAGAAAAACACAUAUCAUGUGGUGAAUAAAAAUAUAGCUCCAAGUAAAGUUACCGAUGGAAGUAGACGAAAGAGGGGAUGCCUUCCGGGGCAUCCCCAAGCUUUGGCUUUUAGGUGUCCUUAGAUUAUCUUGGGGGUGCCAUGGGCAUCCCCAAGCUUAGGCUCUUGCCACUCCUUGUUCCAUAAUCCAUCAAAUCUUUCACCCAAAACUUGAAAACUUCACAACACAAAACUCAGCAGAAAACCUCGUGAGCUCCGUUAGCGAAAGAAAACAAAAGACCACUUCAAGGUACUGUAAUGAACUCAUUCUUUAUUUAUAUUGGUGUUAAACCUACUGUAUUCCAACUUCUCUAUGGUUUAUAAACUAUUUUACUAGCCAUAGAUUCAUCAAAAUAAGCAAACAACACACGAAAAACAGAAUAUGUCAAAAACAGAACAGUCUGUAGUAAUCUGUAACUAACGCAAACUUCUGGAACUCCAAAAAAUCAGAAAAAAUAGGAAGACCUAUACAAUUUGUUUAUUGAUAAGCAGCAAUUGGAAUCAAUAUUUUAUCACGUUCUGGUGAUUUUUAACAAUUAUUUUCGUGAACAGAAAAUUUCUGGAAUUUUUUGCAAGAUCAAAUAACUAUCAUCCAAGAAGAUCCUAUAGGUUUAACUUGGCACAAACACUAAUUAAACAUAAAAACACAUCUAACUAGAGGCUAGAACAAAUAUUUAUUCCUAAACAGAAGCAAAAAGCAAAAAACUAAAAAUAAAAUUGGGUUGCCUCCCAACAAGCGCUAUCGUUUAACACCCCUAGCUAGGCAUUGGUAAUUCUAACGACGCUCACAUCAAAGACAAGAAUUGAAGCGCAAAGAGAGCAUCAUGAAACACGUGACAAACACAUCUAAGUCUAACAUACUUCCUAUGCACAGGCAUCUUAUAGGCAAACAAAUGAUCAUAGCAAGCAAAAACUAGCAUAUGCAAGGAAGAAGAAAGAGACGAUAGCAAUCUCAACAUGACGAGAGGUAAUUUAGUAACACGAAAAUUUCUACAACCAUAUUUUCCUCUCUCAUAAUAAUUACAUGUAGGAUCAUAAGCAAAUUCAAUAAUAUAGCUAUCAUAUAAAAUAUUUUCAACACGAUCCUCAUGCAUGCAAAGUUGACACUCUUCCGAAAUAGUGGGAUUAACAUUAACUAAAGUCAUGACCUCUCCAAACCCACUUUUAUCAAAAAUUUCAUAAGAUUGAAUAUUCUCCAAAUAUGUGGGAUCUAAAGUUGACACUCUUCCAAACCCACUUUCAAUAAUAUUGCAAACACUAUUAUCAAUUUCAUAUUCAUCAUGGGGCUUAAAUAAAUUUUCAAGAUCAAAAGAAGAAACACCCCAAUCAUGAUCAUUGCAACAAGUAGUAGACAUAGCAAAACUAGCAUCCCCAAGCUUAGGGUUUUGCAUAUUAUUAGCACAAUUGACAUUAUGAAAAUUUAUAGUAAAAUUUUUGCAAUCAUGCUUUUCAUCGAAGGAACUACCAAGUAUGGGUGCAUUAGCAACGACCUCAUGUUUAACGUAAGGAACUAUAGCAAAUUCAUCUUCAUAAAUAUUGGCAUCAUGGCCACAAGGAUAGCAAGCAUCAUGUUCAUCAAGGGAUAUUUCAAUCAAAUCAUCGGAAUCAUAAUUAUCUAUAGAUUCGUGCAUAUCAUUAUUUUCUUUAGAAGAAACGGUCAUUCUUUCAAUAAAUUCUUUGACAUAGACAUUAUGAGCAUAGUUUUCAUAGCAAUAUUCAAGUAUGUCAAGAUUUUCAUAUUCGUAAAGAGUAGUAUCAUACUUUUCAAGCAAAGAAGCAACUUCAAAAGAACCCUUAAAAGCAACAAAUUCUUCAAUUUGUUCAAUAUCAUAGUAGCUAUAAACACCCUUUGCAUAAGAAGAUAAGAUUUCAUUUUCAUUAAACUCACAUAGGUAGGGGAGGUGUUUUUUAGGGUUCUUAGAGCAACAAGUAAUAUCACAAAUUUCACAAAGAUUCCAAGCAUAACACAGCAAUUUGUUUAUUUGUUUCCAUAAGAUUCUCCCUUUUUCAGACAAACGGUGACGCACAAAAUGAGCAUGCUCAGCUAAAGAUUUGCCAUCAACUAGGCUAGUUGGGGUUUCAGCACAAGCGCAUAAGGAUCGAAGAUGAUCCAAGUAGAACACUUUAAGUGGAUCCAUAUCAAUAGAUUUUUAGCAAGCAAAGAUGCAAGAAAAUAGAAGGCACAUGGCAACACAAGCAAGCGAAAAAGACGCGAACGGAAAAGAGAGGGCGAAUAAAAUGGCAAGGGUGAAGUGGGGGAGAGGAAAACGAGAGGCAAAUGGCAAAUAAUGUAAUGCGGGAGAUAAGGGUUUGUGAUGGGUACUUGGUAUGUUGACUUUUGCGUAGACCUCCCCGGCAACGGCGCCAGAAAUCCUUCUUACUACCUCUUGAGCACUGCGUUAGUUUUCCCUUGAAGAGGAAAGGGUGAUGCAGCAAAGUAGCGUAAGUAUUUCCCUCAGUUUUUGAGAACCAAGGUAUCAAUCCAGUAGGAGGCCACGCACGAGUCCCUCACACCUACACAAACAAAUAAAUCCUCGCAACCAACGGGAUAAGGGGUUGUCAAUCCCUACACGGUCACUUACGAGAGUGAGAUCUGAUAGAGAUGAUAAGAUAAUAUUUUUGGUAUUUUUAUGAUAAAGAUGCAAAGUAAAGAAAGUAAAAUAAAACGGCAAAAGAAAUAGCCAAGUGUUGGAAGAUUAAUAUGAUGGAAAAUAGACCCGGAGGCCAUAGGUUUCACUAGUGGCUUCUCUCGAGAGCAUAAGUAUUUACGGUGGGUGAACAAAUUACUGUUGAACAAUUGACAGAAUUGAGCAUAGCUAUGAGAAUAUCUAGGUAUGAUCAUGCAUAUAGGCAUCACGUCCGAGACAAGUAGACCGACUCCUGCCUGCAUCUACUACUAUUACUCCACACAUCGACCGCUAUCCAGCAUGCAUCUAGAGUACUAAGUUCAUAAGAACAGAGUAACGCCUUAAGCAAGAUGACAUGAUGUAGAGGGAUAAAAUCAUGCAAUAUGAUAAAAACACCAUCUUGUUAUCCUCGAUGGCAACAAUACUAUACGUGCCUUGCUGCCCCUACUGUCACUGGGAAAGGACACCGCAAGAUUGAACCCAAAGCUAAGCACUUCUCCCAUUGCAAGAAAGAUCAAUCUAGUAGGCUAAACCAAACUGAUAAUUCGAAGAGACUUGCAAAGAUAACCAAUCAUACAUAAAAGAAUUCAGAAGAUUCAAAUAUUGUUCAUAGAUAAAGUUGAUCAUAAACCCACAAUUCAUCGGUCUCAACAAACACACCGCAAAAGAAGAUUACAUCAAAUAGAUCUCCACAAGAGAGGGGGAGAACAUUGUAUUGAGAUCCAAAAAGAGAGAGGAAGCCAUCUAGCUAAUAACUAUGGACCCGAAGAUCUGAGGUAAACUACUCACACAUCAUCGGAGAGGCUAUGGUGUUGAUGUAGAAGCCCUCCGUGAUUGAUGCCCCCUCCGGCAGAGCUCCGGAACAGGCCCCAAGAUGGGAUCUCACGGGUACAGAAGGUUGAGGCGGUGGAAUUAGGUUUUUGGCUCCGUAUCUGGUAGUUUGGGGGUACGUAGGUAUAUAUAGGAGGAAGGAGUACGUCGGUGGAGCAACGUGGGGCCCACGAGGGUGGAGGGCGCACCCAGGGGGGAUAGGCGCGCCCCCUACCUCGUGGCUUCCUGGUAGCUUUCUUGACAUAGGGUCCAAGUCCUCUGGAUCACGUUCCCGAAGGUUUCAUUCCGUUUGGACUCCGUUUGAUAUUCUUUUUCUGCGAAACUCUGAAAUAGGCAAAAAAAAAGCAAUUCUGGGCUGGGCCUCCGGUUAAUAGGUUAGUCCCAAAAAUAAUAUAAAAGUGUAUAAUAAAGCCCAAUAAUGUCCAAAACAGAAGAUAAUAUAGCAUGGAGCAAUCAAAAAUUAUAGAUAUGUUGGAGACGUAUCACGCCCGCACCCGCGUCGCCUGUUCGGGCAGCCCCCGUGGCACCCAAACCCACUAUGGCCCUUAGGGCCUAUGACAUAUGGGCCCCGCCCACAGAACAAAAAACAAAGGAUUUAAAAAAAAUUAAUUAAGUAAAUAAGUAAAUUAAUUAACUUAAUUAAUCCUGUUUAUUUAACCUAAUUAACUAUUGUUAAUUAAUUAAACAGUAAUUAGAUUAGUUAAAUCCUAAUUAGAAUAAACAGAGUAUGACAUGCGGGACCCACACGUCAGAUUGACCCAGUCAACGCACUGUUGACUGCUGUCAUCAUGAUGACGUCAGCAUACACUAUGGAUAAUGUUGAAUUAAAAUAAUUAAAUAAAUUCUGAAAAUGAUUAAAACUUUAGAAAAACAUAGAAAAUAAACCGUAGCUCAGAUAAAAAUGUUUUCUACAUGAAAGUUGCUCAAAACGACGAGGCGAAUCCGGAUACGCAGCCCGUUCGUCUGCCACACAUCCAUAGCAUAGCGAACACGCAACUUUCCCCCUCCGGUUCAUCUGUCCGAAAACGCAAAACACCGGGGAUACUUUCCCGGAUGUUCCCCCCUUCGCCGAUAUCAGUUCCUACCGCGUUAGGGCACACCUAGCACCGCUCAUUGUCAUGACAUGCAUCGUCAUGCAUGUGUUUGCAUUAUAUUUAUUGUUUCUUCCCCCUCUUCUAUCGCUAGACACCGAGACUGAUGCCGCUGCUGGUACCCCGAUCGACUACGUUGUUGACGACCCCUCCUUGCCAGAGCAACCAGGCAAGCCCCCCUUGAUCACCAGAUAUCGCAUAUUCCUUCUCUCUACUGCUUGCAUUAGAGUAGUGUAGCAUGUUACUGCUUUCGGUUAAUCCUAUUCUGCUGCAUAGCCUACCAUUGUUGCUACAGUUGUUACCCUUACCUGCAAUCCUAAAUGCUUAGUAUAGGAUGCUAGUAUCCAUCAGUGGCCCUACAUUCUUGUCCGUCUGCCAUGCUAUACUAUCGGGUCGUGAUCACUCGGGAGGUGAUCACGGGUAUAUACAUAUAUACAUACAUACUAUACAGGUGAUGACUAAAGUCGGGUCGGCUCGUUGAGUAUCCGCACGUGAUUUCGAUGUGGGGGCUGAAAGGACAGGUGGCUCCAUCAAGGUAGUGGUGGGCCUGAGUUCCCGACGGCCCCCGACUGUUACUUUGUGGCGGAGCGACAGGGCAGGUUGAGACCACCUAGGUGAGAGGUGGGCCUGGCCCUGGUCGGCGUCCGUGGUUACUUCAUAAUAACACGCUUAACGAGAUCUUGGUAUUUGAUCUGAGUUGGGUUGUUGACCUUAUACGCACUAACCGCCACGUGGGACAAGAUAUGGGCAACCGGCGUCGUGGUAUCAGCCGAAGCUCUUUUUGACGUCAGCGACUGAGCGGCGCGCGCCGCAUUGGACCUGUAGCGACCAGACCUCAAAUGGCCUGUGCUGCUGUGCACCAGUGUCAUCCCUGGAUCAGUAAUGCUGACACGCACAGUACAAAUGGAGGAUUUAUAACAGAGUAGCAAUCACACACUUAUUACAUCGAAUAUCUCCAAAGAGAUUAAGUAUGAUAAACAUGGCUUAAGGCCAUCUAAUAACGAUAACAGCGGAAGACUUGGAAGAUAAGUGAGUCCAUCAACUCCAGCGGCAUCACUGAGUAUAAGACCACGACCUAAGGCACCUUACUCGUCGUCUGAAAAGUCUGCAACAUGAAACGUUGCAGCCCGAAAACGGGUCAGCACAUAGAAUAUGCUGGCAAAGCAACACAUAGAGAGCAAUGAACAAUGAUAAGGCUAUACUAUAUGCAUAUAUGGCUGUGGAAAGGCUCUAUGGUUACAGUUUUGCGAAAAGCCAAUUUUAUCCUACUACAAAGGAAUAAAUUUUAUUUAACUAUCAUGGUGGUUGAAACAUUGAGAAGGUACCUCCAACUCAAUCCCAAUUAAGUAACAUCAUUAACCCAACAAAAUUAAUUAUAAGUAUCACGGUGAUGAGAUUCAAAUGAUAAUCCAGGUACUAGAUACUCAAGUUGUCCAUAACCGGGGACACGGCUAAUCAUGAUCAGUUUGUACACUCUGCAGAGGUUUGUGCACUUUUCCCCACAAGACUCGAUCGCCUCCGCUUGAUUCUCGCACUACAUGAUGUUUGAGAAACGGAUGACCGAGACACAGUCUUUCAGAAACAGUCACUCUCUACUCUGGAUGGACCGGUACACCUACUUCCCCUACAUCUGCUAGUCCACCUCUUCAAGAGAUCCUGUAACCUACUCAGCUAUGCUAGAGCCCAUAAUAGCUUGCGGCUGCACACGGAAGUUUCUAGCAUGAAUAAUCUUAUGAUCCCUUUGAGCCUGGGUGGCGGACCUUAUACAUACAGACAACACUGGGUUCUCCAGGUGCCUCAAUCCACCCAGAUGUGAGUUUUAGUUGCCACCUUAAGUUGAACCAUUAUUAAACACUCACAUCUGUCAUGAAUAUCUCUCAAACCCAAUCCACGUCUACGAGCAUAGCAUGGCAAUAAUAAAAGCAACGUAGAAGUAACUCCCAAGGGUUUGAUAAAGAACAGGUAAUAGGUACUACCUCAACUACUUCCCAAUACCCAUAGUUUAAUUAGAUCCUAAUCAUGCAAUGUGUUUGAGGAAAUAGAUCUAAUGCAAAUAAAACUGGGUAUGAACGGGGUAUGAUCAAAGUGUUACUUGCCUUGCUGAUGAUCCGCAAAACCUAGCGAGUCGAAGUAACAAGCGGCACACACCGGGUACUCUAUCGCAACAAACAAGCACACAAUCAGUACUCAUCUAAUGCACAGGUAAAACUCGAAAGAAAGAUCCAACCAGAAAGUUCAACUUAAGAACUCCGGUUUGCAAAAAGAAUCAACUCGAAAGAAGCAACGAAAGUCAAACGGCGAAAGAAAGAAACUUCGUUUGCUAAUCUGGAUCUAGGUCAAAUUUUACUGUAGCAAAAACUUGUUUGAGUAGGUUAAACGGAAAGAGAAUUUCGAUACGAAACUCUAGGCGCUUGAAUCACCUGAUUCCGAUAAACGAGCGAGAAGUUAAACAGAUUCGAAGUUUCGAUCAGAAAUCGAAUCUGAGAAAAUAACGAGAAAAUCCGACGAAAAAGAAAAACGGACGAACGGUUAAAUAACGGACGUUCGUUAACAGAGAAAAAUCGACGAACGCGUUCGUUGAAACGAACGGUUCGGUGAACGCUCGUGAAAUAAGAAAACCGAAAAAAAAACCGAUCUAGGGUUUUUUUUAAUAUGUUCCACGGAAAAUAUUGCGUAGAAAAAUAAAUAAAAAUCAGAAAAAUACGUAAUAAAUUUUCCCCGUCUAGUUAGAAAAUCUAGAAUAGGGUGAACAUUUUUAAAAUCAAAAAUAAAUAUUUUGAAAACAUGCAUAUUUUUAAAUGCAAUAAAAAUUGCAAAUAAAAUCCAAUAAAUUCCAAAUAAUGAUUUUAACAUUUUUCCUCCAGUAUUUCAAUAUGUUUGGAGAAGUCAUAUUUUCUCCUCUCGUUUAUUUUUAAAAGAAAUAUUUUACCGGAGAGAAAAAAUAAUUAAAAUCCCAAUCCUCGUUUGAAAGUCAAAUAAGAAAAUUUGAGAAAAUCCCCAACUCUCUCCGAGGGUCCUUGAGUUGCUUAGGAUUUAUCGAGGAUUUGUAAAAAUGCAAUAAAACAUGAUAUGCAAAUGAUGUCCUAUGUAUAACAUUCCAAAUUGAAAAUUUGGGAUGUUACAGGACCGUAAGCCCACGCUUGUAUUAACGGGGCUAGGUCUGCUUCCGGCCGCGUUCGCAACGUGCAGGUGUGCAAUGGGCGAUGGGCCCAAACCCCUGCGCGCAUAGGAUUUAGACCGGCGUGCUGACCUCUCUAUUGAGCCUAGGUAGGGCUGCGACAUGUUGAUCUCCCGAGGCCGGACAUGACCCAGGAAAGUGUGCCCGGCCAAAGGGAUCGAGCGUGUCGGGUAAUGUGGUGCACCCCUGCAGGGAAGUUGAUCUAUUCGAAUAGCCGUGUCCACGGUAACAGGCGACCCGGAGUUGUACCUUGACCUUAUGACAACUAGAACCGGAUACUAAAUAAAACACACCCUUCCAAGUGCCAUAUAUAACCCGGUGAUCGCUCUCUAGCAGGGCGACGAGGAGAGGAUCACCGGGUAGGAUUAUGCUAUGCGAUGCUACUUGGUGAACUUACCAUCUACUCUCUUCUACAUGCUGCAAGAUGGAGCCUGCCAGAAGCGUAGUCUUCGACAGGACUAGCUAUCCCCCUCUUAUUCUGGCUUUCUGCAGUUCAGUCCACCGAUAUUGCCCCUUUACACAGAUACCCAUGCAUAAGUAGUGUAGAUCCUUGCUUGCGAGUACUUUGGAUGAGUACUCACGGUUGCUUUUCUCCCUCUUUCCCCCUUUCCUUUUUACCUGGUUGUCACAACCAGAGGUUGGAGCCCAGGAGCCAGACGCCACCGUCGACGACGACCCCCUACUACACCGAGGGUGCCUACUACUACGUUCAGGCCGACGACGACUAGGAGUAGUUAGGAGGAUCCCAGGCAGGAGGCCUGCGCCUCUUUCGAUCUGUAUCCCAGUUUGUGCUAGCCAUCUUAUGGCAACUUGUUUAACUUAUGUAUGUACUCAGAUAUUGCUGCUUCCGCUGACUCGUCUAUGAUCGAGCACUUGUAUUCGAGCCCUCGAGGCCCCUGGCUUGUAUUAUGAUGCUUGUAUGACUUUUUAUGUUUUUAGAGUUGUGUUGCGAUAUCUUCCCGUGAGUCCCUGAUCUUGAUCGUACACGUUUGCGUGCAUGAUUAGUGUACGAUUGAAUCGGGGGCGUCACAGGUCCGGACUCAGCAAAUUCUUCUUCUUUGGAUUCCUCUUCGGCAGCUGAGGUGGUUGAGAUGAUUGAGUUGGUGGAGGUCCAUAAUCUUCAUCGUACUCAACCUCCUCCGCCUCCCCUUCUUCAUGUGUGGCCUCCUCCUCCUCCUCCUCAACCAACCUAGACGACGAGGGAACAUGGCUCGAUGAGCCAAUGUGACCCUGUGUGGCUACAGGCUGAUAAGCUUCAACCGACCCAGCUCCAGCACACCCAAGCAGCCCUACUAGCUUGCGACAACGCUUCACAAACUUCUGCACUCACAAUGAAACAAGGGCAUAAUAAGUAUCAGGUUUAUGAUUGCAAGUGAACAAGACACAUCUGUUCCGAGGAGGCUGAAAUUGUACCUUCAUUGUCCCCUCAUUUUGUUCUCAGAUUGUACGCCCCCGGGGGCAUCACCUAGUGCAUCUGAGGCUUCAAAGAUGCAUCUGUUCAGCUCACACGACUGCAACGGCAUAAGUCAGUCAUGAUGACGAAUAAAAUAAUUUAAAUACAACCGUCGAUUCAAACUUACCACUCUGUUGAUGAGGGGUGCAAACUCCCUAAAUCCACUAUGCAUGUCUCUGAUGCCGGUCUGGUAGGCCUCUUCCUCGGGGUCAUCCCUCUCCAGCUCCGCGAUGUCUUCCGCCGUCCACCGAGGCCUGAGACGAAGACGGUGCUUCUGGCCAUCAUCGUACCACCUCAUGUGUCGGUCCAGGUAAGCAUCCCAGUCAGUCACUUUCCUCUCCACGUCUUUCCGGUACCUCCGUCGGUUCCACUCUGUCACAUGAGUUUUAUGCUCCUCUCCCCAGUCUGUGAUCGACUGAUUCUUCUGCCGGCUCAUCCUGCAAGGCAUAGGCCACAAGAAACAUCAUAAUAAAGUCGCCACGCAAUGAAAUCAUGGGCACGAAGAACAAAGUGCUCACAGGUGGAGCGCGUGGCCGCCGGUAUCGGUGGGCGGGCCCGGUGGGGUAUGCUGAUACAUCCCAAACUGCAUGGCCACGCGGUGUGGCAAGUGCCACUCGACGGCGUACACACAGAUCAUGGGCACGAUGCACCGCCAGACACCACGGUCCUCAUCGCACAUCACGUUCAGAUCGAAGUCCCACUCUCGGUCAUGAUACGGCCAUCAGUUUACCUAUUACAUAUACGUUGGUAAGUUCCCACUCUCGGUCAAAAGUGGAAUCAAAGAGAAAGGUGUUGAGCGAGUUUAUAUACAUGUGUAUGCGCCAAAGCGUCCAACUCGUUGAUGUAGGUCUUGUACGAAGUCUUGUUUAGGCCCGUGUAGAGUUUGACAACGUCCCACUCGUAAGCUACGGUGGGGUGUCGAGUCUCGUCGCCGUCUUCGCUAUAGGCACCCCAUGGGCGUCUUGGCAUCUUUUCGGACGCCCCACCGGCAGCCACUCCCACAUCCAAAUGGAGAAGGCCCAGACAAAGCCACCCAUAUUGGACUAGUCUCCCGUCCUCUGUGUUGCGUCGUCAAGCUGCAAAACAUCAAAUGAGGAUCAGAUAUAACAAAAUGUCAUGGACAUACUUUCGUAGGUAGGCAAUUAGAUACUCUCUUAUCGAGCGGUAUAGGUAGGUGAGAGAUGCGGUCCCCCAACUGUACCCUGCAUCCCAGUCCGCUAGGAAGAACAGAUACGACCAGUUGGCAGAGUUCCGGGAGCUGUCUGGAAACACGACCUCCGUGAGAAGAUACCACAGAUAGGCCCUUGCAUACUACUCCAUAGUCGUCUCAUCGGCGUCUUCGGGGCAUGUCUUCCGGUGCUCUGAGAGCCAGGGCAACGACACACCGGAUGUACGGUUACCCUUAGCACCGGGGCAGUCGCCGGUGAGGGUGGUAACCCUCUGCUGCCAGUUGGUCCUCUCCACUCGCCCGGUGAGUGCAUGACCCUCGAUCGGCAUGGCAGUAAUCAUCGACCAAUCCUCGAGGGUCACCGUCAUCUCCCCGCAUGGCAGAUGGAAAGAAUGGGUCUCCGGUCGCCACCGGUCAAUCAAAGCUGUCAGAGCUGCGUGGACAAGCGUCGGCGGCUGACGCUUGAACUGCAACACAAAACCCAACAGUCGGGCUCUCUUGAAGAACGGCGCGUAGCGCUCGUCGUAGUCCAUAUGCCCAUGAACCCCGUGACCCCUCAUGCGCAGUGGCUGGAGCAUCUGUCAAAAAGUGAACGCCAAAAGUUAGGAAAUUAUUUUCAUCAAUCCGAAAACUUUGAUCAAUAUUUCCUUCAUAUUACUUACCUCUCCGUUCUCUAUGAAACGGGCACGAUGACCCUUGUCGAAUGCGUAGUCAAGCAUGGAGUACCGUGGGCCGAUGUUGUCCGCAAGAGGUGCCCGCCUUAAUAAAAUUUCAUAAACAAAAGCAUCAUAAGCAUAAGCAUACAUAAACAAAAAAUGAAAUCAAAUCAUAUCAACAUGCAUCAUAUCAAAAUAAAAUCUUAAGCAUAUUCCUCCAACAACAUCUACUAAACAUGAUGGAUCAAAUCAUAUCAACAUGCAUCAUAUCAAAAAAAAAUCCUCCAACAUGCAUCAUAUCAUCAUAUUUUUAAACAAUUUUUUUUAAAAUAGAGUUCAUCUUGAAUGUAAUUUCUCCAAACAACAUCUUCAUAUCAUCAUAUCAACAUGCAUCAUAAAACUACAAUCAAGUCCUCCCACAUGCAUUACAUCAUAAUUUUUUUAACAAAAAAAUUUUAUGAACUAGGGUUCAUCUUCACACUAACAUAUGAACUAUUGAUUAGAGUUCAUAUUCAAUACCACUAGUUACUAAAGAACUAAGAACUAGAACUACAAUCAAGCUAAAACAAUCUUAGGUGAAAAAAAAUUCCAAUAUAAGUUCAAAAAUAUGAGGGGUUUCAAGCAAAUAAUGCAUCGAAACGGAAGCAAGUUUGCAAAAACUAAUUGGAGGGAUCGGAGAAGCUUACGUUUCUCUUUUCGGGGCCAUCUCGGUCCGCAAAAACGGUGAAGAUCCGAGGGGGAGAGUGGAGGAGAUGAGAGAGGGAGAGAGGGGCGACUUGGGGGAGAAAAGAUGAAACUGCCGACGGGGGAAGGGNNNNNNNNNNNNNNNNNNNNNNNNNNNNNNNNNNNNNNNNNNNNNNNNNNNNNNNNNNNNNNNNNNNNNNNNNNNNNNNNNNNNNNNNNNNNNNNNNNNNNNNNNNNNNNNNNNNNNNNNNNNNNNNNNNNNNNNNNNNNNNNNNNNNNNNNNNNNNNNNNNNNNNNNNNNNNNNNNNNNNNNNNNNNNNNNNNNNNNNNNNNNNNNNNNNNNNNNNNNNNNNNNNNNNNNNNNNNNNNNNNNNNNNNNNNNNNNNNNNNNNNNNNNNNNNNNNNNNNNNNNNNNNNNNNNNNNNNNNNNNNNNNNNNNNUAGGGUGCGACGGAGGGGGACGGCGGUCGUGUCCGCGUGCUGACGUGGAUUAGUACCCUACACCCUGGCGGUAGGCUGUCUAACCCUACCGCCAGAGACCCUGGCGGUAAAAAAAGGGUCAAAUCCCGAAUUUUCCCCCAACCGGGGUCAGAUCCUGAAUUUGUAUCGCAGAAGAAUCAAAACACGAAAUUUGGCCCACACACGCAUGGACCGUUGCACUUUCGUCGUUGUCUGGCCACAGGAGGAGUGCCCACUUCCACUUUGCUUACGUUUGGCAGGACAUUCUGAAAAGGACAUAUGUGCAACCAAAAGGAGGAGUAUGUAUGUACUAUCACUGAUAAAUAAUGUGUUAGGGCAACUCCAAUUGAAGUCACCAAUUAUCUGAUCAAAUUUAAACGAAUAUUUCACACACAAAAAUGGACGAAAUUCUUAUAAACGGGGCUAUAUUUAUUGAGUUUGGUAUAUAUUACAACAAACAGUACAAAAUUUCACAAAGUUUCACUUAAACCAAACAAUAUUUUUAGAAAAAAAUAGUCUAACCUACACAAGUUAACUGUCGGUAACCUAGUAAGCAUGGCCUUCGUAGCCGCUGGCACCUCCAGCGGUGAAAAGGCCAAUCAGGCGUCACGGCAGGCCUGAUCGGCCGCCGCUGUGCGCUCGUGGCGCAGCCGCUCGGCUUCCUCCUCCUGGCGCAGAGCCUUGGCCUCCUCCAGUCAGAUUUUGGCUUCGCUUUCGCUCUUCGCCGUCCGUCAAGAAAGGUGUCUACAUCUCGGUCGGUUCCUUGGGUUUUUGCUCGCUAACCAUUGGCUGACAUGCCCACAUUCCGAUGCGAAAUAGCCUUGGUAUUUCCAUUAGUUUUCAAGCUAGCUAGGUCAAGAACGCUACUCUACCUCGGAGUUCCUAUACUUAGUCAGUGCUACUAAAGCCUAUGGCUCUGGUGUAGCAUAUAAUCAAAUUGAUGAUUCGUGCAGUUGGUUAGUUAAGCAGAGAAGACGCUUUUUAUGCUGCCAAAUGUAGUCUCUCGGAAUUCUCCGCGUAGUAAAAUAACCCAGUAAUCUGUUACUCCUACGCACUAAUCCCCGGGUUAAUUUGGACACAGAAAAUACAACAAGUCAGCUGGUUGACAAGUUCUUGAUCAUAAUAAGGUCAGAACCAGUUAAGUAAGUAACUAAUCCAUGCAUCUCAUCGCCGGCGCAUAGUAACAAAAUGCCAUUUCGGCGGCCGGACAGCCUUUUCUCCACAUGACAUGCAUGGAGCAAAGCCAUACUCUAUUUUUACGAGGAACUCAUUGACUAUCGCUUUAACAAAACAUGGAAUAAAACUAGACUACUACGUGCGCCGUUCCAGAGAAAACAAAGGUGCUUUCUCCGGCCGGCCGCCGGCAGUUGGUCACGAAGAAUUCUCCACACGGGGAGCUUAACUGGAAUCACGAAGAAUUCUGCACUAUAUAUAUCGAGCGAGAGCGCGCCUCUGUCCCCCAUCAGUUUCAAGAGCAAGUCUCUCUUGCCAAGGCAAGCAGCCUGGUCGCUACUAGCUAGCCAGAGCCAUUACUGAUUUCUCCAACACGAGCUCCAUUUCUUCCUUGGGCUCUGCCCCGAGCAGAGCACUUGCAGAAGCAGGGCAGCGUCGUCCUAAGUUUCAUCAUGGUUUCUCCUUCUCCUACUCGUACCAGCCGUAACAAGAGGGGCGCGUGGCCGUUCCUCGCCGUGCUGCUGCUGCUGGUCCUGCUCCGCUGCUCGCCGUGCCAAGGCCGCAAGCUGCUGCUGGAGGAGCAGGGCGGCAAGGUGAUGCACUUCGAAGGCGGCCUGGUGCUCAGGGUGUCGCCGAGCCACGACGGCGAGGCGGCACCGGCGGCGCCGAGGGGGUUCUCGAGGGCCGCGCGGUCCAUGCGGUCCGUGCCCAGCCCCGGCAUCGGGCAUUAGGCUUGGUCGUUGCAUAAAAGUUUUGCAUCUUUGCAAGGGAGCUCUGCUUCUGCGUCGUCGUAGUCGCUUUGUUUGUUCCUCGGCUUCAACUUUUUCGCUUCGGAUGUGGAGGGGCUGGGUGUGUUUGUGUUUGAGUGUGAUGCAUCCUUAAUUUUAGCGAGGUUGGUUGGUUCAAGGAAAUUUCAGUGUCGACGAUGUCGCCGUUCGUCUGUCACUCAUGUGUCAGCUGCAUGGGCCAAGUGUUCCGUGGCAUUCCGUUGCAUGCUCUACCGCUUUGUCGUCUUCUCAAUGAUGUCUUCUACACAUGUGUUACGUGGCAUUCCGUUGCAUACGCUAUAUUAAUCAAGGAGACGUCUUCCUAGCCCCGAAGACAACGGCUGCACACACGCAUGGACCGUUGCACUUUCGCCGUUGCCUGGCCACAAGAGAGAGCCCACUUUGUUUACGCUUGGUAGUAGUCGCACGUGGGGCGCAUAGUUUCUCGCUGACAUUUGCAACCAAAAGGAAAGGUAUGUAUGUACUCUCUUUUCUAUCAAAAUAUAAGACGUUUUCUGAUAUAAAUCUAAAAAAAAAUAUGUCUCGUGAUACCGAAGAGUAUCACAUAACAAGUGCUAAUACAUAGGGCAACUUCAUCCCAAUUCAUCAAAAUAGACCCCAUAAAAUGUUCACAAGCACGUCCGCACGUGUCUGCAAACAGAAAUAGGGGCGGCCUUCGUUAAAUCGGAGUUACCACAUGUCCGGUUAAGUUCAAACAAAUAUUUAACAAACAUGCAUGCGAACAGAAUGAUAUUUAUUAAAUUUCAUAUACAAUCAAAAGUACAUUUUUUAAAUCACUUGAACAGAACAAAAUUUUAAAAAAAAACUAGUCUGAACUAUGCGAGGUACAAAGGGGUGGCCUUGUAGGCAUGGCCUCCGAGGCUGCUGGCACCUCCAUCAUUGUCGCCGUUGCCGUUCGAGCCAUCGUCCUCAUCCUUCUAGCGAACGAAAGGCCCGCCAGAAAUCACGGCAGCUUGAUCGGCGGGGAGCGUGCAGUAGCCCUCCGCUGCCUACGCAUAGCAUUGGCCUUCUCCAAUCAGAUUCUGGCUUCCCUUUCGCUCUUCGCCGUCCUUCCAGAAAGGUUUCCCCUCAUCCCACGAGGCAGUUGGCGGGAGGGAAGUUUCAGCCCAACCGUCAUCGAACCGGUGUCGAACUUGCUGGAAUCCGGCCAAAUGCCCGCUACUUUACGGCAGGCCACCUCGAUUCCGACCAGCGAGCCACCGCUUUCCAGUCCCUACGAUGUCGCUCGUAGCGGCUGCACACGGGAUGCCCGCUCCGACCGCACAGACGCCAGGAACUCGCCGCGGCCCCCUUCUCUCGGUCCCGAGGGUCCGCGGCUUGGGACAAGCACAGCGGGGAAGGCGACGCCGUCGACGGUCGGCUGCUCCGGGAGUUGCGCUUUCUGGAAGAAGUUGCUGCCGCCACGGGCGCCAUCUGCAGUGCAGGGUUUAGUUUGCACUCUCUAGUGAGCCGCUCUCCGUCGCGCUUCCAGGCGCCGGCUGCCCCCCAUGAACGCGCUCUAUAGCGCAUUGUUUAUUUUGCACUCUCCAGUGAGCCGCUCUCUGUCGUGCUAUCCGGUAUAUGUGUGAGAGUGCUUUGUGCUAUUUUUUUAGGGCCUUAUUGUAAAUUCAAUUGGUUUAUACAGGAUCUAUUCUGCCGACAUACAAAUCGUACCACAAAUCCGUUUUAGAGAAAACCGUAUACUAUUUUUACAGGAUGUGUUUUUUGCAGGAUCUGCUAGAGUUGCUCUGAUGCUGCCAAAUGUAGUCCCUCGAAACUCUCGGUUUAAAAAAACAGCAAUCAGUUACCCCUACAUGCUAAUCCCCAGGUUAAUUUGGACAUAGAAAAUACAUUAGUCAGCUAGUUGACAAGUUCUUGAUCAUAAGGUCAGAACUAGUUAACUCACACAUGCAUGUCAUCGCCGGCAUAUAACACAUGUCGAUUCUCGUUAAUCUCGACGAACGUACGUGGAGCGCUAAUAAAGUGGGAUUUCAGCAGCAGGCAGGACAGUUCCUCCACAUGACAUGGAGCAAACUUGUACUGUACUACGUAGUAUAUUUGCAAGGAAGGAACUCAUUGACUGUCGCUUUAACAAAACCUGGAAUAAAACUGGACUACUACCUGCGCCGUUCCAGAGAAAACAAAGGUGCUUUCUCCGGCCGGCCGCCGGCGGUUGGUCACGAAGAAUUCUCCACGCACACGGGGAGCUUAACUGGAAUCAUUCGCGGGUUUCACUGUAUAUAUACCGAGCGAGAGCGCGCCUCUCUGCCUUAUCAGCUCCAGAGCAAGUCAUCAUUUGCCAUUUGCAAGGCAGGCCGCGUAGAUAUUAGCCAGCCAUUUCUCCAACACGAGCUCCACUUCUUCCUUGGCAUCUGCUUCCCCGAGCAGAGCACUUGCAGAAGCAAAGCAGCGUCGUCCUACAGUUCCAUCAUUCAUGGUUUCUCCUUCUUCUAAUCGUACCAGCCGUAACAAGAGGGGCGCGUGGGCGUUCCUCGCCGUGCUGCUGCUGCUGCUGGUCCUGCUCCGCUGCUCGCCGUGCCAAGCGCGCAAGCUGCCGGUGGCAGAUCAGGGCCAGGGCGGCAAGGUGAUGCACUUCGAGGGCGGCCUGGUGCUCAAACUGUCGCCGAGCCCCCAUGGCGGCAACGACGAUGGCGGCGAGGUGGCGGCGGCGGCGCCGAGGGGGUUCUCGAGGGCCGCGCGGUCCAUGCGGUCCGUGCCCAGCCCCGGCGUCGGGCAUUAGGCAGGUCGGUGGUUCCAUGGUUUUUUUCCGCCGGAGAAGUUUUGCAUCUUUAAUGCAGGGAUCGGAGGAGCUCUGCUUGUGCGUCGUCGUCGCUUUGUUCCUCGGCUUGAGUAUAUUGCGUGAGUGAAUGAACGGUCCUUGAUUUGGGAGGGCCGGGUGUGCUUGUGUGUGAGUGUGAACCGCCUGAAUAUGGUGUGAGAAGUUGCAUGCGUGAUGCAUCCUGAAUUUUAAUUUUAACGAGGUUGAUUGAUUGAAGAAAAUUUCAGUGUCGAUGAUGUCGCGGUUCCCCUGUCACUCACGUCGGCUGCAUGAGCCAAGUGUCCCGUGGCAUUCCGUUGCACACUCUACUUUUUUUUUAAAGCGUAUAUUAAUAUCACAGCGAUACCAAUUACGCUGAGCCUCUGCACCAACAAAAUGUCACAAACGACAUUCAGGAUGCACACAUCCUGAAAGAAAAAAGGAAGAAGAAAAGGAAAAAAAAGGCCCCGCACGGUAAUCAACUCCUCGCAGCAGCAACCCGACAAAACUACCGCCAAAGACGACACCCGGAUUACAAAAAGGUUCUCCAAAGGCCACGCCUCCAAGGAGGGAAACAGUGCACAAGCGCCAUCGUCGCCCGAAUGAAGAUUUUAGGUUUUCACUCUGAAGAAAGUAUGAGCCCUUAAAACAAUUCCUUCAACAAGGCCAUUGCCAGACACAACCAAUGAAGGUCAGGCCUUAGGUUUUCACCCUGAAAGUCAACACUCGGCACUUGAGGAGCGCCACCAAACUUGAAUUCCUUCAAUGUUGUCGCCCCCACUUGCCAAGGCUGCUACUGCAAAUCAUCAAACACCAGGCACACAGUUACCAAAUCCAAAUUGGAUCACCGGCCCUCGUGAAGCAAAAUCUUCAGCACCUCGGAGGUCUCUGCCAACACUGGUCCUCCAAUCUCAGCUACCUUGACCUUCUCCACCGCAGUAUAGACCAUGGAAAUCGAGAUGCCGACAUGUCCCAUAGUUUCGACAACCAGCGGAGCUUCGCGCCGCACCGUCAUGAAGCCAUGCUGGCGGAUAUGUGUGCGCAGGACCGGAUUCCAUCCUGUCCAGAUAUCCAGGAGCUUCAUAAGCCAAACCGAGAAGAUCUCUGGCAGAAGAUCCGGAACACAUCUGACGGCCAGAUCGAAGAGGAGCAAACACGUUGAACGUUGCCAUGAUGCGAGAAGAAUGCUAGGACCACCACCAUGAAGACUCGCAAGCCCCCACACCGCGAGUGACGACCCAGCAUGAAUGGCAGAAGAGGAGACGGCAGCCCAGCUAGCAACUGCAUGUCCUCGCGGGCGUGGCCAAGACCACAACAUGCUUACCCCGCAGCACAAGCCUUGACUGGAUCCCCAUGGCCAAGAUCGGAUCCAUAGCCUAGAUCGAGACCCGGCGAUCCAGCUCGCACACCGAAGACAGCCGCACCUUCCCUUGACGCCACUCCGCCUGGAUCCUCAGGCACCGGCCAAGACGGCCGCGCCGCGCCCAUGCCCUGAAACAACGCCCCACCCCCUCCCGUGUGACGCUGCCAAGGAAACACCUCCCCUGCCCACCGUCUUCGGUGGAAUGGGCGCCGCCACCGCCGCCGGCGUCGGCAGCAGCGACGGCAGGGGACGCAUAUUGUAGGAGACCCUAGAGAGAUCGGUGGGGAUGGCCUCCGGAGCCGCCCGGGAGGGGAGCGACUCGACCUGUUUCUGAACAGUACGCCGUUGCACACUCUACUGCUUUGUCGUCUUCCCAAUGAUGUUUUUUUUCUUGUUGUUGUUUGCGAAUUUCUCCAUGACGUUUUCGACCAGUACACGUGCUCGAUCAAUCUCGCCAUCUCGGCAUGACUACAGUGAGCAUCACUCACAAUUUGCAAAUUGACUCCAUCGCGUUGUACGGGUGUUACUUUAGAAGAAAAAAAAGACUCUUCCUUUUUUUUCGCCGGAAGAGAAGAAUUGUCUUGUUCGGAGACCGGAGUAGCCGUGAAGACAAAAUGACGCACACAUGCAAGGACCAAUAAUGAUAGACCUACAAAAAUGGUGCACACAUUAGCUUCUUUGUAAAAAGGAAAUUAAAUUAAAUAAUCUUUUGUAGAUGUAGGAUUACUCUGCAAGGACUGCUGCAGGCCAGUCUCGCCUGAGGUUAAUCACAAAAGGAGUGACAACUUUCCUCAUGUUUGGCAGGACAUUUUGAGGACAGGAAGUUUUGGUCUAUAGGUGUAUAAUACACCCUAUAUGGAAAAUUAUAUUUAGUAAUUAAACAUUCAACAAAUUCUGAAAAUAUUUUUGAAAUAAAUUUGGUGUUCCAUUGUACUGGUAGAAAAAAUUCACAAAAAGUAAAAAUCUGGUUAACCUCUUUCCAAAAAGACAAAAAAUUCGGUUAAAAUAGUGUGAAUAGUGACCUAUAGUACCAAAGAAUUUUUUUUUCCUGAAGUCAACGUUGGGUUUCUAUCUUGAAAUUUAUAUACUAGUGCAAAAGAAAGUCAAGUUUAUUGUAAAAAAUUCAAACUUUUUUGAAUUUUUUAAUUAUCAAUUUUCUUUCCAUAUGAGGUACACCUAAGAACCAAAGGGUAUUUCCUGACAUUUUGAGAAGUAUACUACAUACACACUCACACAUGCAUGCGACCAAAAGGAGGAGUAUUUUCUUUCAAAAAGAAAGGAGGAGUAUUAAGUAGUCCAUCCGUUUCUAAGUAUAAAUCUUUUUGGAGAUUUCAAUAUGAACUACAUACGGAGGGAGUAUCACAUAAUAUGUGUUUGUUUCAAAUAAAUGACAUUAUAUGCUUACUGAUAUAUGCUACCAUUCCAUCACUAAAAUAUUUACUUAGAAACUAAGCAAUGAUGGUUGCAAAAAAAGAAAUCAAUGUCUGCUAUUUUUUAGAAAAAAAUUACUAUUCAUGGCAGGAGCAUUUGAGCUCAGGAUUAGAAUGUCACAUUUUGACUGACAUCCUUGUCGAUCCGCCAGACUGUCCAGUCUGGCCCAGCCGAACAUGUCCGACUGCAAUCAUACUCCUCCCUACGCCAUAUCUGCCUCGCACUUUCAUGCAUUGCUUAGACGCCCUAUGUAUGGAUGAUCUUGCACGAACACACCGUCCUCAGAGCAGUAGAUUACAUAUUCUCUUCAUAUGAUAGAGUUGGCACUUGGCAGACCGACAGUGCUCCUGACUUUUGCUUGGAUUUUUUUUCUAACCUGCUGCCAAAUGUAGCUCUCUCGAAACGUUUGGCGCACAUACUAAUCACUUAGAGGCUUGGAGCCGAUUGAAAAAGCAAUACAAACAGGUCAGUCAGGUCAGCUGGUUGACCCUUGAUUUUGUAUACGCAUUAUUACUCCUAAUCCAAUCCGUAAGCCGAUCUGUUGUAAAUUACUUUUCUAAAUGAGAAGCGGCCGCUGACUUUCAUUUCGUGAGGGAAAAAACAGGACUCCACUACAAAUCAGAUGUUAGAUUUUUGACCAUGGUAGAUCGAACAUUUUUCAUGACAAAUUAUGUUUUCUAAGAAUGGCAAGUUUAGUUGGCAAGCAUGACAAAUCUGUCUUAUUUUAUUAUUUAUGUCAGAAAAUUAUCAUGCCUGCAAACUGAAUUUGCCAUGAUCGCGCCAAUACAAACUGCCAUGAAAAACAUCAGAUUUGCCAUGCUCUAAAAUUCUAACGUCGGAUUUUUAAUGUUUCCGGAAAAAACAACAUGCGGAACUAGAAUUAACUUGGCCGGCAAUCCGUCAGGAAGAAUUCUCCAUGGCUGCUCAAAAGAAAAGAAAAAUAAUUCUCUGCGGGCAAAUGGGAAUCGUCCACGUAAGCGGUGGCGCUGUAUAUAUAGAGCGGGAGACGCCUACCUCUGCCCUACCACCAGCUCGAGCAUUUGCCAAAGCAGGUUGCCAGCCAAGCACCAGCUCCAAUUCUUCUUCCCUGAGUUCAUCCCGUUCUCCCAGAGCACCCACAGCCACAGGAGCAGAUAGUCGAGUAGCAUGGCUUCGCCGACGCGCAGCAGCAGUAGCACCAGGAGGCUCGCGCGGGCGUUGUUCCUCUUCCUCGCCGUGCUGCUGCUGCUGGUGCUGCUCCGAUGCUCGCCGUGCGAAGGGCGCAACCUGCCGACGGCGGGGGAGGAACGGGGCGGCAGGGCCGCCGUGAUCCACCUCCAAGGCGGCGAGGCAGCGGCGGCGAGGGGGUUCUCGAGGGCCGCGAGGUCCAUGGGGUCCGUGCCGAGCCCCGGCGCCGGGCACUAGCCAAGUAGCCAUGGUUCUUCUACCCCGGAGAAGUUCCCAUUUUGCAGCGCCGCGUUUUUGUCUGCUCCUCGACCUGAUGGGCUUCUCGCUUUCAUAUGCGGCGUACGAAAUGAUGGUGACGGUUUGUCAUUGUGUAUCUCAUUGUGUAUCUGAGACUCUGAGUACGUACAGCCGGCUGAAAAUAAUGUAAACAGCUGGAACCUUAAUCGAUGCGCUUGGAAAAGAACUCCAGUGUCGUAUUAUCUCUCCUGUCACGUCAGUGUCAGCUGCAUGCAGCUGCAUUGCACACCGCUACUUGUCGUCUCAUCACCAGGGCCUCUGGGGCGUGCGUGCAUGGCUGUGGUGGUCUCAAGUCUCAGCAACAAACUCAUCUGAUGAUUUCUGUUAAGAGCACGUUCAUAUUGGGUUUCCUAGUACGAAAUUUUGGUUCAACAACAAACUGGUCUAGUAAUAAUUUCUUUUAAGAUUACUUUCAUACUGGGUUUCAAAAGAAAUUAUGUCCCAAACUGCAAUGCGUCGGUACAAUGCCAGACAGAGAUUCUUUUGCCAGAAUCUGGGGAUUCUCCCAGAAUCCGACCCCUACCCAGCUUCUCCCAGGAUCUUUGAGCCCCAUUUGUUUUGCAAUCCUAUCUAGUUAGGGUCUGAUUAUAUAGGAUUGUAAAACAAAUGAGACUCAAAGAUUCUGGGAGAAGCCGGAUAUGGGUCGGAUUGUGGGAGAAUCCUGACAAAAGAACUGGGCUUCAGAACACUUCCACCUAUACAUAGAUGCUUCACAUAUCACAGGAUGAGAAGCUACCUCCAGAAUAAAGUGGGUACCCGCAAGUGUACACCUUUAUACUACAUGAACAUCCUACAAUAUCUACGUACAUCGUAUACUACCGUACUUACUAUCUAUAUGUACAGACGGGCAACGGGCGGCGUCAGAACUCGAGGCCUCCGUUGAGUUGAACAGAUAAAGAUGGAGAUCCCACGUUGUCGAGGGGUUUCUCCAUGGUGACUACUACCCCAGAACUGCCGACUUCACCGUUCAACUUGGACCGCCCAAUCUGCCAUACCACACCAUAAUUGCAAGGGCAUCAGUUCGGGCUUUGCAGUAAACGCGCUUCGAUAAGGAAGAAACGCUGGCGUAAUGAGAACUAAUUGAGGGCUUACAGAAAGAGAUGUGAAAGCCGAAGGAUGUCUCGAGCAUGAGAAGCCGCAUGACACACCGAUUUCUUCCUUCAGUGAAUGGACAAUCUCCGCCCGUAUGCCCGGAUCACUUCCUCCGAGAAUGGGGCAAACACUGGUGCAGGUGGUUCCAUGGAUGUGAGUAUUCAUAGGUUGGGAGAAGAUUGUGCAAACAAGAAAGAACUUGAAAUGCAGGAUAUCAACAUAAGUGCUGGUAGGGAAGAAGCUGAAGUACUGACCAGCUACCAUUGUUUUCUUUUGUUGGCAGAAACAGAAAACGACAAGCAACAUGGACUGCCAUAUGUCAACCCUCCGUUCCAAAAUAGAUGACCCAACUUUGUACAAAGUUAGUACAAAAUUGGGUCAUCUAUUUUGGAACGGAGGGAGUAAUAUGCAAGUACGGAAUACUUAGUGAAGCAUGGAGCAGAUCCGAAUUGUCAUAUUUGAACAGUGUUUCAUCAAUGACGUUUGCUCAUCUGGCAUUAACUACGGUAAACAUCCCACACAAUGGCUGUUGCCAUUUAUAAAUGACCAACCCAGAUAAUCUAUUUACCAGCACUUUUGAUAUCAUAUCAGUAAGGACACCGACCCAACAAAUACUACACAAUGAAUAUUAUGAAUUGUGGCUAACAGCAGUCCAGCUUUUUACCGAGUUAAGACCAACCCUCCUUUUUACUGAGUUGAGAAACCAGUUACGGCUAUGAGCAAGUGUGUACAGUAAACUACCUGACUUGGGUGCUGGGUCUCAUCAUAAGGCCAGACUUUUUCCAUGCCACCGCGUGGGCAACUCCAAAUGACAGAGAAUUGUCAGGCCAUUGAUAAGUAGGGGUAAACCAUGUGCCUUGUGUGCUCUUCAAUGGAAGAAGAAUAGCGAAUAAAAGGACAAGUAAAAGAAUUAGGAACACGCCGCAAGAAGAUAGAGUAAUGUAAAAUUUGAAACAAAUCAUAAAAUAGCAUGUGGAAUGCAUGUUAUUGCUGUUUCAUAAUAGCAUAGUUCUUGACAAUCUGCACAGCUGAAACUGUUUCUUUAAGAAUUUACAAACAUAAGCAAAAUUUGUGCAGAUACACUAGCAUUGACUAACCUUGAAGGAGAAGCCCAGUUUGGUUUCUCCGGGAAAUUUCCCAUUGGCUUGAAGCAAUCCACCAAAUAAUGGGAGAAAUCCACUUGCUGUUAUCCCCUCACCAGCAACGUAUCUCAAUUGCCCAUUUGAAAAUUCAACAUCCAUGAAGGCCUGCAACAAAAAACAACCAAGGGAAGAUGAUAAGAUAGUACUGUAGCAGGUAUUAGAUACACAAACAGUCACGCCAGAAAAAUUGAUCCAUUCCUUUUAGGUUUACAUGUUUCCAACAAAUUAGGAAGUUAGAUGAUUGCACUUAGCAUGGACAAGUUCCGUUGUUUUUUGGUUUCUUUAUAAAACUCACACCAAGUUAAUGGCAAGGCCUGUUGCAACAACAAAAACAAUACUCCCUACAUCCCCAUUGAUGAAACUGUGUUCAAAUAUGGCAAAAACAAAAGUACCUGCAAUCUGAGUUUGUGGCCUUGUAUAAGGGAAUGGAGGGAGUACUAACCUUCAUAGGCACAUGCAUCACAUGAUGGCAAAAUAAAAAGGGCAAGCAAGCUAAACUUUUUUGUGCCGCUAACCCAACUAUCCGGACUGAUGAUUCGCAAACACUGGUCAAUGAAACUGGAAUACAACUGACACUGGGUAGAUACUUAGAAACAACACAUAAAUAUUAACCAAGAGCAGACGGCAAAAGAGCAAGGUAAGGGCAAAGAAUAUAUAUAUAUAUAUAUAUAUAUAUAUAUAUAUAUAUAUACUUACACAGGCUACUGGGUUGAGGCACAUCAUGGACAUCAGCAACCAUUUUUUCUGCUUUGACCAGACAACUGGACAUAAGGAAUGCACUCCAUUCUACAAGAAAUGAAUAAGUUUUUAGUACAUGCAUAUAGUAAAAUAUAGGUCAAUACAUGCACACAAAGAGCUUGAAUGGGCACAAUUCCAGAAGAUGGUGAUAGCUAUAGCAAGUACUUAAUGCAGUAGAAAAUUUAGCAGAAAUAAGUAUGCAAAAUACAUGCUUACAAAUAUGGAGAAUAUUUCUAAUGCAUAAAUUAACAAUGACUCUGCUAGAGUUGAACUCAGCAUCUAAAUCACUUUGGAUACAGAAAUAUGGUCAUGCACUUUAGAACCAACAUUUUCACAUCACAAGAUAAUACAACAGGACUUUAGAAAGCUAGGAGAGGGCAUUACAAUUGCAAGCUUCCACAGAACAGUCCUAAAUCAGACUAGCUAACAGAACAAAAUCACCUAGAAUUGAUACAGAGCAAGACGAGCAUUCCCUAAUCAUAUACUCCCUCCGUCCGGAAAUACUUGUCAACGAAAUGAACAAAAGAGGAUGUAUCUAGACGUAUAUUAGUUCUAGAUACAUCCCUUUUUAUUCAUUUUGAUGACAAGUAUUUUCGGACGGAGGGAGUACAUUACUUGAUGAUUACAUGAACAAUCAACUAGAAGAAAAAACUGGUUUCAGUUUCAACUAGAUGCUAUGCUAUGCAUAAUAUUUGCACUCUUGUAGUAUAUUUCACAUUUAACCAAUAUACACAGCAAUGUAUAUAAAGCUUUAGAGAUUAUCAUUCAUAAGAAAAGGCAAACAAUACACUGUUCUUGUCAAUUAUCUGAAGGAUAAAAUGAAUAAAAACUAAUGAACAUGCGCAGAUUCAUAUAUCAAGAAUAAGAGAAGUACCUUGUGAUCAUAAGCAUACCAAAUGAGGUGUUGCUUUGACAGAUUAAUAGGCAAAAGAAGUGUUGUAGAGUCUCUCACAAAAAGUAAGGGACCCAAUUGAAUAAGGAAACCAGGUGCAUUAUCGUUUCCAUUAGUUGAACCACCCCGUGAUGAUUCUAACCUCCAAAAAUCUCCACGUGCAAGAACAGAACUAUCAACAGUGUGGUGCCUUGUAUUGUACAUUGCCGAGACAUUUACAGUCCCCUGCAUCAUCAUCAUUACAGGUGUUAUGAUGUGUACUUGAGCAUAUUGAAUGUGUUUCAGCAUCGCAGACCCAGUAUAAUUACACUCUAAGCCUGUACAAAAACCCAUCAUAAAUCUGCAGAAAAAAGGAAGGGUAUAACCUUUGGUAUACGAAAAGGAUAUCUCAAUAUCUGAAGUACAUGUACUACUAAAUGACAAACAUAUAGCCACAAUCUGCCUAUCACACAAACAGUAUAUAAAAAAAAAGGGCAGCCCAGUGCAUGUAGCUCCCGCUUGCGCAGGGUCCGGGGAAGGGUCCGACCACUUUGGGUCUAUAGUACGCAGCCUUUCCCUACAUUUCUGUAAGAGGCUUUACCACUGCGCCAAGGCUCCCCUUCACACAAACAGUAUAUCAUAUUGAAAUUUAAGAUGAGUGUUAGCUUUUAGCCCCAGCAGUCAAUCACACAAGCAAAUAAAAGAUACACGCAAUUGGGAUAUUUCGCCAAGUCAUCUCAUGUACAUCCGUUUUUUUUUUCUUUGUUUACUUCUCAGAAUUCUUACACAAGAUUAUAACCUGCAUGUGUAUAUGUACACAACACAGGCUCACCUUGUCCAAGUCGUACAUGUCAACUAACAUGUGGCUAGGUAGGACCAAAGCAGACACUACUAAGUCUUGACUAUUCCAACAAUCUCCCCCUAAUUAAUAGUUAGCGUGGCAGAAUCAAUCAAGCAAACAAAUCACGCAUACACAAGAUAGGCAUAUUUCACCAAAGACACCUCAGGUGCCUCUUUUUUUUCUUGUUUCUUUCGCAAAAGAGUACACAACAUUACAACCUGCAUGUGUAUGUAACUAUGUAUGCACAAUGAAGCUACAAGACACACACACUCGUACACUGACUCGCAUUCCUUACACGUCAAUUAGGACAUAGCCAGGUAGAAUUCAGACAACGUCAGAAUCAGAUUCGACCAACACAACUCCUUACCAGAAAUGACUAGGCAUUGUCGCAUUGAUUAUACCAACAAUGAACACAAACUAUUAAAGCAAUGGACAUAGGCACGGCAUAAUCAGACUUGACAAACAUUAUUCCUAACGGGACAGACUUGAUUAUUUCAAACAUUAUCAAUAUGCUCAAGUACACAUCAUAACACCUGUAAAUAAGAUACUUCAUCCACACAUCAUAACAUCUAAUCCACAGUUCUACACCUAAAUCAUCCACACAUCUAAAAAAGGCUAUUUCUCUAAACUGUCGUAUAAAUAAGAUACUUCAUCUAUCUUUUAAUAAGCAUAAUCUAACUGCAAGGGCUUCUAAUUAGAGUCAGGUAGGUGCGUGCGCAGCAGAAAACAUGAUCAAGCAAGAUGCAAAUCCAACAUUGGUACCUGAGGCUUCAUAAAUUUCCCCAGAGUGCCAAUCUCGAACUCGAACCCGAACCCGUCUUCCUCUUCAUCCGACCCAUCCGCACCCUCGGCCCCGGCCCCGACCGCACUGGCGGCAGCGGCACUCCCAGUGGCCGCCGCCACCGCCGCAGCCACCUCCUCAAGGGAGCCUCCUUCCCCGACACCCUCCAGAGCUACCCCGCCCUCGGCAGCCCUCUCCGCAGCGAGCCCCGCCUCCCCCUCGUCCACAGCCGCCGCGGGCGUCGGCGGCGCGGCGGCCCCCUCCCACUUCCGGCGCCGCGCGCGGAACGGCGCGGGAAUCUGCCGCGACAGCUGCUGCACGGCGCCGCCGACGGAGGCGCCGAGGUCGUUCCCGGCCUGGCCGAGCCGGCCGCCGAUCUCGACGAAGGACGCGACGGCCACGGCCGGGAGGUCGACGCCCCCGCGGAGCUCGAUGUCGAAGGGGAUGAGCUUGAGCGGCGGGGCGGGCCAGGGGAGCUGCGGCGGCUGCACGUGGAGUUGGAGGAGGAGCCCCGAGACGCCCUGCGCGAGGCGGUAGGCCAGGUCCUGCCCGUGCCGCUGCACGCCCAGCAGCGCGGCGUCCAGGGAGAUCUCCAUGGAUGGAUGGUGGACGGGGCACCCGGGCGGAGGCGCGCCCCGGCGUAGCGGAUUAGCUCGAGCCGCGGCGAAAUGUGGUGGAGACGAAGCGGUCAGGCCAGUCUGUGGUGGUGGCCCGGCGGGGGGUCGAUGACGAUGAUGCCGGGCUGACUGCUUGUCCGGGACGGGACUCGGUGACGUGCGCUAUCGUGUGGAUAUCCGUUGCCCGUUGGCCUCGCGUGACAGAAGAGCCGCGUACUGCGGUGAAGUACAUCAUCCGUUUGAACGAAUGCACGCAUCACGAGGAUAUGCUGUUUUCAGGGCCGAUUGAUCAUCAAGGGUGCGUUCGUUUGCAAAGUAUUUUUGCAGUUUUUCGACGCCCCGUACCACCGAAAACACCUCUUCCGUUUAAAAAAUCUUUCGCGCUACGCAUUUACUCUGUCUUGAAGGGUCACCCAUCAACCCGCAUUCAUGGCGGUACCGUGGCCGAGUAGCCUACUCUGAUGCCUCACCAAUUCGCCUGCCCAAGACUAUUUAAAAUCGAUCGGCCGCAGACGCUAGCCCUAUCAUCCUCACCUAUCUGUCGCAUAGCACCAUACCUUCACCACCGUCCGUCGCAAUGGGCAAGAAGUCUGACACCCGCAGCAGGUGGACGGCGCGCGGCUCCGAAACCGGGAUAGCCCCAGAUCCAGUUGGCACCGUCGCCCACGGUCUUCGGCUCCUCUCGUCCACAACUUCGUCCAACGUCAAGUCGGAACCGAUCUUGUGAUGACGCGAAGGUGCAGAAGCGGCCCCUGCUCGCCACCGUGGCUGCUAUGGACGAUGAGUUCAAGCGGCAAACGAAGAUCGCGCUCUAGUGGUUGUUAAUCGACCGCAGUCUAACAAUGCCAUCCCCUCCACACAACCGCGACUUCCAAAUUAGAUGCCGUGUAAAGGAGGAGCCGACCUCCCCACCAUGUAGCCACGACAUCCAAUUCGAAUACCGCAUGAAAGAGAAGCAGACCUCCCCGCCUCGUUCGCAACCGAUAGAGUCCAUUCGCCAUUGUGGAGGAGGAGGAGUCCCCCCCCCCAACCGUCCUAGCCACAAUCAUGUGUACAGUACUACCUCCAAGCUAACUGUGUGUCUUCCUCGACACGAACAAAUGCCUCUCCAAGGCGGAGCAUCGAGAGCAAUGCAACACGUAGCACCGGGUGGCAUUCGCGAAGAGCCAAGUCGCGUCGGCCUAGGCCCUCGACCGGUCCAAGACCAUCGCCGAGUCAGGCUCCCGCCAUCAGUGUUGCCUCAACCACCAGCUCCUCCAAGCGGGGCCGAUGAAGCCCAAGUGCACCAAGCGACGAAGGCGGCCAAACGUCUCAAGAGCGAGCGCGCGACAACCGAGCAGGGAUGCCUGGCAAGCAUUCUGCCCCUAGCGCAACCACGACGAGAAAGGUGUCGCAAAUGGCAACUUGAGCAACAGCGCAGACGAUGACAAAGGUGCAAUGGCCUCAAAAGUGACAUGUAUACAAGCUCACGGUCUUGUAUCUAUCCAGUAUCUCACAUAGUUUAGUUUAGAUUAAAUUAAGUUUCAACGGUUAAAUUUCAUCCGUGUGUUUAUAAAUAUAUUGAACUUUGUUCAAUUUUAUUUGUUUUUAUGCUCGCUCCGUUCAAAUAUUUGAACAUUUGGUGUCCAUAGUUGGAUGCCUAGAGCCCCACCUGUGGCAAGUUCAGACGUAUCCACAGAUAUUUGGUGUCGUCUGUUUGGUGAUUCGCAUUGUAGUUGCCUUAAGACAAUACGAAGCAACAAUCUAUGCAACAUGAAAUUCAUUGAAGCGGAGAAACAUCAGGCACAAUCAUUCCAUUACAUGGCAACGUUCGCAGAGCUUCUUAACAUUUAACUUGACGGUGGAGGGAACUUUGUCUGCAACAUAUCUUCCAAUGGCCCAGAGGCCUUUGUGGGCUUGAGCAAUCAUCCGCUUGCCAAUCAGAGGGCUGCACUUGUAACUUUUGUUGACACAAGACCGAUCAGCCUCCUCAAUACCAUUAUCAUAUACCGCGUCCAAAGUGAGACACUCGAGUAAUGUUGCAUUCUCAAGAAUAUGGCAAGUUAGUUCGACCAUGCUCUUUGCUGCACGGAAGCCUAUGAUGGUCACAUCCUUGAUGUUGCCAUGGUGAUGUCCUGGCAUCCGUCUCAACACUGAGUCUUUAGAUAUCAAUUCAUGCUCUACGUUCCUCUGCGAUACCUGUGUGAAGGAGCAACGUGCACCCUAUAGUUACAUGCAGAGAUAGGAUACAGUUGUUGUUGCAAGCUAGAGGGAGAAAAGUGACUUACACCCAAAACAAAAGUCUCCAGGAGAGGACAAGCGUCCAGAAAAUUAACUAGAGAAAAAUAAUCAUAGCCUGGAGAAAAGCCCCCCUGUCCUUCAUGGUCAAAAUCAAUCUCUAAGUUCUUGAGGCAGCGGAAUUUGCCAUGUAAGAUGGGCGUACUGAAGUCCUACAUAUAAUAAUAAGUCUAUGUUAAAUAUAGAAUUGCCUAAAAAAGGUUACACUAUAUUCCAUGGCAUAUAACUACUGCUAUAUGAAUAAUGAUGCUGUCAUUAAUGAUCACUAGCCCCUUAAAAAAAGACAACAACAACAACAGAGCCUUUAGUCCGAAACAAGUUGGGGUAGGCUAGAGCUGAAACCCAUAAGAUCUCGAAACCAGCUCAUGGUUGUUGCACGUGGAUAAAACAACGAAAACAAAAACUUUAGUUUGAGAGGGUGUUUGUUUCCAGGGACUUAUUGAUUUAGGGACUUAAAAAAGUCCCUAUAAGUCCCAUCUAAACCAAACAGGAGGGACUUAUAGGGACUUAAAGUGGGCAUUUGGGACUUAUGAAAUAAGACUCUCAUGGGAAGUUGUGAUACGUUUCGUUGGGUUGUUCCGGCACCAAAAGUAUGACUUCUUCGAUCCCUGGAGUAACUGCAGUUUGAAGCCACAUGUCGAGAUAACUAGAUUUGAGGGAAGAACCACCAUAGUGAAGUUCAAAUUUCUUCACUCCAAUGCCUGGGUGUUUUUUCAUGAUGCGGUCAACUCUCUUGAGCAAAAUCCUUGCAAGUUUAUUGCUUCCAUACACAUUUCCAUCCAGGCCCAGUGUUUCAUUGCUGAAGGUGAGGUCGGGACGGCAUCUCAAGGAGCUUAGUAAUGUGUGAGACACACAGCCAGCUCUGGCAGCGUCUUGCAGUGGCAGCAGUGCCAAUAUAUCAUCCCAGAUGCCCUGCAGACACAAGAAUGGGAGAGAAGUUAGCACUGGAAUUGCAUGGGCUGUGUUACAUAGUUAAAUAGCACAACAGAAUGUGAUUGUGAUAGGUAAAUUAAGCAUUACAUGCACUGUUACAACUUUACAAGGAUGAUAGUACAACGUUUCAGUAUAAGUGGCCUUCCGAGAAGACGUCAAUUAGUAUUCCCUGAUCAGCACUAUUACAAGGAUGGUACAGCCUUUAAGUGAGAUGACAAACCAAUCUAUUCAGAAUGCAGAUAGAUAGCGCAAUGGAAGUAUGAUUAGAAAUGCAGUGGAGCAAUCUCUGGCCUCCAUGUGUUACAGUACAUUUUAUCAAACAUGAUGUCUUUUAUGACUUUUUGGUGGAAACUAGCAGGUGCGCGCGAAACAGGAAUUCGAAAAUCCUACGCUGGAGCGAGAGCUUUGGCUGGCAGCAGCCUAGUACUGUGGCUCUCUUUUUUAACGUGGGCUAGUAUUAUGGUGCAGUUCUUCUCCUGACAGUUAACAAGAUUCCUGUACCAGGUUGCUUUAAUCGGCUCACUUGACAAUGCAUGGCUUGAAUCUCGUUGCAAGAAUCGGAUGGUAUGUCCUUUUUACUCCGCAUAUAAGAGCCCCGGUCCCCUUGUUCUACAGAACUGCUCUCAAGGGGCAAAGCAGAGUCAGGUGCAAAGCAGUAUCCAGGACUUGGUCACAGAGACAGUAUAAGUGUCGAUAUGCGGUCAAUCUCUUGCGAGCAAUCGAUCAGAGGUCGACAAUCUGUUCAGAAGAAGCAACCAAACAGGGAAUGACCUUACCCUCCUCCUUAUAUAAUCUUCAAUACACGGUUCAGGUUCAGUUGGGGGAUUCUGCCAAUAAACUGAACAUCAUAUGCGGAUUUUGCAGAGUAAACACAACUGCCCGUCAUCGACCAGCAGAUGAAGUCAUUGGAAGGUGGCCUUUGCUUAUUAUGGACCUUCUCCUAAAAAAUAAUUAUGGAGGCCUUUCAUCCAAUUCCCAAGAGGGAAAAUAAUUUUGCAGUGCUAACCGAGAGACGCUUUCUCCUCGCAAGAGGGAAAAUAUCGGGUGCGAUGGUGGCUCCCAUGUGUAUCCAUCAGCAGGUCUAGGAGUUUUAUGGCUUUGCUUCUGAGGAAGCUAGAGUUUUACUUAUUUUUCGCACUCAUAGCAGCAUAGUUCGAUCCUAAGAUAUAUUUCCACAACUUGACUGCAGCUAGAUAAGUCGCAACGAUUUGUGAAAGAGAGUAGCCAUGGCCAUUAGAUCAUUUGGUUGGCGUACCUGUGGAAGGUCCGGCACUGGACAUCGCGUUGUUUUGCCACAUUGGGGAUGACAGAUCGAGCGCUUUUUGCCAGACAGAGAAGCAAUCGACAUACCUGGCCAUGAUUGAUAACAUAAGAAAGCAACCAACAAUAGGAAAACAUCGGCUAGUCGCAAAAAAAAAAAAAAGGAAAACAUCGGCUACGAGAUCGGGAAGGAGGGGCAACAUGAUGAUCGAUCCGACUUACGACGGGGUCGGAUUUUCCGGCGGCGGCGAUCCUUCCGCGCGGGCAGGAGCCGGUUGAGCAUCCCCAUGAUGGUACCCUCGAAAUCCUCUGCUCGCCCGCUCUGUAUACUACUCGUAAUUAUUUGACCCAGCAGGCAACGGAGACCACCUCCGCGGCGUCUGAAUCGAGAAGGCUCCAAUUCGAGUUUGAGUUUGAGUUGAAUUGACGCGAGCAGAGGAAACGGCAUCUGCAUCCACGCCGCCUUCUCUGCCUUGUCCUUGAGGCCUGCGUUUACCAGCCCAUCUAAAAUGGCCCAUUAUUACUCAAAAAAGGCCCAUUAGUGACAGGGUUGAUCAGAAUAGUAUAUGCCACAUCCCCUAAAAAAAGAUAGUAUAUGCCACUUCCCCUAAAAAAAGAGAGUAUAUGCCACUGAAAUUCUUGCCGAUUCGAAAAAUCUCACUGCAAUUUUUAUAAAAGCUCUGCGGUGAUAUUUUUCCAAGCUCUAUAGUGAUAUCCAAUGGUUUUUUUUAGAAGCUCUACUGUGCUGAUUUAGAAAAUGAAAAAUGUGGUGACAAUUUUGAAAUAUGCAAGAAUUGCGAUGCCAUUAUUUUAUCUAAUUAACCCUAGUAAAUAAUCCGCGUGUGACAAACUUAUGUCAUAUAUUUUAUUUCUAAAUAGUUGCAAUCCACUGCCUGCCUUUUCUAAUCACACUGCCAUGCUACAUCAGCACCUAUUCUAUUCAUGUCAAUCAUAGGUCACAUAUUUUGCAAUAAUUUACCCAUCUAACCAUGCCACAUUAGGACAUGCAGGCCACUCAUAAGUUAUACUCCUUUCGCCCCGGAUUAGUCGUUUUAAAUUUGUUUAGAUACAGGAUCUAUCUAGACACCUAGACACGUUUUAGUGUUAGGUACAUCUGUAUCUAGACAAAUCUAAGACAACUAAUUUGAGACGAAGGUAAUAUUUUUUUGUCCACUACCAAAUUUUUGUAAGCAUGCAGCUAUGCCACAUCAACAUCUAUGCAUGUCAAUUUACCCAUGCAACUAUGCCACAAUAAUAAGCCAUGCAUGCCACUUACAUUUUUUGAACUGAUUUUCUACUCCUGCUUAUAUGGGAUUAUACACGAUGAGAUUACAAUGUAGGGGUACAUUGAUGUGUUUGACGAGUUGGAUGUUGAUAACCCACAAGUAUAGGGGAUCGUUUGUAGUCUUCUUUGAUAAAUAAGAGUAUCGAACCCAACAAAGAGCUAAAGGAAGAACAAAUAUUCCCUCAAGUUCUAUCGACCACUGAUACAACUCUACGCACACUUGACGUUUGCUUCACCGGAAACAAGUAUGAAACUAUUUUGCAAGAGUAAAACUACGAGUACUUUGCGAGAAUAAAACUGGUAAUUGAUACGUCUCCAACGUAUCUAUAAUUUUUUAUUGUUCCAUGUUGUUAUAUUACCAUUCUUGAAUGUUUUAUAAUCAUUUUAAAGUCAUUUUAUAUCAUUUUUUGGUACUAACCUAUUGACAUAGUGCCAAGUGUCGGUUGUUGUUUGAUGUCUGCUAGAACUACAUCGAUAUUUCCCCAAAGAGGAAGGGACGAUGCAUAUAAAAGUCUCAUGUCAAAACUAGACUAUUGCUUUGAACCAUAUAAAAGUCCAAAUGUCCAUGCUACAAAGAAAAGAAUAUGAAAUGACAUGUUAGGCAGCAUUCCAUAUCAAAAAUUCUGUUUUUAUCAUUUACCUACUCGAGGACGAGCAGGAAUUAAGCUUGGGGAUGUUGAUACGUCUCCAACGUAUCUAUAAUUUUUUAUUGUUCCAUGGUGUUAUAUUACCAUUCUUGGAUGUUUGAUAAUCAUUUUAUAGUCAUUUUAUAUCAUUUUUGUACUAACCUAUUGACAUAGUGCCAAGUGUCAGUUGCUGUUUUCUGCAUGUUUUUUACAUCGCAUGAAAUCAAUACCAAACGGAGUCCAAACGCAGCGAAACUUUUUGUGGAUUUUUUUGGACCAGAAGACAUCCAGUGGGCCGGAGAAGCACCUGGAGGGUGCUCCGAGGGGAGCACAACCCACCAGGGCACCUGGAGGCCCAGGCGUGUCCUGGUGGGUUUGUGCCCACCUCGGGUGCCUCCCGAACCGCCUCUUUGCUCUAUAAAUACCCCAAUAUUUCAGAAACCCUAGGGGAGUCGACAAAAAUCAAUUCCAGCUGCCGCAAGUUCCAGAACCACCAGAUCCAAUCUAGACACCAUCACGGAGGGGUUCAUCAUGUCCGUUGGUGCCUCUACGAUGACCGUGAGUAGUUCUUUGUAGACCUACGGGUCCGUAGUUAGUAGCUAGAUGGCUUCCUCUCUCUCUCUCUUUUGAUUCUCAAUACAAUGGUCUCUUGGAGAUACAUAUGAUGUAACUCUUUUUGCGGUGUGUUUGUUGGGAUGCGAUGAACUUUGAGUUUAUGAUCAGAUCUAUGUUUUUAUCAAUGAAAGUUAUUUGAGUCUUCUUUGAUCUCUUAUAUGCAUGAUUGCUUAUAGCCUCGUACUUCGUCUCUGAUAUUUGGGUUUUGUUUAUCCAACUUGAUCUAUUUAUCUUGCAAUGGGAAGAGGUGCUUUGUAAUGGGUUCGAUCUUACAGUGCUUGAUCCCAAUGACAGAAGGGGAAUCGACAUGUAUGUAUCAUUGCUAUUAAGGAUAACAAGAUGGGGUCUAUUUCUACAUAAAUAGAUCUUGUCUACAUCAUGUCAUCGUUCUUAUUGCAUUACUCCGUUUUUUCAUGAACUUAAUACACUAGAUGCAUGCUGGAUAGCGGUCGAUGUGUGGAGUAAUAGUAGUAGAUGCAGGCAGGAGUCGGUCUACUAAUCUUGGACGUGAUGCCUAUAUAAUGAUCAUUGCCUGGAUAUCAUCAUGAUUAUUUGAAGUUCUAUCAAUUGCCCAACAGUCAUUCGUUUACCCACUGUUUGUUUUUUUUUCUCGAGAGAAGCCACUAGUGAAAUCUACGGCACCCAGGUCUCUUCUUUAUUAUAUUUGCCUUUGCGAUCUAUCUUUAUUUGCUUUUAUUUUCAGAUCUAUUAAACCAAAAAUACAAAUACCUUGUUGCACUUUAUUUUAUUUGGUGUUUGAUCUAUCAAUUUAUUACAACUCUCUCACGUCCUUUUGCCAAUUUUUGGUACCGUUACCGAAAGGGAUUUACAACCCCUUUAAUACGUCGGGUUACGAGUAUUUUUUAUUUGUGUGCAGGUGCUAUUUACGUAGUGUUGCUUGGUUCUCCUACUGUUUCGAUAACCUUGUUCUCAUCACUGAGGGAAAUACCUACCGUCGUUGUGCUGCAUCAUCCCUUCCUCUUUGGGGAAAUACUGACAUAGUUCUAGCAGACAUCAGUAAUAAAAGUGGAUAGCUUUUGUCAAUAAGAAAGUCAUUUGUCCCUAGGCAAUCGAUAACAAGUACAGAUAAUAUUCUUGUAAUUUUAUAUGAGGGAGAGGCAUGAGCUAACAUACUUUAUUACAACUCUCUCACGCCCUUUUGCCAAUUUUUGGUACCGUUACCGAAAGGGAUUUACAACCCCUUUAAUACGUCGGGUUGCGAGUAUUUUUUAUUUAUAUUUUUUAUGCUUGCGGAUACUUAUGAUUGGAACUCUAGCAAGCAUCCGCAACUGCUAAAGAUCAUUAAGGUCGUGAAACCCAACCAUAGCAUUAAGUAUCAAGUCCUCUUUAUCCCAUACGCAACAACCCACCUACUCAGGUUUAAGCUUCUGUCACUCUCGCAACCCACCAUAAGCAAAUCAUGAACGUAUUGCAACACCCUACAGCGGGGAUCCCCCAUGUUUGCGCGAGAUGGAGGGCAUCGUAGGACAACACCAUAAAUAAAAUAUACAAUCAUACCAACCAAGAUCACGAUUAACCCAUAGGACAAAACGGAUCUACUCAAACAUCAUAGGAUAACCAUAGAUCAUUGGGAAAUAAUAUAUGAAGUUGAGCACCAUGUUUAAGUAGGGAUUACAGCGGGGAGAAGGGGUGUUGCACCGCUGCAUAGAGGGGGAGAAAGUUGGUGUUGGCGGUAGCAAGAUUGUUGAUGUAGAUCGCUGUCAUGAUCCUUGCCCCGGCGGUGUUCCGACGCCACCGGGAGAGAGGGGGUGUUGGGGAUAUAACUAUUGGGUAUGACCCACCCAGGAGGGUCCGGGUUAUACCGCUGGUGGUUUGUUAUGGCGAAGCCCAUAAAGAUGUUGAAGAUGGCGGUUCACGAAGCAGGCUUACUGAAGGCCCAAAACCCAAAGGCGACUUAAGGCCCAACAGGUGUAAACCGCCAUAUAUGUAUGACUUGUAUUAUAAGGCAUGUAUAGUUAGUCACCGAGCCGGACACAUUGUGUAUGAGCCAGUUGGGACUCCGUGAGCCGCCGGGCGUCAACCUGUGUAUAUAAAGGGACGACCCGGCGGCGAUUCAGGACAAGGGACAAGAGAACGAAAGCUAGGUCAAGCGUAAUUGCUCCCUAGUAAUCGAAGCAUAAGAAAUACCACCUCAAACUGGAUUAGGCUUUUACCUUCACCGCAAGGGGCCGAACCAGUAUAAACUCCUUGAGUCCUUUGUCCCGUUUAACCCCUUUAAGCUAACCUAGUUGCGAUGGCUCCAUGACUAAGUCCUUCUGCUAGGACAUCUGCCGUGACGAUUCCACGACAGUUGGCACCCACCAUGGGGCCAGCGCACGGUGGUUUCGAGUUCUUACAGGGCAGCUUUGAAGGGAUCAAGGGAUACGCUAUGGGCCGGAUGACCAAGAGUCGUCGCGACAAGCUCUACAUCGACGAUGCAGGCUGGGGCCCCGAGGCCGGCUCAAUCGAGUACGGGUACCGGGUCCCCUUCGGCGGAAUCCACGUCUUCAUCGGCAAGAUCGGCGAACCGGGCCCUGAGCCGGACAUCUGCACCGACAUCAUCGAGACGGCUCAGCGGGCACGACCCGCCCGGGUUCAUCCCAUCGUGAGCGCGCCUUCGUUGGAUUUAUCCAUGGGGCGGAAUUUGAGGAAGGAUCUAUGUCUGGCGGUGAGACGGCCAUCUACUCCGAUGGUGAAUCGUCCACAGGCGAGACUAAUUCAAUGUAUCAGCUACAAGACGGUCGGCUUGGGGGAUGUUUCGAUGGUGACAGUAUUCCGGACCCCUAUGAGCCGCCGAACAGGGUGGCGAUCUUCAUGGCCGGUACACAGUCGGUACUUGGUUCAAUGACUGCCGCGGCUAUAACCUCUGAUUCAACGGAUGCGGCGAUGGCUGGUGCUGGCGGCUCAACACGCCCACCGGCUCAAGUUUUAAUAGAACUGUUGGAGGCUCUGGCGACUUUGAUGGGGAUAGAGGUAACCCCGGACAACCAGGAACAGCAUAAGGUAGAUGUGGCUAAGCUGCAAGAUGAGAUAGCUCAAGCUAAGGAAGAGCUGGCGGCUGAGAACGCUAGGAUGACUGCGGAGCGGGCUGUUUUGGACGCACAGGCACAGCGGAUUCCUUCCGGCUCACAUCGAUCAGAACGCUUCAAACGAGAUCAUGAGGAGGAGGCACCAGAGUCGUUUGCCCCAGUUUAUGAUGCGAGAAACCUCUUCAAUACGCCUGGAGCGGGGACCAGUAACCCGCCGGAGGUAAACCGGGUGAUGGCAACGCCUGGGGCUGGAGCGUCGGCUCAGCCGCGCACGACAGAUCCACCUUGUUUGAAUACUACCCUGCCGCAGUAUGUGCCGACGCCAUCGGAUCAUUAUUCUAACCCAUUGGAUAAUAUGAUCGCUGCGGCGACACGAUUGGCGGCUCUCCAAGUUGAAGGCGAGUCUCCGGCUGCGAUUGAAACACGGAGGGCUAGAGAACUUCUUCAGACAGCAUUGGUCCAACAGGAGGCCUAUUCUUACAGUCGUGAGAGGAUUCACUCAACCCCUCGCCCGAGUCGGAGUUAUAGCAGGCAUAUAGAUUCACCAGCAGUCUCAAGCAGUGACAGGCGCCGUAACCAGCCUCGUGAGCAUGACCCGGUGCGCAAUGGUGCUAAUGCUCAGGCUUUGGUAGAUCAGGGUAGAGCACGUCGGGAGGCUGAGCUGGCGGCUCAGCAAGUGGCUCAUCAACAUUCUCCGGGUUAUCCGACAACUUUGGUGGAAACAGGUGUGACCUCCAGAACCUUGGGUGUACCAUGUUUAGUGCCGGCUCUACGUAACGUGCGUUUGGAUUUCAAGGGCCCUUGUAAGGUGCCUAACUACAUAGCGGAUCAGCCCCCCUGAAGCUUGGGUUGAAAGUUAUGAGAUGGCAAUGGAGCUGUUGGAUGUUGGCGAUGCUGCAUGUGCUAAAUAUUUCACUAUGAUGUUGGAUGGAACAACUCAUACUUGGUUGAAAGGGUUGCCAGCCAACUCCAUUGGAUCAUGGGCCGAGUUAAAAGCCUGGUUUAUCCAGAAUUAAGACACGUGCAAACAGCCUAUGUCAAUUGUGGAUAUGGACUCAUGUGUCCAAGAAGAGGGCGAGUCAACAACCCAUUGGGUGCGCCGGGUCUCAGCCAUCCUGCACUCAUCAGAUCGUAUCAAUGCCGGUUCAGCAGUUCUAAUGUUGGAGAAAAACUGUCGUUUUAUGCCUCUUAAGCAGAAGCUGGUGCGGCUCAAAUGCCACUGCAUUGACAUAGGGGAGCUCAUGGCGGCUCUGGUCAAGUAUGCCGACUCUAAUAGUACCAAGGACCCUGAGUCUGAUGAGGAAAGGCCGGGUAAGGGAAAGAAGAGUAGCAACACCAAGGGGCAGCAUAACCCGGCGAAUCAGGGGGGCAAUGGUAAGCGCAAGGCUGGUAGUAGUUUGGAUUUUGUGGCUAACACCAACACGCAGAAUAAUGGUCAGCGCCGUAAAGGGAAGCCAAAUCCUUGGUUUGGAGGGCAAAAUUUCAACCUUGUGGAGAUGAUGAAUCAGCCCUGCCCAAAGCAUGGUACACGGGAAAAGCCGGCAGCUCACCUCUGGAAGGAUUGCUUCAUCAUGAGGGAGUACAGAAAUUCAAUUUUUUUCAGAAUAAUCAUGGGCCGGACGGCGGCUCAGGACCCGGCUCUCACGGUCCGGGUUACGGUGGUGGAGGUUCUAGUUCCGGUUUUCAGGGCCAAGGCAAUCAGGGUGGUUUUAAUCAACAGUUUGGUCAGGGGAAUCAGCAGCAGUCUUGUUAUUAGAGUAAUCCGAAGCAGCUGAAUAGUGGGCAGUAUCAUGUCUUCACCACGAGUUUGUGUAAGCGAGAUCAGAAACUCCAUAAGAGAGCAGUAAACGCAGUUGAGCCGGCAAUUCCCCGUUACUUGCGAUGGUCUGAACACCCUAUUCUUUGGAGCCGUGAAGAUCACCCGCCCCGUGUUGAUAACCCGGGUCACCUGGCGCUGGUGGUGGCGCCUCAGGUUGGGGGUACAAAUUCACUAAGGUACUCAUGGAUGGAGGUAGCAGCAUCAAUAUCCUAUACUAUGAUACUUUCCAUCGCAUGGGAUUGACCGACAAAAAUCUUAAGCCGUCGAACACUGUUUUUCACGGUGUGGUAGCUGGUAAGUCGGCAUAUCCAGUGGGCAAAAUAUCUUUAAAGGUUGCCUUUGGAGAUGAGUAUGAUUCCAGGUCUGAGACGUUGACCUUCGAAGUGGUUAAAAUCAAGAGCCCCUAUCAUGCUCUGUUUGGGCGGCCGGCUUACGCUAAAUUCAUGGCAAGGCCUUGUUAUGUUUACUUACAGCUUAAAAUGCCGGGUCACAAGGGCACCAUCACAGUGCAUGGAAGUCGCAAGGUAGCCUUGGAGUGUGAAGAAGGUGAUGCUGCUUAUGCUGAAUCUGUCUGUGCAACAGAGGAAUUGAAAUUUUACAAGGAUAAUGUUGACCCGGCAGAUAUGACAUCUUUGAAGAAACCAACCACAGAGCAUGACCCCUUGUUGAAGUUUAAAUUGGCAGAUGACACUAAGCUAGUUGACUUCGUUCCUGGCGACUCAUCCAAGCAGUUCAGCAUUAGUGCUAAUCUGGAUCCGAAAUAGGAAAGCGCGCUCAUCGAGUUCAUCCGUGAGAACCGGGACAUCUUUGCAUGGAAACCUUCAGACAUGCCAGGUGUACCGAGAGAACUCGCUGAGCACACUCUCAAUAUUGAUCCAAAGUUUAAGCCAAUCAAGCAAUUUCUUUGCCGUUUCAAUGAAGAGAGGCGCAAGGCUAUUGGUGAAGAAGUGGCCCGACUCUUGGCGGCUGGGUUUAUCGUUGAAGUCUUUCAUCCUGAGUGGUUGGCUAACCCGGUGCUGGUACUUCAGAAAAAUGGCACCUGGCGCGUGUGUGUGGACUAUACGGAUUUAAACAAGGCUUGUCCGGCUGAUCCCUUCGCUCUCCCCCGUAUUGAUCAAAUUAUUGCUGCUACGGCGGGUUGUGAGCGUUUGAGUUUUUUGGAUGCUUAUUCUGGUUAUCAUCAGAUCAAGAUGGCAUUUAAGGACCAGGAGAAGACAGCCUUCAUCACUCCCUUUGGAGCCUUCCGUUACGUGUCUAUGACUUUUGGCCUCAAGAGUACCCAAGCGACUUACCAGCGGUGUGUGCAAAAUUGCCUUCAUGAUCAGAUUGGGCGCAAUGUUCGUGCUUAUGUGGAUGAUAUUAUGGUGAAAUCCAGAAAGAAGGAGACCCUGAUAGAUGAUUUGAAGGAGACCUUCGACAAUCUCCGGGCACAAGAUGAUGCUUAACCCGGCCAAGUGCGUCUUUGGUGUGCCAGCAGGCAAGCUCUUGGGUUUUCUGGUUUCAGAAUGAUGUAUUGAAGCUAACCCAGAGAAAAUAAAGGCUAUCACCUCUCUGGCUAAACCGGCGUGUAUCAAUGAUGUUCAGCGUUUGGUAGGUCGUAUUGCAGCCUUAAUCCGGUUCAUAAGCCGGUUGGGUGAGAAGGCCAUCCCUCUUUACUAGAUGAUGAAGAAGACAGAUCACUUUGUUUGGAGUGAUGUUGUUGAUCAAGCGUUUGAGGCCUUGAAGAAACAGUUGGCCGAGCCGCCGGUUCUUGCUGCUCCCAUCGAUAAAGAGCCUUUGUUGUUAUAUAUGGCCACCAAUAGCCGAGCUAUCAGCGUAGCCAUUGUGGUGGAAAGGAAGGAAUUAGGCAAGGAGCAUCCGGUUCAGCGGCCGGUUUACUACAUCAGUGAAGUGCUUAUUGAGUCCAAGCAGAGGUAUCCACAUUGGCAGAAGCUUGUAUAUGGGGUGUUCAUGGCUAGCCGAAAACUCAAGCAGUAUUUUCUGGGUCAUCCUAUCACUGUGGUUAGUUCUGCUCCUUUAGGGGAUAUCAUUCAAAACAGAGAAGCCACUGGUCGGACAGCCAAAUGGGCCAUUGAGCUUGGACCUCAUGGUUUGAAGUAUGUGCCUCGCACAGCCAUCAAGUCGCAAGCACUUGUGGAUUUUAUCAAUGAUUGGACAGAGUUGCAGAUGCCUGAGGAGAAGCCGGAUAGCACAUACUGGACUAUUCACUCUGAUGGAUCCAGGCAGUUGGAGGGCUCGGGGGCUAGAGUUGUCUUGACUUCCCCAUGAGGUGAUAAAUUUUCCUAUGUUCUCCGGUUGAUGUUCCCUUGUACUAACAAUGCAGCUAAGUAUGCGGCCUUGCUCCAUGGUCUUCGGAUGGCUAAGGAGAUGAACUUAAGCCGGGUGAGGUAUUUUGGCGACUCAGAUCUAGUAGCUCAACAAGUUUCUGGCACUUGGGAUUCCAAGGAUCCACUCUUGGCGGCUUAUCACCGAGAAGUUGAUGUUAUCGCUGGUCACUUCAAAGGUUAUGAAGUUGAACUUGUUGAUCGCAGGAAAAAUGAGGCGGCUGAUGCUUUGAGCCAGUUAGGGUCCCAGCGUAAGCCGGUGCCACCUAACACUUUCCUGGAUAUUCUGCAUAACCCUUCGGUCAAAUUGCCUAUAGAGGAAGAUCUAGCUAUUCCUGACCCGGAAGCACAGUUGGUAGCAGCUCUUCAUGUUAUUCCUGAUUGGAUGGUUCCAUAUUUGGCUUAUAUGACCCGGGGCGAGUUACCUGAAGAUGAAACUUUGGCCAGGUAGAUAACCCGGCGGUCUAAGUCAAUGACUAUUGUCAAUGGAGAGUUGCGUUAUCGCAGUGUCACAGGGGCAUUUCAACGUUGCAUUUCUCCUGAGGAAGGUUGUGAGAUUCUACGAGAGAUUCAUGAAGGAGAUUAUGGUCAUCAUGCCGGCUCUAAGUCUCUUGUAGCCAAGGCUUUCCGUCAUGGGUUUUAUUGGCUGACGGAUCAUGCUGAUGCAGAAGAUUUGGUCAAUAAAUGUGACGGUUGUCAGAAAUUUUCACGAUGAGCUCAUGUGCCAGCUCAAGAAUUGAGGAUGAUUCCAAUUGCUUGGCCAUUUGCAGUUUGGGGGCUUGAUAUGGUUGGGCCUUUCAAAAGAUCCAAAGAUAAAAAGACCCGCCUUUUGGUGGCGGUUGACAAGUUUACAAAGUGGGUUGAAGCAGAGCCGGUUAGUAAGUGUGACACGGUGAUGGCGGUGCAAUUCAUCAAAAAGGUGAUUUUCCGUUUUGGCUUUCCCCAUAGCAUUAUAACUGAUAAUGGACUAAUCUGUCCAAGGGUGCUAUGAAAGAAUUUUGUCAACGUGAGCAUAUCCGACUUGACGUAUCAUCAGUGGCUCACCCCCAGUCCAAUGGUCAAGCUGAGAGAGACAAUCAAGAGAUUUUGAGAGGCAUCAAGCCCCGGCUUAUGGUUCCUUUACAGAGGACGCCGGGUUGUUGGGUGGAGGAGUUACCCUCAGUGUUAUGGAGUAUCAAUACUACCCCCAACAGAUCUACGGGUUACACGCCUUUCUUCAUGGUUUACGGAGCAGAGGCGGUUCUCCCUAGUGACAUCCGUCAUGAUUCGCCUCGUGUGGCGGCUUAUGUUGAAGCUGGUAAUGAAAGAGCACGUCAGGAUGCACUUGACCUAUUGGAUGAGGAGCGUGACCUUGCAGCGGCUCGUUCGGCGAUUUACCAACAAGAUUUGCGUCGUUAUCACAGCUGCCGGGUUAAAACCAGAACCUUUCAAGAUGGCGACUUGGUGCUCCGGCUUAUCCAGGAUCAGACUGAUAUGCAUAAACUAUCCCCACCUUGGGAAGAGCCUUUUGUGGUCAGCAAAAAUCUGAACAAUGGGUCAUACUACCUUAUCGAUGUUCGAGGCCACAAGGACUCAUGCACGUCAGAGGAGGAGACCCGCUGGCCGUGGAAUAUUGCUCAUCUUCGGCCUUACUAUACUUGAGCCUCCGGCUCUGGUGAUGUACAUAUUUUGACAGUGUAUAUAUUAUGAUGAAUAUAAUAAAGCCGGCACCCCUGAUAAUUCAGGGCCUCUGUCGUUUCGUUUUGAGAAUAAUGAGUCUUUAUUGUCAUAUCAUAUGGUCACUUGGGGGCUUCCUGCUCAUCAAGCAUAGCUAUGACUACCCUCUUGAUCCGGCUUGUACGCCAUGAUUACUAAAUACUUGGGGGCUUCCUGCUCAUUGAGCAUAGCUGUGAUUACCCUAUUCAUCCGGCUUGUACGCCUGGAAUGAAAUAUUACUUGGGGGCUCUUUGUUCAACGGACAAGAGUUUUUUGACCCUUGUAAUAGGCUUGGAAGCCAGGUGUAUUCACCUCAAAACCUGGGUUAUCCUGCCUUUUAAGUCUGCCACUUCGCCCAGAUUGACUGGAAUGACUCGCCGUACUUUUGACAAGUUAAUCUUAUACAGACCCUGAACUUGUCAAAGUUAAAACGAUGAUUGGUCAUGUGAGGCCCGACUUAUAAGGUUGAGUGAAGGUUUAACUCAGUGGUUGUCCAUCCCUUUGAACGCACUUGAUUUGAAGGUUUGGCAGCCUAUGAAAGCCUUGUUUUUGUCUUUUGAUUUAUAUUUGAUUUGAACAUUUUUUGCGGUUCAUCUUUUGUGACAUGUUAAUGCAUGAUGGAAAACCAAUGAGGGCUAUGAUGUCUUAGGAUUCACAUAUGAAUCUAUCUGGAGUUUGUUAACCCGGCCUGGCUUUGGACUAUGAGUCACCAGUGUAUAAUGAUCUAAUACACUUAGAAGCGUUGUGCUCUAAGUUUUGGGAUAUUAAUCCUUGCUGCAUACGGUGUGGUAAGCUGGCAGUAUAUGUCAAUUGAACAAGGCAUUGUGCGCUCAAUCUUUUGGGUGGUAACCCUCACUGAACAGGUAUGAUAAGCCGGCAGUAUGAGCAAAUAUCACAGGUAUGAUAUUUUGUUAUAAGUAUAUAAGGUUAUUGAUACAUCUCAAUGUAUCUAUAAUUUUUUAUUGUUCCAUGCUAUAUUAUAUUCUGUUUUGGAUGUUUAAUGGGCUUUAUUAUACACUUUUAUAUUAUUUUUGGGACUAACCUAUUAACCGGAGGCCCAGCCCAAAUUGUUGUUUUUUGCCUAUUUUAGUGUUUCGCAGAAAAAGAAUAUCAAACGGAGUCCAAACAGAAUGAAACCUUCGGGAACAUGAUUUUCGGAACAAACGUGAUCCAGAGGACUUGGAGUGGACGUCAAGCAACACACGAGGAAGCCACGAGGUAGGGGGGCACGCCUACCCCCCUGGGUGCGCCCUCCACCCUCGUGGGCCCCUUGUGGCUCCACCGACCUACUUCUUCCUCCUAUAUAUACCUACGUACCCCCAAACCAUCGAGGAGCACCACGAAAACCUAAUUCCACCGCCGCAACCUUCUGUACCCGUGAGAUCCCAUCUUGGGGCCUUUCCCGGCGUCCUGCCGGAGGGGGCAUUGAUCACGGAGGGCUUCUACAUCAACACCAUAGCCUCUCUGAUGAUGUGUGAGUAGUUUACCUCAGACCUUCGGGUCCAUAGUUAUUAGCUAGAUGGCUUCUUCUCUCUCUUUGGAUCUCAAUACAAAGUUCUCCUCGAUUCUCUUGGAGAUCUAUUUGAUGUAACUCUUCUUUUGCGGUGUGUUUGUCGAGAUCCGAUGAAUUGUGGGUUUAUGAUCAAGAUUAUCUAUGAAAAAUAUUUGAAUCUCCUCUCAAUUCUUUUAUGUAUGAUUGGUUAUCUUUGCAAGUCUCUUCGAAUUAUCAGUUUGGUUUGGCCUACUAGAUUGAUCUUUCUUGCAAUGGGAGAAGUGCUUAGCUUUGCGUUCAAUCUUGCGGUGUCCUUUCCCAGUGACAGCAGGGGCAGCAAGGCACGUAUUGUAUUGUUGCCAUCGAGGAUAAAAAGAUGGGGUUUAUAUCAUAUUGCAUGAGUUUAUCCCUCUACAUCAUGUCAUCUUGCUUAAAGCGUUACUCUGUUCUUAUGAACUUCAUACUCUAGAUGCAUGCUGGAUAGCGGUCGAUGUGUGGAGUAAUAGUAGUAGAUGCAGAAUCGUUUCGGUCUACUUGUCACAGACGUGAUGCCUAUAUACAUGAUCAUACCUAGAUAUUCUCAUAACUAUGCUCAAUUCUAUCAAUUGCUCGACAGUAAUUCGUUUACCCACCGUAAUACUUAUGCUAUCUUGAGAGAAGCCACUAGUGAAACCUAUGGCCCCCGGGUCUAUUUUCCAUCAUACUAAUCUUCCGUCAACAAGUUAUUUCUAUUACCGUUUAUUUUGCUUUCUUUACUUUUAGUCUUUAUCAUAAAAAUACCAAAAAUAUUAUCUUAUCAUCUCUAUCAGAUCUCACUCUCAUAAGUGACCGUGAAGGGAUUGACAACCCCUUUAUCGCGUUGGUUGCGAGGUUCUUAUUUGUUUGUGUAGGUGCAUGGGACUUGAGCGUGGCCUCCUACUGGAUUGAUAGCUUGGUUCUCAAAACUGAGGGAAAUACUUAUGCUACUUUGCUGCAUCACCCUUUCCUCUUCAAGGGAAAACCAACGCGGUGCUCAAGAAGUAGCAAGAAGGAUUUCUGGCGCCGUUGCCGGGGAGUCUACGCACAAGUCAAGACAUACCAAGUACCCAUCAAAAACUCUUAUCCCUCGCAUUACAUUAUUCGCCAUUUGCCUCUCGUUUUCCUCUCCCCCACUUCACCUUUGCCGUUUUAUUCGCCCUCUUUUCCAUUCGCCUCUUUUUCGCUUGCCUCUUGUUUGCUUGUGUGUUGGAUUGCUUGCUUGUCCCGAUGGAUCUACCUAGAUUUGGUGAUCUUCACCUUAAAAGGUUAGAAGAGAUCGAAAGCAACGUCAGGAGUUUUAUGACUUUACAAUUUGAGCAUAAUAAUUUCUUUAGAAACAAGCUGAAGGAACAAAAAAGCUUUAUGGGAUACAUGAAUAAAGAGCUCGAUGACAUGUCUAAGGAAUUUUAUGGUUUGAAAUUUCAGAUUGCUCAUCUCAAAAACUUAAUAGCUGAAAUUUCGGAUAAGCAGACCACCUUAGUUAAUAAGAUGGCCACUAAAUCGGAAAAAUUUUAUGAGAAUAAAGAUGAAGAUCUAAAAUAUAUUGAUGUGUCCCUAUUAAAUCUUUGUUUUGCAAUAUGAAUCUUGAUAAUGAUGGGACUGAAAAUGAGUCAACUUUAGUUAGAAGGCGUUCCAAAAAUUCGGAGUUUUUAGAUCUUGAUGCAAAAAUUGGUAAAAGUGGGAUUGAAGAGGUCAAAAAUUUAGAUACCAAUGAACCCACUAUUUUGAUUUCAAGGAAUUUAAUUAUGAUAAUUGCUCUUUGAUAGAUUGUAUUUCCUUGUUGCAAUCCGUGCUAAAUUUGCCUCAUGCUUAUAGUCAAAAUAAAGCUUUUACUAAACAUAUUGUUGAUGCUUUAAUGCAAUCUUAUGAAGAAAAACUUGAGUUGGAAGUUUCUAACCCUAGAAAACUUUAUGAUGAAUGGGAACCUACUAUUUAAAUUAAAAUUAAAGAUCAUGAAUACUAUGCUUUGUGUGAUUUGGGUGCUAGUGUUUCCACGAUUCCAAAAACUUUGUGUGAUUUGUUAGGUUUCCGUGAAUUUGAUGAUUGUUCUUUAAACUUGCACCUUGCGGAUUCCACUAUUAAGAAACCUAUGGUAAGAAUUAAUGAUGUUCUUAUUGUUGCAAAUAGGAACUAUGUGCCCGUAGAUUUUAUUGUUCUUGAUAUAGAUUGCAAUCCUUCAUGUCCUAUUAUUCUUGGUAGACCUUUCCUUAGAACGAUUGGUGCAAUUAUUGAUAUGAAGGAAGGAAAUAUUAGAUUCCAAUUUCUGUUAAGGAAAGGCAUGGAACACUUUCCUAGAAAGAAGAUAAAAUUACCUUAUGAAUCUAUUAUGAGAGCCACUUAUGGAUUGCCUACCAAAGAUGGCAAUACCUAGAUCUACCCUCGCUUCUAUGCCUAGCUAGGGGCGUUAAACGAUAGCACUUGUUGGGAGGCAACCCAAUUUUUAUUUUAGUUUUUUGCUUUUUGCUCCUGUUUAGGAUUAAAUCUUUGAUCUAGCCUCUGGUUAGAUGUGUUUUUGUGUUUUAAUUAGUGUUUGUGCCAAGUUAAACCUAUAGGAUCUUCUUGGAUGAUAGUUAUUUUAUCUUGCUGAAAAUUCCAGAAACUUUCUGUUCAUGAAAACAAUUGUUAAAAAUCACCAGAACGUGAUAAAAUACCGAUUCCAAUUGCAGAAGAUCAAUAAACAAAUUAUCUAGGUCUUCCUAUUUUGGAAGAUAUUUUUGAGUUCCAGAAGUUUGCGUUAGUUACAGAUUACUACAGACUGUUCUGUUUUUGACAAAUUCUGUUUUUCGCGUGUUGUUUGCUUAUUUUGAUGAAUCUAUGGCUAGUAAAAUAGUUUAUAAACCAUAGAGAAGUUGGAAUACAGUAGGUUUAACACCAAUAUAAAUAAAGAAUGAGUUCAAUACAGUACCUUGAAGUGGUGUUUUGUUUUCUUUCGCUAACGGAGGUCACGAGAUUUUCUGUUAAGUUUUGUGUUGUGAAGUUUUCAAGUUUUGGGUAAAGAUUUGAUGGAUUAUGGAACAAGGAGUGGCAAGAUCCUAAGCUUGGGGAUGCCCAAGGCACCCCAAGGUAAAUCUAAGGACACCAAAAAGGCAAAGCUUGGGGAUGCCCCGGAAGGCAUCCCCUCUUUUGUCUUCGUCCAUCGGUAACUUUACUUGGAGCUAUAUUUUUAUUCACAACAUGAUAAGUGUUUUGCUUGGAGCCUCUUGUAUUAUUUGAGUCUUUGCUUUUUAGUUUACCACAAUCAUCUUCGCUGUACACACCUUUUGAGAGAGGCACACAUGAUUCGGAAUUUAUUAGAAUACUCUAUGUGCUUCACUUAUAUCUUUUGAGCUAUAUAGUUUUUGCUCUAGUGCUUCACUUAUAUCUUUUAGAGCACGGUGGUGGUUUUGUUUAUAGAAACUAUUGUUCUCUCAUGCUUCACUUAUAUCAUUUAGAGAGCACUACAAAACAGCAUGGUAAUUUUCUUAAAUUGAGAAAUUAGUCCUAAUAUGAUAGGCAUCCAAGAUUAGUAAAAACUUUCUUAUAAGUGCGUUGAAUACUAAGAAAAUUUUGAUGCUUGAUGAUUGUUUUGAGAUAUGGAGGUAGUGAUAUUAAAGUUGUGCUAGUUGAGUAGUUGUGAAUUUGAAAAAUACUUGUGUUGAAGUUUGCAAGUCCCGUAGCAUGCACGUAUGGUAAACGUUGUGUAACAAAUUUGAAACAUGAGGUGUUCUUUGAUUGUCCUCCUUAUGAGUGGCGGUCGGGGACGAGCGAUGGUAUUUUCCUAUCAAUCUAUCCCCCUAGGAGCAUGUGUGUAAUGCUUGGUCUUUGAUGACUUGUAGAUUUUUGCAAUAAGUAUGUGAGUUCUUUAUGACUAAUGUUGAGUCCAUGGAUUAUACGCACUCUCACCCUUCCAUCAUUGCUAGCCUCUUCGGUACCGUGCAUUGCCCUUUCUCACCUUGAGAGUUGGUGCAAACUUCGCCGGUGCAUCCAAACCCCGUGAUACGAUACGCUCUAUCGCACAUAAACCUCCUAAUAUCUUCCUCAAAACAGCCACCAUACCUACCUAUUAUGGCAUUUUCAUAGCCAUUCCGAGAUAUAUUGCCAUGCAACUUUCCACCGUUCCGUUUAUCAUGACACGUUUCAUCAUUGUCAUAUUGCCUUGCAUGAUCAUGUAGUUGACAUCGUAUUUGUGGCAAAGCCACCAUGCAUAUUUUUCAUACAUGUCACUCUUGAUUCAUUUCCCAUCCCGGUACACCGCCGGAGGCAUUCAUAUAGAGUCAUACUUUGUUCUAGUUUCGAGUUGUAAUCAUUGAGUUGUAAAUACUUGAUUCAUUGCCCAUCCCGCAACCUUCUGUACCCGUGAGAUCCCAUCUUGGGGCCUUUUCCGGCGUCCUGCCGGAGGGGGCAUUGAUCACGGAGGGCUUCUACAUCAACACCAUAGCCUCUCUGAUGAUGUGUGAGUAGUUUACCUCAGACCUUCGGGUCCAUAGUUAUUAGCUAGAUGGCUUCUUCUCUCUCUUUGGAUCUCAAUACAAAGUUCUCCUCGAUUCUCUAGGAGAUCUAUUUGAUGUAACUCUUCUUUUGCGGUGUGUUUGUCGAGAUCCGAUGAAUUGUGGGUUUAUGAUCAAGAUUAUCUAUGAAAAAUAUUUGAAUCUCCUCUCAAUUCUUUUAUGUAUGAUUGGUUAUCUUUGCAAGUCUCUUCGAAUUAUCAGUUUGGUUUGGCCUACUAGAUUGAUCUUUCUUGCAAUGGGAGAAGUGCUUAGCUUUGCGUUCAAUCUUGCGGUGUCCUUUCCCAGUGACAGCAGGGGCAGCAAGGCACGUAUUGUAUUGUCGCCAUCGAGGAUAAAAAUAUGGGGUUUAUAUCAUAUUGCAUGAGUUUAUCCCUCUACAUCAUGUCAUCUUGCUUAAAGCGUUACUCUGUUCUUAUGAACUUCAUACUCUAGAUGCAUGCUGGAUAGCGGUCGAUGUGUGGAGUAAUAGUAGUAGAUGCAGAAUCGUUUCGGUCUACUUGUCACAGACGUGAUGCCUAUAUACAUGAUCAUACCUAGAUAUUCUCAUAACUAUGCUCAAUUCUAUCAAUUGCUCGACAGUAAUUCGUUUACCCACCGUAAUACUUAUGCUAUCUUGAGAGAAGCCACUAGUGAAACCUAUGGCCCCCGGGUCUAUUUUCCAUCAUACUAAUCUUCCGUCAACAAGUUAUUUCUAUUACCGUUUAUUUUGCUUUCUUUACUUUUAGUCUUUAUCAUAAAAAUACCAAAAAUAUUAUCUUAUCAUCUCUAUCAGAUCUCACUCUCAUAAGUGACCGUGAAGGGAUUGACAACCCCUUUAUCGCGUUGGUUGUGAGGUUCUUAUUUGUUUGUGUAGGUGCAUGGGACUUGAGCGUGGCCUCCUACUGGAUUGAUAGCUUGGUUCUCAAAACUGAGGGAAAUACUUAUGCUACUUUGCUGCAUCACCCUUUCCUCUUCAAGGGAAAACCAACGCAGUGCUCAAGAAGUAGCAAGAAGGAUUUCUGGCGCCGUUGCCGGGGAGUCUACGCACAAGUCAAGACAUACCAAGUACCCAUCAAAAACUCUUAUCCCUCGCAUUACAUUAUUCGCCAUUUGCCUCUCGUUUUCCUCUCCCCCACUUCACCUUUGCCGUUUUAUUCGCCCUCUUUUCCAUUCGCCUCUUUUUCACUUGCCUCUUGUUUGCUUGUGUGUUGGAUUGCUUGCUUGUCCCGAUGGAUCUACCUAGAUUUGGUGAUCUUCACCUUAAAAGGUUAGAAGAGAUUGAAAGCAACGUCAGGAGUUUUAUGACUUUACAAUUUGAGAAUAAUAAUUUCUUUAGAAACGAGCUGAAGGAACAAAAAAGCUUUAUGGGAUACAUGAAUAAAGAGCUCGAUGACAUGUCUAAGGAAUUUUAUGGUUUGAAAUCUCAGAUUGCUCAUCUCAAAAAAUUAAUAGCUGAAAUUUCGGAUAAGCAGACCACCUUAGUUAAUAAGAUGGCCGCUAAAUCGGAAUUUUUUUAUGAGAAUAAAGAUGAAGAUCUAAAAUAUAUUGAUGUGUCCCCUAUUAAAUCUUUGUUUUGCAAUAUGAAUCUUGAUAAUGAUGGGACUGAAAAUGAGUCAACUUUAGUUAGAAGGCGUUCCAAAAAUUCUCAUAACUAUGCUCAAUUCUAUCAAUUGCUCGACAGUAAUUUGUUUACCCACCGUAAUACUUAUGCUAUCUUGAGAGAAGCCACUAGUGAAACCUAUGGCCCCCGGGUCUAUUUUCCAUCAUAUUAAUCUUCCGUCAACAAGUUAUUUCUAUUACCGUUUAUUUUGCUUUCUUUACUUUUAGUCUUUACCAUAAAAAUACCAAAAAUAUUAUCUUAUCAUCUCUAUCAGAUCUCACUCUCGUAAGUGACCAAGAAGGGAUUGACAACCCCUUUAUCGCGUUGGUUGCGAGGUUCUUAUUUGUUUGUGUAGGUGCGUGGGACUUGAGCGUGGCCUCCUGCUGGAUUGAUACCUUGGUUCUCAAAACUGAGGGAAAUACUUACGCUACUUUGCUGCAUCACCCUUUCCUCUUCAAGGGAAAACCAACGCAGUGCUCAAGAGGUAGCAGUUAUGAUUGAACCGGCCCUAGUUAUGGAUUGUUAGUCACCAAUGGUUUUUAUAUAGGGUGUUGUGACCCGCCCUGGGGUAAACCGCCAGGGUACUUGUGAUCUGUUUUGUGUGCAGGUAAAAUACUAAAUCUAGCAUACAGAGUUGAUGUCAUCAUAAGCAUAAGUGGCCGAACUUCAAUUGGUAAAGCAGCAGUGUCAUGCAAAGCAAAACAUGCACGAUGGCACAGAAGAUCAAAAUUUUAACUAGCCUAUUACAAGGCAUCUGAUGGCCCAAGGAGAAUAAGUAUUUCGGAGCUGUCAACACAGCAAAGUAUUCUGCUUAAUAAACCGGCUUAUGACUAUUGGCGGGUUGAAGCCUCCGGGUCUUCCUUCACCUCUUCUUCAUCUGCAGCUCCUUGCUUAUCCAUCAGCUGGAAGUCAGGCGCAGCCCAGUUGAUACCGGUCAAUGCUCUAAACACAGCUUCAUCAUCAAUAAGAUUGGAUGGAUCAAUGUCAGGAGCGAAGGUGUGCUUACGAAUUAGCGGGCUGAGAUCUUUUGGCUCGUGAAUCGGCGCGCUCACUCUCUUGUUUUCAGCGUCAUAAGCCGACUGGUAUGUAGAUAGACUGGUUUCGUCAGCACUGAAGGCAGAUCCGUCUUCUUUGACACUAGGGCAGCCGUUGGCCAAAUCCUCCGGGUCAAGAUCGGCUUGCCAUGCCUUUUCCCGCCUUAAGGCAGUCGAGGCGCCGGCUCUGGCAGCUCCCCAUUUUAAGUCAUCAAUUCUUUUGGGAAGCACGGAUAACUGCUUCAGUGUAUCUUUGAUAAGUGUGGAGGGAGUUUUCUUGUGCAGCGUAGUAGCAAUGGUUCGUUGGGCACCAGUAUAUAACUGUUCUACAAGAGUGUAGACAGCCUUAAGCCGGACGUGCAUGUCUGAGCCCAACUUUGCACUCCGUGAACCUAUAUCAGUAAAAUUAUGAGUAAGUCGGCAGAUAUUCACAAUGUGAUUCUUGAGGUACAAAGGAGACAUGUUUUUCUACUUACCAAAGAUGGCUGACGACAUGAUAUUAAUAUGUUGCUUUAAGCCGGAUAACUCUUCAGUCACCGUCUUAAGUGCCGCUUCAGCAUCAUCUGUUCUCUUCAAUAGAGCCGCCUUCUCAGUUUCCCAGCCAUCUUUUUCAGCAUUGAAAUUUUGCUUCAGUUGUUCAAUAUUCUCCAAAGCAGUUUUUAAUUCUGUUUUGGCUUUGGAUGUCCCGGCUUGCUGAGUUUUCACACUGGCCUUCAGAUCAUUCAGCCGUGCAUCCUUUUCGGUCAGUUCAGCCUGUGAUAUAUGCAAACAUGAAAGGUGUUAUGAUCAUGAUGAUUUGUGAAGUCCCAAGCACAAUACAAGUAUUAUACUUGGCACUUGGGGGCUAAUGCCCCCUCCUUCUUAUUCUUCCUUGGCCUCCUCCCUAGAUGGGAGGAGAGUUCCCCCUCUGGUCCAUGGCCUCCAUGGGGGCGGAGGGGCGGGAUCCCCUCCAAGAUUGGAUCUCCCUCUCUGUUCUCUUCUGUUUCACGUUCCCCAGAUCUGGCCCUUCACCGUUUCUUAAAUUCCCGAAGAUCCAUAACUCCAAUUGCGCUUAAAUUUUUACACGAUUUUUUUUCAUAAACUAUCUUUCUUGCGCCAGAAGAAGGGCCCCAACCGCCUUACGGGCACAAGACACCUGGGCGCGCCAGGGGUGCCUGGCGCGCCCUGGUGGGUUGUGGAGGCCGUGGGCCUCCGUUAGCGUUGAUUCCAAGUCCCAAAAAUAAAAUAUAUUCCAAAAUAUAUCUCCGUAAAUUUUUAUCGCGUUUGGACUUUGUUUGAUAUGGAUUUUCUGCAAAAAAAAACAUGCGACAAAUAGGAACUGACACUAGGCACUGGAUCAAUAUGUUAGUCCAAAUAAAUCAUAUAAAAUGUUGCCAAAAGUUUAUAAAAGUUGUAUAAUAUUGGCAUGAAACAAUCAAAAAUUAUAGAUACGACGGAGACGUAUCAGCAUCCCCAAGCUUAAUUCCUGCUCGUCCUCGAGUAGGUAAAUGAUAAAAAAGAUAUUUUUUAUAUGGAAUGCUACCUAGCAUAAACUUGAUCAUAUAUCUAAUCAUGACAUGAAUAUUAAGACAUAAGUGAUUCAAAGCAAUAGUCUAUAAUUUGACAUAAAGACAUCAACACUCAGGCAUCCCAACAAACAUUCAUGUCUUUCAAAAUAUCAACGCUAAAGAAAGCUAUCCCUACAAAAUUAUAUUGUCUUGUCAUGCUCUGUCUUCUUAACACAAAGUAUUUCUCAUGCACAACCCCGAUGACAAGCCGAGCAAUUGGUUCAUACUUUUUAACACGCUUCAGCUUUUUCAAACCUCAUAUAAUACAUGAGCGCAAGCCAUGGAUAUAGCACUAUGGGUGGAAUAGAGUAUGAUGAUAGGGGUAAAUAUAGAGAAGACAAAAAAGUAAGAAAGUCUCACAUCGAUGCGGCUAACCAACGGGCUAUGGAGAUGCCCAUCAAUUGAUAUCAAUGCGAGGAGUAGGGAUUUCCAUGCAAUGGAUGCACUAAGAGCUAUAAGUGUAUGAAAGCUCAAUAUAACAACUAAGUGGGUGUGCAACUAAUCCUAUGAUGAAAAAUUCCCACUACUAUAUGAAAGUGACAACAUAGGAGACUCUCCAUAUGAAAAACAUGGUGUUACUUUGAAGCACAAGUGUGGAACUAGCAUGCCCCUUCUCCCUUUAUUUAUUCUUUCUUUCUUUCUUUUUUUUCUUUCUUUUUUCUUUCUUUUUUUCCUUUAUUUUUUUCUUUUCUUUUCUUUUUUAUAUAUUUUUUCUCUCAUUGUCCGGAGUCUCAUCCCGACUUGUGGGGGAAUCAUAGUCUCCGUCAUCCUUUCCUCACCGGGGCAAUGCUCUAAAAAUGAAUAAUGAUGAUCAUCACACUUCUAUUUACUUACAACUCAAUAGAAAUGAAAAUUACAACUCGAUACCUAUAACAAAGAAUGACUCUAUAUGAAUGCCUUUGGCAGUGUACCAGGAUGUGCAAUGAUCUAGCAUAACAACGAUAUCAAAAAACGGACAAGCCAUGUAAAUAACAUGCUAGCUAUCUUACGAUCAUGCAAAGUAGUAUGACAAUGAAUGCUCAAGUCAUCAAAAUGUAAACGGUGGACGUUGCAUGGCAAUAUAUCUCGGAAUGGCUAUGGAAAGGCCAUAAUAGGUAGGUAUGGUGGUUGUUUUGAGGAAGAUAUAAUAAAGCUUAUGUGUGAUAGAGCGUAUCAUAUCACGGGGUUUGGAUGCACAUGCGAAGUUUGCGCUGACUCUCGAGAUGAGAAAGGGAAAUGCACGGUAUCGUAGAGGCUAGCAAAUUGUGAAAAGAUAACAGUGCGUAUAAUCCAUGGACUCACAUUAGUCAUAAAGAACUCAUAUAAUUAUUGCAAAAGUUUAUGAGCCCUCGAAGCAAAUUACUACUACGCAUGCCCCUAGGGGGGUAGAUUGGUAGGAAAAGACCAUGGCUUGUCCCCGACCGCCACUCAUAAGGAAAACAAUCAAUAAUAAAUCAUGCUCCAACUUCAUAGCAUAACGAGAGACUAUACGUGCAUGCUUCGGGAAUCACAAACCUUAAUACCAAUAUCUUACUAACCACAACUGUUUACUAGUACCUCCCACAUAUUUCAUCUCUAUAUCGCAAAACUAUUGUAAGGAAUCAAACAUAUCAUAUUCAGUGAUCCACAAGUUUUAUGUAGGAUUUUAUGACUAACCAUGCAAUCGACCAAUUCCUGUUGACUCUCUAAAUAGAUCUAAGUGAGGCAUGAGAGUUUAAUUCUUUCUACAAAAGAUCAUGCUCUAAUAAAUAUAAGUGAAGCAAAAGAGCAUUCUACAAACAACGAUUUUCUAUAUGAAGAGAAACAGGCAAUCCAAACUUCAAAUGGUAUAAGUGAAGCACAUAAAGUAUUCUAUAAAGCCAUACUCAAAAGAUAUAAGUGAAGUGCAAUGAGCAUUCUAUAAAUCAACCAUGCACUAUCUCAUACCAGCAUGGUGCAUAAAAGAAAAAUGAAAACUAAGUGCAAAAGACGCUCCAAGAUUUAAGCAUAUCACGUGAACGAAACGAAGAUGAAAACAUACUGAUAGUUGUUGAAGAAAGAUGGGAUGCCUACCGGGGCAUCCCCAAGCUUAGACGCUUGAGUCUCCUUGAAUAUUUACUUGGGGUGCCUUGGGCAUCCCCAAGCUUGAGCUCUUGCCUCUCCUCCUUCUCCUCAUAUCGAUAACUCCUCGAUCUUUGAUCACUUCAUCCACACAAAACUCAACAGAAAGCUUGGUAAAAUCCGUUAGUAUAAUAAAGCAAAUCACUACUCUAAGUACUAUUGCAAAUCAAUUCAUAUUUUGUUUUUGCAUUGUAUCUACUAUAAUAUAACUUUUUCAUGGCUUAUUCCACUGAUAGAAUCGAUAGUUUUAUUAAAACAAGCAAAACAAUGCAUCAAAAACAGAAUCUGUCUUAAACAGGGCAGUCUGUAGUAAUCUGAACAUUCACCAUACUUCUGGUACUCCAAAAAUUCUGAAAAAUUAGGACAAAAUAAACAAUUUGUAUAUCAAGACUGUGCAAAAUGUUUCAGAAACUUUCGACGUUCCAGUAAAAAAUGUAAAAUCGCGCACUACAGCCAAAGUUUCUGUUUUUGCACCGCACAUACCAACAAGCAAUCUACUCAUCCUAAAGGCAAAUCUUGGCACAUUAUUUUUAUAAUACAAUGGAAUUGUACAAGGGGAUAAUUAUUUUUUUGAGAAUCUUCAUGAAAAAUUCUACAUUAUUUCCAUAAGCAUGAACACAAGUAUUCAAGGUCGACCCUCACUUCUCCAAUGCAUAACUUCCAAUCGCUUCUCUUUUGUGAAAAUGUUUUUAAGUUCCCAUCUAUAUCUUUUUUGUUUUAAAACUUUAUAAAAGCACCCAACAGAAAUAAAUGACUCUCUAAAACUUCCGGGUUGUCUCCCUAGCAGCGCUUUCUUUAAAGCCAUUAAGCUAGGCAUAAAGUGCUCAAGUAAUGAAUCCACCCGGAUCCCAAGGUAUAUCAAAGCUAAUUUUAAUUAACAAUGAUUUGGCAUUUAGUAAUGAGCACAAAGCAACAUAUAUCAUGCAAUGACGAAGUCUAACUCUCUUCCUAUGCAUCGGCAUGUCAUACAAGAACAAUUCAUGCACAUCAAGUAAAGGCCAAUACAUAGCAUAAAAAGUUUCUUGUAAUUCUUUCGUGUUGGAAACAUAGAGAGGCGGAGAUGUAAUUCCUCACUCAUAAUAAUUGCAAGUAGGAGCAGCAAUCACAUGCAUAUUAUAUUCAUGAAAAUCAUCAUGUGUAGUGGUAGAAUGCAACCCAUCAAUGUAAUCCUUAAUAAGAGCAAACUUCUCCGAUAUAGUGUAGUUUGGAGAAUUCAAAAAGAUAAUAGGACUAUCAUGUGUGGGUGCAAUAGCAACAAUUUCAUUCUCAACAAAAGGAACUAUAGCAAGUUCGUCUGCAUAAGCAUAAUCCAUAUUGGCAUCAUGGCCACAAGCAUAGCAAUCAUCAAGUUCAUCAAAAAGGGAUAUUUCAAAAGAAUCAACGAGAUCAUAGCAAUUAUCAUAGCAUUCAUCCUUCGGUGAGAACGAAGGGAAAUUAAAUAAUGUAUGUGUUGAAGAGUUACUCUCAUUAGAAGGUGGGCACGGGUAGCUAAUCCGCUCUUCUUCCUUUUGUUCUUCGCUCUCCUCAUCGUCUUUUUCAUCCAAUGAGCUCGCAGUUUCAUCAAUUUCUUCUUCCAUAGACUCCUGCAAAAUAUUAGUCUACUCUUGGAUAACGGAGACUUUCUCAAUAAAUUCAUCAAUAUCUGAAUUGUAUUUAUAAUUAUCAUAGCAAUAUUUAAGGAUAGCAAAAUUUUCAGGUCUAUAAACUGAAUCAUCAAAAUCUUCAAACUUUAAAAACAAAGAUUCAAUUUCAUAAGCACCCUUAAGAGCAACCAAUUCUUCUAUUCGUUCCACAUCAUAGUAAUCAUAUAUACCAUUAGCAUAGAAAGCUAAGGUUUCAUUAUCAUUAAAUUUGCAUGAAAAAGGAAGAUGUGGAGCGUUCAUCCUAGAGCAAAAAGUAUAAUCCUAUCUCAAGCAUAGCUCCCGAGCAUACCAAUGCAACAUAUGAAUUUCAUCCCAUAAAAAUUUCCCUUUAUGAGUUAAGCGAUAAUCCCUAAAGUAUUCGCGUUGAUCCAACGUUACUCCCAUUAUAUAGUUGAAUGGGGUUUUCUCACGAUUAUCAAAGUAGUGCAUAAUAUCUUCCACAUAACGAGCAUUGAGGGUUUUAGGAGGUUCCCCAUCUCCAUGAGUAGCAAGUACAACUAAUUUUUUUGGUGUUUCGUGUUCCAUAUCCAUAACUAAAGAUAGAGAACAACUUAGAACAGAAAAUAAAACUACUUAGUGAUAAAGCAAACAAGCACACACGAGAAUAUUCACCCCCACGCUAUUGCUCCCCGGCAACGGCGCCAGAAAAAGGUCUUGAUAACCCACAAGUAUAGGGGAUCAUUUGUAGCCUUCUUCGAUAAAUAAGAGUGUCGAACCCAACAAGGAACCCUAGGAAAUCGAUAACAAGUACGGGUAAUCAUUCUUGUAAUUUUAUAUGAGGGAGAGGCAUGAGCUAACAUACUUUCUCUACUUGGAUCAUAUGCGCUUAUGAUUGGAACUCUAGCAAGCAUCCGCAACUACUAAAGAUCAUUAAGGCCGUGAAACCCAACCAUAGCAUUAAGUAUCAAGUCCUCUUUAUCCCAUACGCAACAACCCACCUACUCGGGUUUAAGCUUCUGUCACUCUCGCAACCCACCAUAAGCAAAUCAUGAACGUAUUGCAACACUCUACAGCGGGGAUCUCCCACGUUUGCACGAGACGGAGGGCACUGUAGGACAGCACCAUAAAUAAAAUAGACAAUCGUACCAACCAAGAUCAUGAUUAACCCAUAGGACAAAACAGAUCUACUCAAACAUCAUAGGAUAACCAUAGAUCAUUGGGAAAAAAUAUAUGGAGUUGAGCACCAUGUUUAAGUAGAGAUUACGGUGGGGAGAAGGGGUGUUACACCGCUACGUAGAGGGGGAGAAAGUUGGUGUUGACAGUAGCAAGAUUGUUGAUGUAGAUCGCCGUCACGAUCCUAGCCCCGGCGGCACUCCGGCGCCACCGGAAGCGAGGGGGAGAGAGCCCCCUCCUUCUUCUUCUUCAUUGGCCUCCUCCCUAGAUGGGAGGAGAGUUCCCCCUCUGGUCCAUCGCCUCCAUGGCGGCGGAGGGGCAGGAGCCCCUCCGAGAUUGGAUCUCCCUCUUUGUUCUCUUCUGUUUCGCGUUCCCCAGAUCUAGCCCUUCACCGUUUCUUAAAUUCCUGGAGAUCCGUAACUCCGAUUGCGCUGAAAUUUUUACACUAUUUUUUCCAUAAAUUAUCUUUCUUGCGCCAGAAGAAGGGCCCCAACCGCCUUACGGGGUGGGCACAAGACACCUGGGCGCGCCAGGGGGUGUCUGGCGCGCCCUGGUGGGUUGUGGAGGCCGUGGGCCUCCGUUACCGUUGAUUCCAAGUCCCAAAAAUCACAUAUAUUCCAAAAUAAUUCUUCGUAAAUUUUUAUCGCGUUUGGAUUUCGUUUGAUAUGGAUUUUUUGCGAAACAAAAAACAUGCAACAAACAAGAACUGACACUGGGCAGUGGAUCAAUAUGUUAGUCCAAGUAAAUCAUAUAAAUAUUGCCAAAAGUUGUAUAAUAUUGGCAUGAAACAAUCAAAAAUUAUAGAUACGACGGAGACGUAUGAGAUGUCAACUCGUCGAGUUCUUGGGUGGACUGUCAAGAUGGGUUGUCCAGAUUGGAUCUACUAAUAUGCAAAUCUGCUAGUCUAUGGCUUUUGAAGAUGUUGAAUAUGUCCUUCGUCUUUGACAACUGCCUUUAUAGGGAUAUCGGUCAAUGGUCUCCAUCCCUUUACCUUCAUCUUCUUGCCUUGCAUGUCGUAGACCUCAUUCUUGUAGUCACGCGACUCCCCUCAAGGGCACCGGGAGUGGCAUGCCUAAGGGUGUUGCUCGCCCAAGUAUGGGCCUUAGUAUCAAGCAUAUAUAGGCAAAUACAACCCAAAAUACGGUAUGUGUAGCCCGGGAAUGCGGUGAAACCACCUCCCCUCGAUAAGGACAUCGGUCAAUAUUCGUAAUGCGCUGAAUCAAAAUAUUUACUUUCAUUUUAUAGUUCACCCAUCUCGUCCAAUUUGGAUAAUAUUGAUGUUGCUAUGGGAAGAAUAAUUGAGGGGGUAGGUGUGUCGGUGAGGGAUCUCUAGAAUGUAGAAAUUGAUUGUUUAAAGGUUUCUUCCAACAACUCGAGCCCUCAUGUGAACCUCAACACCAAGGAGGAGUGGGGAGCUAGGAGGGGGUACCGUCUGUGACGCUCAACUUCCCACUGUAACAAACCAGAUUAAUGAUAGUAAUUGAUAAUUGAUUAUUGAACAUAAGCAUCUCAUAAGCAUCAUGUUUAAUUAAAUUUUCAUUUGAAAAAUAGGAGAAUUCAACCCUCAAGUUUUCCAAAAACCAUAAAAUAAACACAACUUUAAUAAAAAGAUGUAGAUCUUAACCUAUUUAAAUGGAGGCACAUAGUGACUUCUCUUGAAAAACUGCACACAUCCUUCAAAUAUUAUUAGGCAUCUACCAAACUUAUUUUGCGAAUUUUGGAAAUACCUGCAACCCCAAUUAAUAACCAAAUUGGGUUUAUAUCUACAGAAAACAUAAAUAUAAACUAAAAAAUACCAAAAACUUUUGUAUGGGUUUGGUUAUUACCCAGAGAGCUACACAAAAAGUUUGAGAAAAUUUAGAGGUUGUUUGGUCCCUCAAGUAAAUGCAAAGAUGAGAUGCAUCUUAAAAAUAAAUAUAGAAGGCCCAAAAAUCAAGUGCACUUAAGCCCAAAAGGGCCCAUGCACCAAGCCCACCCCUCUUAUUCAACCUCAUGUACAAAAGACAGUGAGACUAGCUUUUGUCUCGCCGAAGGUUUCCCGUCCUCUCUCUAGUAAUGGGUUGGCCCUGCUCGCUCACUGGCUCGUUCGCUCGCUGCGUUUUGCUCGUGCUUUUUUCUUUUUUUCUUUUUGGUUUACCAUUCGGUUAUUUUAUUUCUUCAUGGAUUUUUUUGGUUUUUUGUCUUCCUUUGUUUUAAAAUUGUUUUUCGUUUUAUUCCUAUUUUUACUGGUUUUAUGUUUUUUUCUUUGUUUUUGUCCAUUUUUUCUGUUGUUCCUUUCUCCAUUUAUUGUUUUUUCUUUUCUAUUCUAUUUUCUUCGAUUUUGUUUCCAUCCUUCUUAGUUCUGAUCUUCUUCUUUUGUAUUUCUUCAGUUUUGAUUUGUUUUUCUGGGUUUUUCUUCGUUUCCUCAUGGGUUUUCAUGGUUUUUUCUUCGGGUUUUCUUGUUUUUGAGGUUUUUCUUUCUUCCGUUUCUUCGGUUUUCACCACUUUUGUUUGGCUUUUUUUCUUCAACGCAUGUCUACAUUUCCAUGCACAUUUGUACAUUUUACACAUAGAUCAAGAACAUUUGUUUAUACAUGUUUAAUAUUUUUGAAAUAUGUAAUUAACAAUUUUAAAAAUUUAUGUUUGAUGACUACUUUUUUCAGACACAUUGUACAUUUUUGGUAUAUAGCAAGAACAAAUUUUGAAACAUGUUUAGAAAAUUUAAAAUAUGUGAUUAACAUUUUUUAUACAUGGUGAACUUUUUUAAAAUUUAUAUUUAUAUGUUCAAAUCUUUAAUACAUGUUUUUACAUUUUUCAUAUACAUCAGGAGCAUUUUUUUGUACACAAAUAAUAUAUUUGAAAUAGAUGACUAAUUUUUUUUCCUGGUUGAUGACUACUUUUUCAUACACAUUGUACAUUUUCGGUAUAUAUCAGGAACAGUUUUUAUACACGGUUAACAUUUUUGGAACAUAUGAUUAACAUAUUUUGAUACACGAUCAACAAUUUUUAAAAAUUAUGUUCAAUUUUUAAUACAUGUUCUACAUUUUCUGUAUCAUAAGGAAGAAUAUACAUGUUUAACAUUUUUAUAAUAGAUGAUUAACAUUUUUUAAAUGCUUGAUUAACAUUUUUUAAUAAUACAUGAUCAACUUUUUUCAUGCACAUUUUAUUUGUUUUGUAUACAUUUUUUGUAUAGAUGAGAAACAUUUUUACUACACACAUUUAACAUUUUACAAAUGCUACAUUAACAUUUUCAAAUGUUUUAUCUAGAGUGUUUUUUGUAUUAUAUUUUUCAACUAUUUGGAAGUAUAAACAACAGUGAAAAGUGAAAGCAAAACACGAGAAAACAACAAAACAAAAAAAACGAGGCUGUGGCCUCCCGCGCGCCUAGGUCGGCCCAUCUCACGCCUCCAUUCAGGCGAGCCUUCCCUUUGUCUCGCGUGAAGCGAGGUAUAGCAGCGCCCCAAGAGACAGAACCAUGGUGUGGCGCACAUGGCACAUCGACGGCAGCCACGGUCAUGGAUGGCCUCCACGUCAUCCCACAACGUUGUAAAGACGUCUCCCAUGUUGCCCUAGGUCCCUUCCUCCCUUUCCCCUCUCUCCCUUCGCUUCGGUGGCGUGUAGCUGACGCACACUAGCACAAUCACUGACAUCGUUCAUCGAACUGUGGCCAUGAGCUCUCCCGCGUGAGGAAUCGAGCCGAGAAUCCCGAAGCGCAACGCACUCGACCUCUCUUCCUCGUCAUAGUCGCUGACACCAACCAUCAAUCUCGUCACCAAACAAUCUUAAAAAAAUGAUUUAGUUAGUUAUUAUAAAAUGUCUCCUUAAUAUACUUGUAUAACUACGAUUGCUUAACACGAAUGGAAAGCACUACCGUGGUUGUGGUUGCCACAACUAGAACGAACGCGGGUACAUCCAAGGGAAGUGAAUCGUGACGAGCACAUGUUUCACUCUAGCAAAUACAACAAGGACAUAGGACAGAAAGGUGGCAGUAUAGUAAGGGCAUAUGCAAGAAAAGAGGCUGAAAUGGCGUGGUGAGAGAUUAAUCUAGUUGAUGAGAAAGGAGAACUUCGAGAGGCAGAGCAUGCUGAUCAGGAGACAAGGCGAGCCUGACAUGCAUUGUGCACGACAAGGAAUCACUUUCACAUCUUAGAGGCUUCAUUCAGCAUGUGUGUUCCGAGUUUUCUGCUGAAAUAGGCAUCCUGCAUAGCCAGUACUUUACUAAAACCUCCCACACCCAUGCCUACACUUUGGACCCCCUCUAUCCCUCAAUGGCUUGACUUGCACUUGUCACAUUGUUCUCCUUCUCUUGGCCCUAUCAAUCCAACACCGGUUAUAAGCUUUAUAUGCAGCCACCUACACUAUAGCAAUUAAUGCAAUCCAACAUAAGUUGGCAAGAAGGUUGCUUCACUUUUCAAACUAGAAAAUAUCGAAUGAGUUCGUGGGCCAUGUAUCACCCGCGGUAACCUACUCGAGUCAAGUAUAGUACAUCAUCGCUAUCUCUCUUUCCUCGCUGGAAGUGGCAACUACGCUCAACAAAGUGAACACAUAACAAGUAGUCAUAUGCUCAUAUAUCAAAUAUACGCUCAAUAGUAAAUGCCUAUGAUUUAAUAUGUUUUGGAUAUCCUUGGUCCCAUUCAAUUCAUGAGAUGUCUUACCUAUUGCAUUACUAUUUUACUUCAUUUAUGUAAACAUUGCAAACCUGAGACCAUCAAUCUGAAUAUGCUCACCUACCACUUCCUCUUUGGGGCACUUUCCACUAUUUUUUAGAAACUUCUAAUCUAUUCAUCUCUAAUCAUGGUAGUAAAAAGGACACCAGAGGUAAUAAAAAAUACAACUAGGUCCGUGGACCACCUAGCGACGACUACAAGCACUGGAGCGAGCCGAUAGCAGUUAUUGGAUCUCCAUUUCAAAAUAUAGUGCAUAUAUACAUCUUUAAAAUGCAAGAGAUUUGUUCUUCAAUGAAUUGAACAUAGAGGCAACAGUUCCAUAAUAAUUACAUCUGGUUGCAUUUGAUCUAGAUGCAUGUUAGCACUAUUUUUUUUACCAAACCAUUUCCUUCAAACGCCCAGCUUCUCAAAAACCUGAGACCAAGUAGUAUAACACAGAUACCACAAACACAACACGUUAUGAACUGGGAAUUUUGUUUCUAAAAAAACUGGCUAUACUAAAAUAGUCUGCUCUUGGAGCUAGGAACCUGGCAUGCCCAUGUUAGUUUGAACUGCCUCACAAAAAAAUGUUGGUUUAAACUAGAUGCUUUUUCUUAUCUCAUAGCGAAACAAAAUGAUGUGCAAAACUCCCUCAUGUUCUCUUCUUUUCAUAGCUCAAACCAUAACUACAAAAUAUAUAGAAAUUUGGAACAAGAACUUAGUUGGUUGUGCCAAACUACCGUAUGUCAAAAAAAAUGUUACAUGCAUCUUCCAGAGUGCCCAGGUUGGCAAAGAGCACUCAGAUUAGUCCUAAAAGCACAUGCUAUAGUUCAAUGAAGUUCACAACAACUUCUACACCCUAUGUCUUGUGGUCUGCGGGUAGUCACCCUGUGCAGCGUGGGUUGCGAGUAGCUGGGUCGUGCGGCGUUGUACCUCGUGGGUGAGCAGUGGUAUGUCUGGGUGGAGGCCCCUGAAGGUGGUGUUGGCUGAUUGCACGGGACGGAAUGGAGUGAUGGAUGUCGGGGCGGCGACUUCGACAUUUGGUAGCUUCGAGGGCUUUUGACUUCGUGUCGUGUGGCCGACGAGGUUGCCAUUGAUGUUGGUCGUCGGCAAUAUGCCAGAUUAUGCAAUUGGCGUAGGACCCAUGGAGUGCAAGCCCUUCAUUUCUGUGGGAGAGUCCCAUCACUACUCCUCUCAUAGUAGUCACAAAUUCUUCUUUCCGACAAUGGUGCAAGGUUGGCUUGUUCGGCGGAGCAGGGGUUCCCGUUGCUUAUGUAUGUGCGGUGGGUGUUCUUGUGCCAUUCGGCAUUUUAUCGACAAGAGUGGUUUGACAUCGUGUGCUUUGGUGUUCCAGAGUGGACUUGGCCCUUGAUGUAUCAGUUUUCACCCGGUUUUCUCCUAAUUAAUUGGACAUUUCUCUUCUGCUUAAUGGACGAGGCAAAUCUUUUGCCUUCAUUUAAAAAAACCCUCCACACUUUCUAGGUUCCAAUUCUAGGAAGAUGUUCUAGGAAAACAAGGCCCCUCUUUGGAUAUGGCUGCAAUCGCUACAAUAACAACACGUCUACACCCAAGUCCACAUCUAAAACAUGAGGGCACACGCUAUGACUCUGCUUCCACAUAUAUCUGUUUAGUGUUUACCCGACAGCACGACCGUGUUACAGACCGUGGUGAUUCCUCGGGGACAAAGAGCGAUGAUCCAUGCAUGCGGCAUGGAAUUCUCCAACCAUUGAUGUUGGUGACCGCACGUCGAGGCGAUUUCUCCACGAGCCUAGCUGGCUGGGUGAAAAUCCUGUCGCUGUCUGGUGCGCGUCCCGGAGCUAGCUAGUACAAACACCGAAACGUGGAAAUGGAGGAAGUUGCCAUGGUUUGGUGGGUGCGUCCUACAGGUCGAGGACUCCAUGAUUUGUAUUUUGCGGGUCAUGAAAUUUCUUUUUGUGCGAACAUGUUCAACAAAAUUCCUUAUAUAUUUCUCCAUUCUUGGUCUCAAGGGUGAGUUCCAAGUGGAUUAAACGGGUGUUAUUAGUUUGGUUAGAACAGGAGGCAUCCAAAUCCGACUAAUCUUUGUGCUUGGUUCUAAGUAGUCUCUGCAAAAUGCUAGCUGUAUCCUUAAUUUACUUGUACGUCUACGGUUCCUUAACCAGAUGUUCCUCUAGUGGGUGGAGCAAGUCGUGCAACAAUGCUCUCGCCAUGAAGUCUGAAGCCUUUAUCAUUGAUAACUUUGUGGAGAAUUUCUGGCGCAUGUAGCCUGACAGAAGGAACAGUGUCACUUCAUCCCACUAGUUAACACAUUCAUGCAAAGAGGAACUAGGACAAGUAUUGCGUCUCAAAGAUAACAGGUUGGUCUUCAGAGACACGAUGAGCUCACACUCAUUGGGCGGUUGCACGAGGUCAUGGCUACACGACGCUAACCCGGUUGUCGCAGUGGAACAAAUGGGUACUCGGAAAAUGAAACCGAGACAAGGAGAUAUGUUCCACCCAACAAUGAUAGAGUGCCAUGGAUCAGGGUCGAGGCUAGAAUGAAACGAACGGAUAUCGAUUUGGUUGGGGAGGAAGGCAAACAUGAUCAAAAGGAGCAAGUGUGGCAUAAGACACAACACACAUGACGUGAGUUGUGCACACCAAGGAUCCGCUUCCUUGUCCCAAAGGCUUCAUUCAACCUUUGUGAUCGAUAUUGGUAGGUGGAACAUAUUCCAUUCAUUGCCAACAAUUCACCGAUACCUCCCACACCUAUGGCUACACUUCCUACUAGCUACUUUUCUCGUUGGCAGUUUAGCUCGCCUUUGAUACACUGAUUUUGUUAUCUUUGGCCUAUAGAUCAUAGUAUAGUAGUAGGGGCUUUAUAUGCGGCCAUCUAUAUUGCAGUAAUUAAUGUUAUCCAGUACAAGAUGAGGAGGAGGUUGUUGCACAGGUUGAAGCAAUGACUUCAUAAUUCACCUUAACACGUACAUGUGUAUACAAUGUUGCUAUUUUAAGAGUGCCAUGUAGAAUAAAUCUUGAGGUAAAGAAGAAAAAAAUCAUAAAAAAUUGCAUUCUCUUAAUCAAGAUCUGAACUCUUAGCAAUAAUAUCUCUUAACAUAUAUUUAGCUAUAUGUAGUUUUUUUUCAGGAGUACACCAAAAGUGUACCAUAGUUUUAUAGAUCAUGUGUUUACAGGUAUGAUCAUUCGAUCUACACUUCUCAUCGUCGACAAUGAUUGUUGUUCUCGUCGUGUGAGACCUUAGUACAAUGACUUUUCGACUAUCUAGUAUCUACUACAACUAGAUUUAUUCGACUCCACUGAGGGAGAGCUAUGACGACUAGUUUCCGUGUUUGUAGUCGCUAGGUGGUCCACUGGACCCGACUGUAUUUUUUAUGGAUUCAAUAGGAUGACCUCCCGUAUUGAACGAAAGGUUCUUUGGGAAUCAAUCGUUCAAGCAAACGACAAUGUUCGCUACGAUCAGGUCCAGGCCCCUCCCCCCUCGAUGGCACUACAGAUGGGCCCAAAAAGAAAGCCUGGUUUUGUUGCAUCUAAGCCUUAAACUAGCCUAGUUUUGCUGUGACUAAGCCUUAAAAGAAAAUAAGUUUGUCAAAACUAAAAAUGUCAUGUGUGGAAAUUUAGAAAUUGUCGCUGUGCUUCAUGAGAUGCUGCAAAAAAAGUAAAAAAAAAUGUGAUGAUAAAAAAUGCCAUGGUGUGUUUAAAAGUGCUAUAGUGUACAAAAAAUGAAUAUGCCAUGGUGCUAAAAAUAAAUUUGUCAUUGUUAUGAAAAAGCUUCCAUUUUUUAUUCCCAUGGCAAAAUUAUUACCUAUACCAUGGCAAACUUAUUACAUAUUCCUUACAAAAUUUACCGAUGGUCAUGUAUGUAAUUUGCCAUGUCCUAGAGAACACGAAACCCCCUAAAAAAUGCCAUGUGAUUAGUCGGCCAGUUUUAAAAAAAAAGCUGUAUUAUGAUGAUCAAAUUUCAUUAUAAUGUCAUCUGACUAACCUAAAUAAUAAAACAAAUCUCUAAAACGUGGCAACAUGGAAAAGUUACAAAAACCUGAUCUCCCACAAAUAAAAAGCAAUGUUUUUCGGAGAACCCUACAUGGGAUUGCUAAUUUGCCAUGGUCAAUUGCAGAAAGGAAAAACGCAAAAAAGAAUUACGUAAUAAGUUUGGCAUGGUCUAGUUAAAUAAAUUGUCAUGGCAAAGCUAGUUGUUCUUUGCCAUGCUACAAAAAAAUUGCCAUGGUAAAAAAAUAAAGUAAAAAUAAAAUUGUCAUGAUAGAGAACGAAAAAGAAGAUACCAUGGAUUGUUUAGUAAAAUUUGCCAUGGUUCAUGUAAGCAAAAACUUCCCACAAAAGCGAUGAAAGUAAUUGACGUGUUUCAUAAAGUAAAUUUAUCAUAGUGCAUAAAAGCAAAACUUCCCAUAAGCGAUGAAAGUUACAUUUGCAUGGAUGUGUGAUACAAUAAGAAGUAAAUUUGCCAUAUAUAUGUAAAAAGCAAGUUUGCCAUGGCAAAAUGAAAGAUAAAUUUGCCAUAUAUAUGUAAAAAGUAAGUCUGCCAUGGCAAAAUGAAAGAUAAAUUUGCCAUGGCAAAAUAAAAUAUAAAUUUGCCAUGGCAAAAUAAAAUAUAAAUUUGCCAUGGCUGUAAAGUAAAAUUUGCAAUGCCUAUAAAAGUAAAUUUGCUAUGGCUAUAAAACUAAAUUGACGGUGCUACAAAGUAAAUCUGCCAUGUUCUUAAAAGGCAAAGUGUUAGGAAGAUCAUUUCCGAAAUAACAACUUAGACAUGGUAUUGGUAAAUAGCUAAUUUGCCAUGAUCUACAUGAGUACAUAGUAAGAAUUGCCAUACCGCGGUAGAAAAUGGCUAAUUUGUGAAAGCAUCUUAUGAAAAGCAAAAAAAAGCAUGUUCAUACAGGCUGAACAUGUAAACAUGCAUCUUGCUUAGUUGAUUUAAGUGGCAAUUUACAGAGACCUAUAAGGAGAAAAGCUAAUAUUCAACAAAGUUAUGAAAAGGAUGGCAAAACUGCCUGCCGUUGUACAACAAACACAAAAAGUACACCACAAAAAAUUAUAUUAUUUUUCGAGGUAAAAAAUCAUGUCAGAUGUUCAGAAAAAUGUUAUGAGUGGGAGUGUCCAUGGAAACUCACGUACAUGUAGCAAAAAUACUUAACAAUCCCAUGGCAAAUUAACAAUUAGAUGGGCAUGUGUAAAAAAUUUGGAGACAUGGCAAACUUGAUGGCAUGGGAAAAUUCAAGGGAUCCAUGACAAUUUCAACAAAAUUGCUGCAAAAAUGCAAGGGAGCACAAGAGGUACCCGUGGAUGUGGAUGUUGGGAGGCUUUCGGGUGCGAGCUGAGGUGGCGUAUGUAGGUCCAAUCCGGUGGUGGCGGCGUCGAUCCUUGCCGCGUCGUGCUGCACCCGUGGUGCAGACCUGGCCAAACGGGCCGGCCCGGCACGGCCCGACGUGGCACGUUUAAUAGCCGGGCCGUACCGUGCCGGCCCACGGGCGUGGCUCUCUGGCCCAGGCACGACCUGAUUAUUAAACGGGCCGGCCCGUGGCACGUUUAGCACGCUGGCCCAUCUGAUUUUUAGCCUGUUGGGCUGUAUUUUAGGCCUAUUAGGCUGUAAUUUAGGUCAUAUAUAUAUAUAAAAAAAUCUGAAAAAAUAAAACGGGCCGUGCCGUGCCGGCCCGCGUGCCCAGCCUCCAGGCCCAGGCAUGGCCCAUGGCGUGCCGCGUGCCGGGCCUAGCCCGUUUAGCUCGGGCCGUGCCGUGCCUGGGCCGUGUCGUUCCUGCGUGCUACUGGGCCGACCCAGUUAGCACGACCCGUUUGGCCAGCUAUACCGUGGUGUGAGGCUAGCUGCAUGACCGGUUCGGCCAUGAUGGUGGAGGCUGUGGCGGAGCAACGCAUCGACGGCAGGAGCAGUAGGGCGAGUCGUACUCGACCACACAUAACGUUGCGUCUGCUACUCAUCUUCCGCAUUGCGCCUCACCGAGCAGUGUAGUGUCGGCUCCCCCUUCCGCGUCCGUCUCCACAUUGCGACCACCUUGCACCCGGCCCCCGAUGACUGGGAGCACUGGAUGCAGUUGUUGUUGGAAGAGACCGCAGUGGGCGAGGGAGAACAACCGUAACGGGGAAAGGAAGAAGAGCCAUGGCGUUGCCCUUAGCCGGAGAAGCUCGUGCCAUCUCGAUUUGGAGGUGUAGCACUCGCGUGGACGUUGCCCGCUUCCUGGUUCUUGAGCCCGUUCACCGUCGGCAAGGGCGCGCGACGCCGCCUUGGGUGAGGAGGGAGGUUUCCGCGAUGACGGUUGUUCCCGAUGGGAGGAUGCGGCCAACACAGUUAUUGCAAAAUGCCGGUGGGGAGAAAGAACAACGUGGUGAGAGUGAGCACAAAGAGAUGAAUAGGGGCAUGGGGUUGCGGUCGUUGUGGCAGCAAACUUGCCGUGAGAUUCGUGCUAACGAUUCAAUGGUGAAAAAUGCGUUUCAUCCGUAAUCCUACAAACCGACGUCUUUUUUUAGUGAUUUCGAUUUUUAGUACCUCUAAUAUUCCGUACUGUCUUAUUAUAUCUGAUAGAUUUUUCCGAGGAAAAAGGUAGAGCAGAGCCCCCUAUCUAUACUUGCCCAUGGGCAGCCCGGCCCGGACGGCCCGACCCAACCCGGGCUAUAAAAGCCCGACCGGGCCUUGCCCAUAGGCUAGGCCUGGACCUAGAUUUUGAUCCCGAUGACCGGGCCAGCCCGGGCCCGGGCCCAUCGUUUCUGUAGUUUAAGGAAGAGGCCCGGCCCGAGGCCCGACAAGCUUUUUGCAUGAUGGGCCAGGCUUGGGCCUGAUUUUUAGGCCCGAUGACCGGGCCCGACCGGGCUCAGGCCUAGGUUUUCUCCAUCGGCUUUGGUAGGCCCGGCCGCCCGACGGAUGCCCAGGUAUACCCCUUUGCCCUCUCUCACCGUGCCAACUACUCCAAUCAUACUUGUCUCAAACAAAAAAACUACUCCAAUCAUACGUGAGGGCGCGGAUGCAAAAACACCCCACACCAAUCAUCCACGCGAGGGCGCGGAUGCAAAAACGCCCGCAGUCCAGCCAGUGCCGCUCCGCUCUAUAUAAACGAGCCGAGAGCGGGGGGCGGAAACCCUAAGCAGAGUGGGGAAAGGCGUCUUCGUACUCGCCUCUCUCCGCGCAUCCUAGCCUUCGCCCUCCUCCUUCCCCAUUUCGCCAGCGGCGCAGCCCACCAACCACCCCCACCCGCCGCCAUGAGGGAGUGCAUCUCGAUCCACAUCGGCCAGGCCGGCAUCCAGGUCGGGAACGCGUGCUGGGAGCUCUACUGCCUCGAGCAUGGCAUUCAGGUACGGAUCCAUCCGCUCGCCCCUCCUCCCCCCUUGGCAUGUCGUGUUCAGCGUCGGAUCUGGGGUUUGUAGUGGUUGGUGGUGCGCUCGGUCGGCCGGAUCUGGCGCAGAUCUGACUGCGGCUGGUCAGAUCUGCGGUUGCUCGAAGGGAAAAACCUGGAUCUGACGGAAUGCAGGGUGCAUGCGGUCGAUUCUGUGGGUCGAUCUGGUGUUGUGAAGGGCGCGGCCGGUUCGAAUUUGAAUUUUUAGGUGUGGAUUUACUGGAUCUCAGAUCUGAUGCAGUUCGCACCUGCUAUGGUGGUUGUAUAGGUUUUCCUUGUUCCGGAUAUGACCAGUUUUUCCCGAAACUGAAUCCAUCGGUUUGAAAAGCCACUUGCUAGAUAGAAUGUGAUCUGUAUAUUAUAAUAGGACGCCAGAUGUAUCAUCUGCUCUUGUUAGAACAUCACUGAUCUGGCGCACACUCGUUUUGUUUGAUCUGCUCUGUGCUGUACUGUUUAGAUCUGAUCGAAUUCUGCUAGAUCCGGUGGUAUCUGUUCAUGCAUGUAAUGUAUCCUUGCUGAUGGUUCUGAAAUUCACAUUGCCUGCUGGUAGAGAAAUGCAUCUCUAACUGAUUACCGUACUUAUCUUGUUGCUGCCAGGAUCCUUUUCUUGUCCUGUUGCUACAGAAUUUAGUAUGUUAGCUCUACAGCUUUAACACUGUUUAAUCCCCCCUGUGCAGCCUGAUGGCCAGAUGCCCGGUGACAAGACCGUUGGGGGAGGUGAUGAUGCUUUCAACACCUUCUUCAGCGAGACUGGUGCUGGGAAGCAUGUCCCCCGUGCUGUCUUUGUAGAUCUCGAGCCCACUGUGAUUGAUGAGGUGAGGACUGGUGCUUACCGCCAGCUCUUCCACCCUGAGCAGCUUAUCAGUGGCAAGGAGGAUGCAGCCAACAACUUCGCCCGUGGUCAUUACACCAGUAAGUGCUGUGCUUGUUCUUUGUUAUUAUGACAGUAUUCACUCUUGCUCCUUAUGUGGCUAACUUUUGCUGCUCCUAUUGCAGUUGGCAAGGAGAUUGUUGAUCUGUGCCUUGACCGUAUCAGGAAGCUUUCAGACAACUGCACUGGUCUCCAGGGAUUCCUUGUAUUCAACGCUGUUGGAGGUGGAACUGGCUCUGGCCUUGGCUCGCUUCUCCUGGAGCGCCUCUCUGUUGACUAUGGAAAGAAGUCCAAGCUUGGGUUCACGGUGUACCCAUCUCCCCAGGUCUCCACCUCUGUUGUUGAGCCAUACAACAGUGUCCUGUCCACCCACUCACUCCUUGAGCACACUGAUGUCUCUAUCCUUCUUGACAAUGAGGCCAUCUAUGACAUCUGCCGCCGCUCCCUUGACAUUGAGCGCCCAACAUACACCAACCUCAACAGGCUUGUUUCUCAGGUACAGUCUUGUUUCUGCAUGGUUACAUGUUUUCUGUUUGAUGUUUGUUUCAAGUUGCACUUCCUAAUAAUGUUUGACUGGGAUCUAAUUCAUUGGUUAAACAUCUAAUGUGCAGGUCAUUUCAUCACUGACAGCUUCCCUGAGGUUUGAUGGUGCUCUGAAUGUUGAUGUCAAUGAAUUCCAGACCAACUUGGUGCCCUACCCGAGGAUCCACUUCAUGCUUUCCUCCUAUGCCCCAGUGAUCUCAGCUGAGAAGGCUUACCAUGAGCAGCUGUCCGUUGCUGAGAUCACCAACAGCGCCUUUGAGCCUUCGUCCAUGAUGGCCAAGUGCGACCCCCGCCACGGCAAGUACAUGGCCUGCUGUCUCAUGUACCGUGGUGAUGUUGUGCCAAAGGACGUCAACGCUGCUGUGGCCACCAUCAAGACCAAGCGCACUAUUCAGUUUGUUGACUGGUGCCCCACUGGCUUCAAGUGUGGUAUCAACUACCAGCCACCAGGUGUCGUCCCAGGCGGUGACCUUGCCAAGGUCCAGAGGGCUGUGUGCAUGAUCUCCAACUCCACCAGUGUCGUCGAGGUCUUCUCCCGCAUCGACCACAAGUUUGACCUGAUGUACGCCAAGCGUGCCUUCGUCCACUGGUACGUCGGUGAGGGCAUGGAGGAGGGAGAGUUCUCUGAGGCCCGUGAGGAUCUCGCUGCCCUGGAGAAGGACUAUGAAGAAGUUGGUGCUGAGUUCGACGAGGGUGAGGACGGUGAUGAGGGCGAUGAGUAUUAAGCCUGCCUCCUGGUGCUUUCCCAAGGCUUGCUACUGCUAUCCUAUGAUCUGCCCGAGUGGCUUUAUCUGUUAUCUGUCUGUUUGAACGUUUGCUUUGUGGUGUUUGUUUUACAACCUGUUGUGUUGUAAGAACCUUGUAUCUUUGAACCUGCUUUGCACCUUGGUUAAUAUGCAUGCUAUCUGGUUAUCUACACCAUAGCCUCCAUUUUCCUGUUUUAUAAUUUGUAUUGUUUCAUUUGUUUUACUGUUGAACUCUGCCUAUUGUCUCAACAUAGCCGGUCUGAAGCCCGAGUGAAGGAGUAUGGUUGAGAGGCUUGGUGAGCCGUUGUUAAAACUCAGCCACUUUAUGCAGUUGAAACCCAAAAGCCCUAGCCGAACUUGUUAAACUCGGCCACUCUUAUGCAGAUUAAACCCAACAGAUCGCCUACCCCAAAUUAGUUGCAAUGUGUCUGCGUAAUGAUGAUCGAACCUAAUUUGAAAUGCUGUUGCUUCCAGUAAGUGCCACGCUUGUACAAACCUAGAGUUUGAACUGGAAUUGAGGAAAUGUUUGUCGUGUUGCCUAUUUUACAGGUGCCUGAAGUUUCUCCUAUAUCAUCACCGACCUAAUUUGAUCUUCAGGAUUAAAAGAUUCAGUAGUAGCCACAAGCUUAAAAAGAUUCAGUAGUAGCCACAAGCUUAAAAAGCAGCAAGUAUAAAUCACAGGCAAGAAAUAUACAAGACCUAUAUAGUUUUGCAAGUUCGUAAAUUGCUUGUUUUCUGAUCGACCAUAUCAGACUUAACUCAGAUCUGUACUCUAUUCUUUAGAUAGAUGGCAAGAGAAUAUGAUAUGCUGGUGAAGUAUGUCCAAAUAACAUGGUUCAGUGUUCAAGCACGAAGCCAGUCUCCAUCAGGGGGUGUAUCUGUAGAAGAUUUGCAUUAUCAGUUUGGGUCCCAAUAAUUUCUAUUAACACCAAGCAAUCCCCACACCGCUAGAGCUGCAGCUCCCACCGGCGUCAAACCCCCAAUUAUUGCCCCGGCGACGCGAGUUACGGCGGCCAGCGGAGUGCAGACGGGCGUACGGUGGCGUGCGCCCGUCGGGGAAGAGUCCCGUUGCUCCCCUGUCCAUGCUUCCCCACACGACACCACUCCCCGGCGCUGAGCAGGAACGCCGACCAGGCGGAGGACCUGCUGGAUGAGCUCCACUAUUUCCAGAUCCAUGACAGGCACCACGCCACCACCCAGGCCAAUUUUCUCCGUCAUGGCCGCAAUGCUCUCCGGCACACUGCCACUAGCUGGGCCGCGUGCUUUUCUUGUCCGUCUGCCCAAGAUCAUGAUGACAAGUUACGUUUCCACCCAGUGAUCUUCUCCAGGAAAAUCAAGUCGGUGUUACAGGACAUGCAGACCCACUGUGAUUCCAUCUCCGAUUUGCUUGGCAAUAUCCCAAGCAGCAGCAUGGCAGUCACCCUGCACCGGCCUCAGAUUGGAUCCACAAUUAUACAAGAUACAUUAUAUGGUAGGAGACACACUUUUGAGGAAACUGUCAACCGUGUCAUCAGCUGCGAAGAUACUGUUUCUGUUCUUCCUAUAGUUGGUCCGGGGGUAUUGGAAAAACAACUUUCACUCAACACCUCUAUAAUGAUGCAAGGCUGUAUAGUGAUACUGGGGGUGAAAAUUAUUUUGAAGUCAGGGUCUGGGUAUGUGUAUCGACUGAAUUCGAUGUGCUUAAGCUCACCAGGGAGAUCCUUGGCUGCAUACCUGAACAAGAAGGAAUCAACGGUGUUGCAAAUGAAACAACCAAUUUAGACCAGCUUCAGAAAUCCAUAGCACACCGUCUCAAGUCCAAAAGGUUUCUAAUUGUCUUGGAUGAUAUAUGGAAAUGUGACGGUCAGGAUCAGUGGAAGACCCUGCUAGCUCCGUUCACAAAGGGGGAAACCAAAGGAAGCAUGGUAAUUGUCACAACUCGAUUCCCAAAGGUAGCAGACAUGGUGAAAACACUUGAUCCACUAGAGCUGCGAGGUUUGGAGUCUAAUGACUUCUUCACAUUCUUUGAAGCAUGUAUAUUUGGUGAUCACAAGCCUGAGCAUUACGAAUAUGAGUUAGCUGAUAUUGCAGGAAAAAUUGCAAAUAAGCUAAAGGGUUCCCCACUAGCAGCCAAAACAGUUGGUGGACUAUUGCGCAAGGACCUAUCUCAGGAACAUUGGAAUGAAGUUCUUAAAAAACAUGAGUGGCUGAAGCAGCAAAAUAAUGAUGAGAUCAUGCCAUCUUUAAAAAUUAGCUACGAUUAGCUCCCUUCUGAGCAGAUAAGCUAAAGGUUCCCCAGUCGCCGCCGAACCCCCUCGCCGUCCAAGCCGACGGGAGGGGAUAUGGGCGACGCCCUCCCUCCCCUGGCCCCCUGAUACACUCCCACUCACCUCCCUCACUCCUCUCCAAUCCUCCCUCGUCCUCUCCGUCGAGGGGGAGAAGCCCCGAGCCCACUAUCGUUGCCCGCCGCCGUCCACCGCGGCGACCGCUCCCUUGUGCUCCUCCGGCUGGUCCAACACCUCUGUCGUCAUCCGCCGCUACUGCUACGUCAACUCGCCCGAGCCGAGGAGCCUCCCAACGCCGGAUCGCCCCGCCUUUCUCCCUCGGAUCGACGCCGGCGACCUCCUCCCACUCCGGUCGGCAUGCGGCUCCUAAACUGUCACUGGGCCUACGUGUGCCUCCUCGGUGAGCUCCGCGUGUUUCCCCUCUACCUCCCCUUCGCCUUGUUGCCUCUAGCUGCCCCUGCCACCAUGCCCGGAGCUCCGCUCCACCGACCAUGUCGCGCCCGCAGCUUCGGCCAUUGAAACCCGCGUCCGAGCGUGUCACCGAGUUCUUUGGGUCCCCAAGAACGCGUAGCGCUUGCUCUUUCACCGAGCCAUGUAGUGUAGCGUCAUCACCGUUCGCGCGUGCUUCGGCCGCCGCUCGGCCUUGCUGCUGUCACCGAUUCUGGCCGUGUCCGGUGCAGGCGCUUGCGUAGAUUGACGCGGCCCGGCGCGCUCAGCUCGCCCUGCUCCGUUUGCUCGCCUGUGCGGCGAUCCUGAGCGUCGCUGCCAUCUCGGGUGGUCGCCGAGACCACCAGCGGGCGUCCGGCGUCCAAAACCGACGAUGGGUCACUGCCAUGUGGGCCCCACUCGUCGGGGUUUAUAUUAGGGUGCUAACUGAGGGAGUCCUGGACUAAGGGGUCCUCGGGCGUCCGGCCUGUUAUCUGUUGGGCCGAACUGAUGGGCUAUGAAGACAUGAAGGCCGAAGACUAUACCCGUGUCUGGAUUGGACUCUACUUGGCGUGGAAGGCAAGCUAGGCGACCGAUUAUGAAGAUUUCCUCCUAUGUAAUCGACUCCAUGUAACCCCAGAUCUCUCCGGUGUCUAUAUAAACCGGAGGGCAUAGUCCGGAUAGGACAGAUUCAUUACCAUAUACUCAUAGGCUAGACUUCUAGGGUUUAGCCAUUACGAUCUCGUGGUAGAUCAACUCUUGUAACACUCAUAUUCAUCAAGAUCAAUCAAGCAGGAAGUAGGGUAUUACCUCCAUAGAGAGGGCCCGAACCUGGGUAAACAUUGUGUCCCCCGUCUCCUGUUACCAUCGAUCCUAGACGCACAGUUCGGGACGCCCUACCCGAGAUCCGCCGGUUUUGACACCGACAUUGGUGCUUCAUUGAGAGUUCCACUGUGCCGUUGACGAAAGGCUCGAUGGCCCCUUCAAUCGUUGGUAAUGGCGUCGUUCAGGGAGAAACCUUUCUCCCCGGACAAAUCUUUGUGUUCGGCGGCUUCGUACUACGGGCCAACUCGCUUGGCCAUUUGGAGCAGGUCGAUAGCUACGCCCCUGGCCAUCAGGUCAGUUUUGGAAGCUUGAACUACGUCGCGGAUAUCCGUGGAGACUUGAUCUUCGAUGGAUUUGGGACCGCGACGAUCGCUCUCCUUCUCUCCGAUGAACAUGACUCAAAUCUGUCAUCGGAGCACACCCAGGAGAUGGAUCCUGUUGCUGCAACGGCCUCAAUACCGAAGCAGGUCAUCCCCUCCGAGGCCAUAAAUUCCGCGGCGUUGGAGCCGCACACGGAUUCGACAUCCUGCAAUGCUGGCAUUAAUGGAACUCCGGACUCGCCUCCGGCUACAUGUUCCAGAUCAAGUGCGCCUGCGGACAUCGAGCUGGAUCGGUUAUCAAUUUUCGAAUUUAGCGCCGCAGACAUCUUUCAGCAUUCGCCUUUGGGUGACGUACUAAAUUCUUUGAAGAACUUGUCCUUGGAGGAAGACUCACAGCCGAACUAUGUUCGGUUCGAGCUAGAGGCGGACGACGAGGAAUUUUGCUACCCACCCGCCACCCACUUUAUAGCCACCGUCGACGACUUAACCGACGUGCUUGACCAUGGCUCCGAAGACAUCACCGGUAUGGACGACGAUGCUAAGGCCAAGACCCGCCAUUCACUGGACGUUGGACGGCCACCUCUUCGUACGACGUAUACAUGGUUGAUACACCCAAAGGAUCUGGCGACGACAAAGAAGAGCCAGAUAAUAAUAAACCUUCUGAGACGCAGUCCAAGCGCCGGCGCCCCAAACGCCGUUCUAAGCCUCACCGCUCAAAAGAUAGCAACACUGGUACCGGAGAAAAUAGUACUCCGGGCGACGCCGAAAACAAUGAAGACCCUGUCGGUGCUACAUCCGGACAGGAGGAACAUGACGACAGACAAGACAACCCUGAUGAGCAGGCCAUAGAAGAUGACUCGGGGGACGAUAGUUACCGUCCACCCUCCAAAGAGGAGACAAGCCUCGGCAACGAAGAUUUCAUCGUGCCUGAGGACCCUCUGGAGCAGGAGCGCUUUAAGCUUGAACUCAUAGCCACCGCAAGGAGCCUGAAAAAGAAACAGCAGCAACUUCAAGCUGAACAAGAUCUGCUCGUCGACAGAUGGACUGACGUCCUGACAGCGGAAGAAUACGACCUCAAGCACCCAGCCAAGAGCUACCCGAAAUGCAGACUGCUACCUCAAUUCGAUGAGGAGGCACCGGAGCACACAUCUCCCCCGCGUAAUGCGGAACGACCACGACGUGGUCGAGACAGGGUGGCCGACCGGCCACCAUGCGGUCGGGAUAAGCGGCAACUCAGGCUGAACAGCAGCCUGCCCAACCGCCCCGCAAAAAUAAAGACGGAAGAGUUCGGGGUCACACGUAUGACCUCCGGCAGACCCUGGACAGUAGAGUAGGACAUACAAGAUCGAUCUACGGAUCGCGAGAACGUGCCUCGAGGCACGAAGACGGCCACCUAUUCGGACGUGACAAACCUAACAAUGCCCGGUCCGAGCGCCGCAGCGACACAGCCUGGUAUAGAGGUGCCGCACACCCUCUCUGCUUCACAGACGAGGUACUGGAUCACGAAUUUUCUGAGGGAUUCAAGCCCGUCAAUAUCGAAUCAUACGACGGCACAACCGAUCCCGCAGUAUGGAUCGAGGAUUUCAUUCUCCAUAUUCAUAUGGCUCGAGGAGAUGACCUCCACGCCAUUAAAUACCUCCCACUCAAGCUCAAAGGGCCAACUCGGCACUGGCUUAACAGCCUGCCUGAAAAUUCUAUCGGCAGCUGGGAGGACUUGGAAGAAGCUUUCCUAGACAACUUCCAAGGAACCUAUGUCCGUCCACCAGAUGCCGAUGACUUAAGCCACAUAGUUCAACAACCCGGAGAAUCAGCCAGAAAAUUCUGGACUAGGUUCCUAACCAAAAAGAACCAGAUCGUCGACUAUCUGGAUGCCGAAGCCCUAGCGGCCUUUAAGCAUAGUAUCCGGGAUGAAUGGCUCGCCCGCCACCUCGGCCAAGAAAAACCGAGGUCGAUGGCAGCCCUGACGGCACUUAUGACCCGCUUUUGCGCGGGAGAAGAUAGUUGGCUGGCCCGCAGUACAAAUACGGCCAACGAAAUAAGUCCCUCCGAGGCCAAAAAUAGCGUCGGCAAGCUCCGGCGCAACAGAAACAAACGCCGAGGCAAUGGCGAUAACACCGAUGACACAACAGUUCACGCCGGAUUCAGUGGCUCUAAGUCCGGCCAACGAAAGAAGCCCUAUAAAAGGAGCAGCGGAAAACCAUCCAGCUUGGACCGCAUACUCGAUCGUCCUUGCCAAAUACAUGGUACCCCAGACAAACCAGCCAACCAUACUAACAGGGAUUGACGGGUCUUCAAACAAGCCAGCAAAGUAAAUAACAGAAGCAAAGAAGGGGAAUCACAGAGCGAAGACGACGACGAAGAGCCCCGGCAGCCGAACACUGGGGGGCAGAAGAAAUUCUCCCCCAAAUCAAAAUGGUGAACAUGAUAUACGCUACACACAUCCCCAAAAGGGAGCACAAGCGAGCACUCAGGGACGUCUACCCGAAGUUCAAUCCGCGGUCAUCAUUCCCGAUCACCCCCGCUCGAUGAGACCACCCAACUAGCAUCUGGCAUGGCGGUUCAGCCGCACUGGUCCUCGAUCCAAUCAUCGACGGAUUUCACCUGACUCGAGUCCUAAUGGACGGCGGUAGCAGUCUCAACCUGCUCUAUCAGGACACAGUACGUAAAAUGAGCAUUGACCCUUCACGAGUCAAGCCCACGAAGACUACCUUUAAAGGAGUCAUACCAGGUGUAGAGGCCCGUUGUACGGGCUCAAUAACGCUGGAAGUAGUAUUCGGUUCCCCGGAUAACUUCCGAAGCGAAGAGCUAACCUUCAAUAUCGUCCCAUUUCGCAGCGGCUAUCACGCACUGCUCGGACGAACCGUAUUCGCUAGAUUCAACGUGGUGCCACAUUAUGCUUAUCUCAAGCUCAAGAUGCCCGGUCCACGUGGCGUCAUUACAGUAAAUGGAAACACGGAACGCUCCCUCCGUACAAAGGAGCACACUAUCGCCCUAGCAGCAGAAGUACAGCGUGGCCUUCUCAAGCAGCACUACAAUCCGGUUGCCGAGCCCCUGGACACCAUUAAGAGGGUCCGGACUAUACCGCAGCAGGACAACCCGGCUCGUCAAAGGGCCAAACUAGCAAAAUUCGGCCUCCGUCCAAGCCCAGACGAGGCAAUGGUAUUAGUACCGCGAGCACAUAAGCUACGCACUCAUGGGUACUGACGGAGGCAAAACUCGCUCGCAAUCCACAGUAUGGCUUGAUAGACCAUGGGAUUCGCAUGCUUCUGCUUUUUCUUUGUACAUGUCUUCUUCUCUUUUCAAGGGCUAUACGGACGACCUGCCUGCAGAACACUCCAAGGAAGCAAGGAGCUCCGGCGUACACAAGAACCCCCAGGUGGUUUCUAAUAAACGAUUCAUCUACUUGUUUUACAUACCCGCAUGCAGCUCGCCCUUGGUUACGGCAUUUUCAAUAGCCUUACUUGCUUAUCACAUUACUGGUACAAAGUACGCCUUGACGUACCGAUUACAUAACAACGGUGAAUAAAUAGUGGCGUCCGCUCACUCACCUCAGUAUUUAUUACUCACUGCACACGUACACCAUGGUACGCACUAAUACGCCAGGGGCUUAAGUACACCCCACAUCACGGCAAUAAAAGUCCGAACACUUUUACAGUACAGUUCGGCACCCCGAACUUAUAGCAUUAUAUGCAUCGGCUCCGAAUCAUGUCUUUGGUCAAUAGUUGGGUUGCCCGGCUCCUGUGCUUACUACGUUCCGCUAUAUCGGCUAGGGCAGUAAAGGGAGAACUACUGCGAUUGUGUCCCGGUUCUUCCGGACGAGCACCUCAGUAGAGAAAGCCAAAAACUGACAGUCAUGAUGCGGCGAGAGCCGGUCAGCUGUUCGCGAGGUUCUAAAUUGUUGGAGAUUUUUCCCGCUUCUUGCGAAGAAUCGGUUCUUUCAAUUAGGCGUGUAUAGCGCCCCUAAUUCGGCCUUUCGAACACCAGGGGCUUCGCCGACUUUAUUAAUUGUCAAACUCCUAUGGCUAAGUGGGGGCGGUAAAGGCCGCAUAGUCUGAUUGCCUUGUUCGCUGCGCUAAACACCUCCUUUAAGGACCAUAAUGUGGAGUAAAGAGUGUUUAGAUUUAUCCCGAACACCCCCGUACUAUCUACGUGGGGGCAGAAGCCAACGACUGGUCAUCCCUCAGAUUUAACAAACGGCCGCACAUGAGGUAAAAUUUAAAAAUCACAUACAUUAUACUACAUAACAUCCUUGUUCCAUAUUACAGGGCAAGAUAAUACACAUGUUCUUACGGGAAUAUAAUAUCCUUCGAACAUUUCUCCGCCGCAAGGCGGGACCCCUCCAGGACACCAUCAAAAUAAUGCUCGGGUCAACGAUGCUCCUUGCCCUCUGGCGGUCCCUCGGUCAUCAGCUUCUUGGCAUCCAACUUCGCCCAAUGCGUCUCGACGUGGGCAAAGGCCAUGCGCGCACCUUCAAUGCAGACCGACCGCUUUACGGCUUCGAGCCGCGGACAGGUUCUCACAAGCCGCUGCACAAGUCCGAAGUAGCUGCCAGGCAUUGGAUCGGCAGGCCACAACCGGACUAUAAAGUCCCUCAUGGCUAGCUCCGCCAACCUGUGCAGCUCGACCAACUGCUUUAGCUGGUCGCUGAAGGGCACCGGAUGUUCGGAUCCCAGAUAUUGGGACCAGAACAGUUCUCCGUAGACAUCCCUUCCUCGGCUCUAUAAUGCUCGGUCGCAUCCGACGCACUGUGCGGCAGACCUGCAAAUGCCCCUGGAAAACCAAAAUUAAGGAUAAGUACAAGGGACGUUGCUUCUACACGCCCACUCUGCAUGGUGAAGAACUUACCCGCCGCAAUCUUCUUGGCCAUCUCGACUUCCUGGAGGGCGCACUGGGCUUCGGCUCGCGCAUCCUGAGCACUCUGGCGAGCCUUCAUCAAUUCGGACUCUUGCGCCUUACAAUCGCGCUCCAGGGCCUCAAAUCUCUCUAUCGCGCCCUGGAGCUGUCGCUGCACCUCGCCAACCCGGGCCUCGUGCUUUUCGCGCAAAACACGCUCUUUGGCCGCUUUGUCCUCGGCCUCGGCUAGCACCUUCUUCAGGGUUGCCACCUCGACCGUGGCCCCUAAUAAAGUUUACGACGUUUUAGACAAGUCGGACUACUCAUUUUUUUUCAAAAUGUACCUACAGGUUAUUGCAUACCUUGGCUGUCCUCCAACUGCUUCUUCACAUGGUCGAGCUCCUCCUCGGCCCGCUCUAGUUUCUUCUUUAGUCCUGAGACCUCCGCAGCAUGAGCAGUGGCAGCUUGUAGGGAUACCUGCAUAUUCACAUAGACAACUCACGUUAGACUCCUGCAAUUUUUUGAUCCUCUGUUCGGCCUUUUCUUCCCGAACACCAAACAGAGUAUCAGGGGCUACUGUCUACACUGUGAUACUUUUCCUACAAUCACAUUACUUACCUCAAAGCCUAUUAGAAGGCUAGUGCAGGCUUCGGUCAGUCCGCUUUUAACGAACUGAACCUUCUCUACUACCGUGUCCAUAAGGACACGAUGUUCAUCCACGAUAGAGGCGCCUCAUAGCGCCUCCAGCAGAUUGUCCGGUGCCUCUGGCUGGACAGAGGUCACCGGUGGAACAGGCACACUCCCUCCUAGCGGGGAGUGCCGUUCGCUGGACCCCGGAGCCGUGUACAUCUCCGGAAGGGUAUCCAGCUGAGGGCCGAAGGAAACUCGGGCCCCAUCACCAGUCCCCAUGGGGGCUUUUUCCCCCAUGUGCCCGGCGUCCGAGGAGUCGUCCUGGGGCGUCACCCCGAUGAUCUCCGGAACCUCCCCCCGGCCUGGGAAAGUCUUUUUGGACACCACCUCGUCAUCACCCUUGGGUGAGAGGGAAUGAGCAGGUGGCGGAGACAUGCUAGCCAUCUCCUCCGUGUUUAGCGAAUCCUCAGUCGAGGAUCGCGGAGAGCCAUCGCGUGCCGGACUGCAAGGACAAAAUUUACAAUAUGUCAAUAUCACAAACCAGAAAGGCCAGAUAUUUGCAAACUCUGAUGCUUACGAAGCGGCCCGAGGCUUGGUCCGGCAAGGCCGUUCCGGACUGCUGUCGACAUCCCAUGCGGAAUUAUCCGCGAGGGAGCCUCUAACCCUCUUAGGCGUUUUAUCCUCUGGGCUUGCGGGGGCCGCUCUCUUCUUCCUCCCCGCCUCAGGUGGGGAGUCGUUUUCUUCUUCCUCUUCAUCGUCGUCGUCAGAGGACGAAGAGGAAGUCUCGCUUCCGGACGUCUCGUCCGGAAUGCUUCUCCGGCGAAGGCCCUUCUGGGCCCCUUGGGCCGCCUUUUUAGCCGUCUUCUCCGACACCUCAUAAGGUGCAGGGAACAACAUCUUCUCCAAUAAUAGAAAUUCCUAGUCCCCGGGUAGCGGAGCUGGACAGUUAAUCUUCUCGGCCAGCUUAAUCCAGGCCUGAAAAUAGGGGAAGGAAGCUUAAAUCUCCCCUCAAAAUAUGCUAGUAGGGGAUACUCCUUGAAAACAUUAAAGGAACUGACCGGGUUGGGCUGGCGCUUUAAGCUAAGCCCGCGGUCUUCGGUCACAGGUGGUGGCGUUUCGCCGGUCUUGAAGAGCACCUUCCAGAUUUCUUCGUGCGUCAUGCCGAAGAGCUCCAGUAGCGUCUGGUGCUUGGCCGGCUCGAACUCCCACAAAUUACAAGUUCGGCGUUAGCACGGAAGGACCCGACGAACAAGCAUGACCUGGACUACGUUGAGAAGCUUGAUCUUAUUUUCUAUCAUGUUCUGGAUGCACGAUUGGAGCCCAGUCAGCUCGACCGAGGGACCCCAGGUUAGGCCCCUCUCUUGCCAGGAGGUGAGCAGCAUCGGGAUUCCGGAUCGGAAUUCGGGGGCCGCCAACCAGUCAGCGUUGCGUGGCUCGGUGAGUAGAACCACCCCGAUUGCCACCCCUUCACCGUCUCUGCAAACAAACCUUCAGGCCAGGUAACAUUGGGCAUCUUGCCCACCAUAGCGCCUCCGCACUCUGCUUGUCGACCGCGCACUACUUUCGGCCUCACAUUAAAGGUCUUCAGCCAUAAGCCGAAGUGAGGCGGGAUGCGGAGAAAGGCCUCACAAACGACGAUAAACGCCGAAAUGUUGAGGAUGAAGUUGGGGGCUAGGUCAUGGAAAUCCAGCCCAUAGUAAAACAUCAACCCGCGGACGAAUGGGUGAAGAGGGAACCCAAGCCCGCAGAUGAAGUGUGCUAGAAACACAACCCUCUCAUGGGGCUCGGGAGUGGGGACGACUUGUCCCUUGGCCGGGAGUCGAUGAACGAUCUCUUUGGCCAGAUACCCGGCCUCCCGGAGCUCCUUGAUAUCCUUCUUCUUGACGGAGGAGGCCAUCCACUUGCUUCCAGCUCCGGAUCCGGACAUCUUUGGAGUACUUUCUCGAGCAAGGGAAAAGCUAAAAGCUUGGGCACUAGAGCUCGAAGAUGGAAGGGCUGAGGGCGUGGGUGAAUGAGAGGAAUCCUUACCUCCUUAUAGAGGCCGCGAAUACCAAGCGCCUCCCCGCUCGCCUUGAACUCGCCUAUUCCCAAGGGCCGUGCAAACGGCGCGGUUAGGUUAGCCAUGCCUACAUUGAUGAGAAUCCCGCAAUAGGGGGGCACGACCUUUGCAUCGACAAGACGUGCCAAUAGCAACCGCGUUUUGAAACAUGGGAUGGCGAAAAAAACGGUUUGAGAUUAUGGCCAGAUAGACAUAAUGUCGUGUUGUAAAAAGCUGUCAGCAGAUGGGACUUGUGUAAACAUAUGUAUAUAUUCUCUCUGCGAUUGUGCAUGGUGUGUAACAGGUCCGGACACAAUCAUCACAUCCGAAGACUAUCUUGGAGUUCGGAAAAGGGGGAACCCGCCUUGCAAUGCCGAAGACAAUCUGCGCGCCGGACUCCUCGUCAUUGAAGCCAGGUUCAGGGGCUACUGAGGGAGUCCUGGUCUAAGGGGUCCUCGGGCGUCCGGCCUGUCAUCUAUUGGGCCGGACUGAUGGGCUAUGAAGACAUGAAGGCCGAAGACUAUACCCGUGUCCGGAUUGGACUCUACUUGGUGUGGAAGGCAAGCUAGGCGAUCGAUUAUGAAGAUUUCCUCCUAUGUAACCGACUCCAUGUAACCCUAGAUCUCUCCAGUGUCUAUAUAAACCGGAGGGCAUAGUCCGGAUAGGACAGAUUCAUUACCAUAUACUCAUAGGCUAGACUUCUAGGGUUUAGCCAUUACGAUCUCGUGGUAGAUCAACUCUUGUAACACUCAUAUUCAUCAAGAUCAAUCAAGCAGGAAGUAGGGUAUUACCUCCAUAGAGAGGGCCCGAACCUGGGUAAACAUUGUGUCCCCCGUCUCCUGUUACCAUCGAUCCUAGACGCACAGUUCGGGACGCCCUACCCGAGAUCCGCCGGUUUUGACAGCGACACUAACCCCUGCCUAACACUAACCCACUCCGUUAACCGCUCACUAAUCCGUGGGCCCACGGCCACUAAUUUAACUCGAGACAAUAUUUCAAUUUAACUAAACCCCCUGUUAAAAUAUGUAUCGCUUACACACGGGCCCCACUGGUUAGUAUUGACCAGUCAACGAUCCUGUUGACUGGACCUGCUGACUCAGAGGCCCCACCAGUCAGCCUCUACUGACUAGGCAGUUGACCCAAUUAACUGGGCCCACUGGUCAGCCUCUCUGCGGGUCAGUUGGGUAUAGUUCUGGGUACACAUAGCAAUUACUGAAUAAACUUCUAAUUAAUAAUAUUUCAGGAAAUUCCAGAAUAUGUUUAAAUCUUUGAAAAAUCAUAUAAAUUAAUCCAUAAGUCAUAUGAAAAUAAUUUAUAUAUGAAAAUUGCUUAGAAAAAUACAACAAAUCUGAAUAUGCAAUCUGUUCAUCUGUCACAUGCCUCUAGCAUGAUGAACAUGGAACCGUCCCCUCUCUUUCAUCUGUCCGGAAAAUGCAAAGCGCCGGGAAAACCCCUCUGGAUGUUUUCCCUCUCCGUCUCCAAUGUGUAGUACUACGUUAGGUCACCCUAGUACUACGUCAGGUCACCCUUGCUUUAUAUUUAUUGUUUCUUCCCCCUCUUCUCUCCGGUAGACACCGAGACCGACGCUGCUGCCGGGUACGACUACGCCCUUGACGUCUAGCCACUUGCAGCAGAGCUUCCAGGCAAGCAAACCCCCCUUGAUCAUUCCCAUAUCGCCCAUUCCAUUCUCUCUUAUGCUUGCAUUCGAUUUUGCUACUAUACUUGAUUGCUCCUAUUCUGAUGCAUAGCCUGCUUUUGUAACCACAUUUGUACCUUACCUGCUAAUCCCAAAUGCUUAGUAUAGGUCGGUUAGUGAUCCAUCAGUGACCCCUCACCUUGUCCCUGUUGCCCCCGCCGUAUUACCAGAUGACACGAUCAACGUGAUCGACGUUCAGGGCCCGACACAUCACCUCACCCCCUUUAGUUGUAUGAUUCUCCCAACACAUCACCUCACCCCCUUUAGUUGUACGACUCUGUAGAGCUAUCGAGUGCCAAGGGUGAUACCUCGUAACGCACUCCAGAUGAUAACUAUGUAGUGUAGCUAAUCGGCCAUGGUCUGUCGAGGGUGAUUCCUCCUUUACCACUCCCGAUACGGCUCUGUCGUGCAACACAUCAAGUGUCAGCCUCGAGGGUGAUUCCUCCUUAGUUCAUCUUGACGGUUACAUCAAAUGGAAUCCAUCGAGGGUGAUUCCUCGGAUUCCUCUUUGGUGCAUGGACACACGGUUACAUGGACUUUACCAUAGAACCAUAUUAAAGAUGGGUCGGCGCAAAGGGGUACCCGCGAGUGAUGUGAAGUCGGGUUGACUUGGAGGGUACCCGCAAGGUAAUUACUAGGCACAGCCGGGUAAGGCAGACCGCCCUGGAGUGGGCUGGGCCUGGCCCUUGUCGUAAGUGCUCAAGACGGGGCAACAGGGGCACUGAUCGUCACCGCGUGCUCCCAAGACACUAACGGUUUGGGUAUUUGAUCUGAGUUGGUCAUUGACCUAUACGCACUAACCGCCACACGGGAACAGUUAUGGGCACUCGGCGCCGUAUGUAUCAGCCGAAGCUCUCCAGAUGUCAGCGGAUGAGCGGCACGCGCUCGGGUGGUCCGCGUAAGCACCUACCUUGUAUAAGGAGGUUGCGAGGACUGAUUCCGGUUGCAUUCGCAAUGUGCAAGAGUGCAACGGGCGAUGGGCCCAAGACCCCUGCGCGCUUAGGAUGUAGAUCGGUAUGCUGGCCUCUCUGUUGAGCCUAGGUAGGGCUACGGCGUGUUGAUCUUCCGAGGCCGGGCAUGACCCUGGAAAGUGUGUCCGGUCAGAGUGAUCGAGUGUGUUGGGUAAUGUGGUGCACGGUAACAGGACGACUCGAAGUUGUGUCCCGAUCUUAAGCCUCGAAAAUGGAUGGCGCUGAAGCGCGCGACCCACACCCGGCCAUCUGGGCGAGCGCCAUGCCCCGAUGAGUAGGAGGGCGUGGCGGCCGCUGCAAAACCCGGGGCGCGAGCCCGGGCGGAGCGGCCGUCGGUGCAGAUCUUGGUGGUAGUAGCAAAUAGAACUGGAUACUGAGAUGUGAAAUGGAUAUGAUGGCUCCAGGAUUGCUUUCUCGCCGGGAGUCGAGAAGGAUCUUUGGGCGCCAAUUCUACAACAUGCAUGCUACUUAUAAUAUGCUAUUCUAUAUUCUUCUAAAUGCAGCAAGAUGCUUGAAGAUGCUAGUCUUUGAUAGGCCAGGCUUUCCCUUCUCUUCUGACAUCUUGUAGUUUAGUCCAAAGAUAUAGCCCCAUUCCUUUGAUACCAAUGCAUACUUAGCAUAGUUCUGAUGUAAGUCUUGCGAGUACUUUGGAUGAGUACUCACGAUUGCUUUGCUACCUCUUUCCCCUAUACCCGAUUCUUGCGAUCAGAUGGCGGAUCCCAGGAACCAACUUCUACCGCCGACGACUACUACUACUACCCCGAGGUACCUACUACUACGUGGAGUCCGCCGAUGACCAGGAGUAGUUAGGAGGCUCCCAGGUAGGAGGCCUUGCCUUUUCGAUCGUUUCUAUUGUUUGUGUUAGCCUUUUUAAGGCAAACUUGUUUACUUUAUGUUUGUACUCAGACAUUGUUGCUUCCGCUGACUUGUUUGUAUUCGAGCCCUCGAGGCCCUUGGCUUAUAAUAUAAAGCUUGUAUGACUUUAUUUUGUGUCUAGAGUUGUGUUGUGAUAUCUUCCCGCGAGUCCCUGAUCUUGAUCAUACACAUUUGCGUGUACAAUUAGUGUACGAUUUAAUCGAGGGCGUCACAGACCGAAUGAUAUAAAAAUAAUAAUAGUGCAAGAGUGUCGUGCACUAAGCUGGAAUCUGCAAAUAUUUUAUUCAAAUGAGAAGACAAAGUAAUAUGGGCUCUUUGUCAGAUCAACAAUAAUGCAUAUAGAGCCACUAAACAUUUUCAUCAUGGUCUUCUCCUCACAAUGACUCAACAAAAGAAAAGAAUUUCAAAGAAACACACUGAAAUAUUUUUGGAGUUAACGAGGGAAAAACAAAAAGAGAAAACUAUUUACACGGGAGUAACAAGUAAAAUAAGAAAUGGGAAAUCUUUUUGGGUUUUCUUUUAAUACUACAACUAAUUAAACUAGAAAGAAAAACCAAAAAGAAGUGAGAACUAUUUUUGGAUUUUCUCAAAGUUUUUCAAACACACAAGAAGAAAGCGUGAAAAUAAAACUAAUAUGGAUUAUACAAUGAAAAAGGAUGAACACCGACAACUGGAAUGAAAUGUGUGAACAUGAAUGUAAUGUCGGUGGGAAAUACGUACUCCCCCAAGCUUAGGCUUUCGCCUAACUUGAUAGUCACCAUCCGUAGUAGCCAUCUGGUCCCAUGUGAAAGUGUUGAGAAGGAGGCACCUGAGUGUCCCAAUCUUGGGGCUCCUCCUCUGCCGCUGCCAAUGCGGUCCGGUAGGCUCGCAGGAUGGUGUAUCCAUUCCUAGCAUGAGAAUCCAACAAAGCAGGUGCGGACAAUGGAAUAAUAUCACGAGUUUCCUCGCUAAAAACCAAGUUAUAACGAAUGUGGUAUAGAAGCACAUGAGCAUCUAUAAAGUGAUGGUUCUCCAUCGACUGGUGAUCUAGAUAAACUCUAGGCAACAAGUAAUCAUGGGGGCGUAUCUGAACAUUAAAACGUCUCGCUAGGCGAGUAACAUAAAUGACACAACGAAUUUUGCCCUUCAUCCUGUUAGUGUGUAGGCGGCUUGCAACGACAGCGCCAAUGCUAUAAGUGUUAUCAUUGUGAAGUGCGUGACAUAAAAUGGCGAGGUCGGGGGCACAUAGUGCGCUAUCUUGCUCUCUAGAAGUCAAGCAUUUCCCUAUGAAUAAAGUAAAGUAGUGCACAAUAGGAAACUGCAAGCUAGUGGCUCGGGCGUGAGACACACCCCUUUCCUCACCCAAAGUUAAAGUGAGGAGGAAGCCCUCAAACUCCUCCAGUCGAGGCUCUUGAAUUUCCCCAUCAGAGGGAAUCAAGCAUAUCUCACAAAAUUCAGUAAGCGGUAUCUGGUGAUGCUCAGUGUAUAAGUCAAAGCGCACCUUAGGGGGUUUGAGCCUAUUCAAGAAAUGAAAGUUUUGCACAAAAGAAUUUGUAAGGAUGUGGUGUUGGUCACGCUCAUCUGCGAGGAAGUCAGUAAGUCUAGCAUUUGCAACGAAUUGCGUGAACUCUUGGUAGAAUCCAGCUUCGUUCAUGAAGGCAAUGUGUGGCCAUUCGCACGGCCGGACCUCCGUCCUACACGGGAUGUUGAUGUCAUUGUCUGAGGAUUCCCCAAGGACUCCCUUGGUAUUCCGCUUCGAGGAACUCCUCUGGAAGAUAUUCAUUUCUCCUACAAACAAAUUUCUGAUUUUUUUGGGCCACAAAAUGAUGUCAACAAAACUUCACAAGAUUGAUAGCAACUACUCAUAUGGAUGUCUAGAGGCUAUAUCAAGCAUUCAAACUACUUGGAACUCAAAGGAUUCAACAUACAAGCUCAUUUUCGGUAGCACCAAGAGCAGCUAACUAUGCAAAAUAUAAUCCACAAAAACAAAAACUAAUUGGAGCAAUGGAGGAGUUACAUACUAAGUAGCAAUCCCCCAAAACAGUUUCGGAAAUGGAGCCCCGAGCAAAGAGAUCGGAAAUCUCAGCUUUGGGAGAAAGAACACGCGAGAGAGAGAGAGCUACCAGGAAUUUUUGCUAGAGGUAAGAGACGAAGUGGGCUGAAGGAAUAAGUGAGGGGUCCCUAUGGGACCCACAAGCCACCUAGGCGCGCCCAGAGGAUGGGCGUGCCCUGGUGCCUCGUGGGCACCUGGGACACCCCCCUGGGAUGUUCUCAAUCCCAAAAAUUCUUAAAUAUUCAGUAAAAUACAUGUAAAAAUUUCAGGUCAUUUUGAGCACUUUCAUUUUUGGGCACUUUUUAUUGAACAUAAUUCAGAAAAGAGGAUAAUCAUGGCAUUUUAUUGCAUUUAACUACAAAUAACAAAAAACAUAAAGUGAGUACUGAUACGUCUCCAACGUAUCUAUAAUUUUUGAUUGUUCCAUGCUAUUAUAUUAUCUGUUUUGGAUGUUUAAUGGGCUUUAAUAUACCUUUUUAUAUUAUUUUUGGGACUAACCUAUUAACCGAAGGCCCAGUGCAAAUUGCUAUUUUUUUGCCUAUUUCAGUGUUUCGCAGAAAAGGAAUAUCAAACGGAGUCCAAACGGAAUGAAACCUUUGGGAGAGUUAUUUUUGGAACAAACGCAAUCCAGGAGACUUGGAGUUGACGUCAAGGAAGCAACGAGGCAGGGAGGUGCGCCCCCACCCUCGUGGGCCCCUCGUGGCUCCACCGACCUACUUCUUUCGCCUAUAUAUACUCAUAGACCCCGAAAACAUCCGAGAGCACCACGAAACCCUAUUUCCACCGCCACAACCUUUUGUACCCGUGAGAUCCCAUCUUGGGGCCUUUUCCGGCGCUCCGCCAAAGGGGGAAUCGAUCACGGAGGGCUUCUACAUCAACACCAUAGCCUCUCCGAUGAUGUGUGAGUAGUUUACCACAGACCUUCGGGUCCAUAGUUAUUUUCUAGAUGACUUCUUCUCUCUCUUUGGAUCUCAAUACAAAGUUCUCCUCGAUUCUCUUGGAGAUCUAUUUGAUGUAAUUCUUUUUGUGGUGUGUUUGUCGAGAUCCAAUGAAUUGUGGGUUUAUGAUCAAGAUUAUCUAUGAACAAUAUUUGAUUCUUCUCUAAAUUCUUUUAUGCAUGAUUUAAUAUCUUUGCAAGUCUCUUCGAAUUAUCAGUUUGGUUUGGCCUACUAGAUUGAUCUUUCUUGCCAUGGGAGAAGUGCUUAGCUUUGGGUUCAAUCUUGCCGUGUCCUUUCCCAGUGACAGCAGGGGCAGCAAGGCACGCAUUGUAUUGUUGCCAUUGAGGAUAAAAAGAUGGGGUUUAUAUCAUAUUGCUUGAGUUUAUCCCUCUACAUCAUGUCAUCUUGCCUAAUGCGUUACUCUGUUCUUAUGAACUUAAUACUCUAGAUGCAUGCUAGAUAGCGGUCGAUGUGUGGAGUAAUAGUAGUAGAUGCAGAAUCGUUUCGGCCUACUUGUCACGGACGUGAUGCCUAUAUACAUGAUCAUGCCUAGAUAUUCUCAUAACUAUGCGCUUUUCUAUCAAUUGCUCAACAGUAAUUUGUUCACCCACCGUAGAAUUUGCUAUCUUGAGAGAAGCCACUAGUGAAACCUAUGGACCCCGGGUCUAUCUUCCAUCAUAUUAAUCUCCCGUCAACUUGCUAUUUCUGCCGCCUUUUAUUUUGCAAUCUUUACUUUCCAAUCUAUAUCAUAAAAAUACCAAAAAUAUUUAUCUUAUUAUCUCUAUUAGAUCUCACUUUUGCAAGUGGCCGUGAAGGGAUUGACAACCCCUUUAUCGCGUUGGUUGCAAGGUUCUUAUUUGUUUGUGCAGGUACGAGGGACUUGCGUGUAGUCUCCUACUGGAUUGAUACCUUGGUUCUCAAAAACUGAGGGAAAUACUUACGCUACUUUGCUG